CUUAAUUAAGUUAUCAAAUAUGGCUAGUUUUGCAAAUCACCCAAUUUUUUAGUAGGCCUCGAAUCGAGACAUCAAUUUGGAAAACAAUUAAACAAGUAAUCCUUAUUGAUCUUACCAAGGUCUGUUAUUACAUGAAACAAUAACAAAGUUUCAGGCUCCGUGAUCGCAACCCAAACUCACGCAUGAGUUGUGAUAUACUCUAUAUUUAUCACUUUAUCAUGGUUGUUAAGAGUAAUUUUAUUGUGUUUCAUUCGUAUUUUCAUUGUGUUUUGUUGCAUUUAGUGUCCUAUAGUGUGUUUGUGUGUAUUUUGGUGUUUUGUGUGUGUUUUAUGAGCUAUUUCAGGUUAAAAUAAUGGAGGACACACAUUUGGAUGCAAAGAAAGGAAUUGAUGAUUCAAAACCAGUCCGAAGUCCCUCAAAGAUCGACUCGGAUGAAGAUCUUUCAUUGAGAUUUAGCUUUGGACCUCUCCACGAAAGUUAUAAGCAAUUGAGUGAGCUUUCUAAUGGAUGUCAUUGCAAGCCAAUCCGAGCUACUGUUUGGGGGUUAUGUAUGUUUUCGUACACAUAUGUUAGUCUGGCACGAAGAAGAAACUCGUCUAUAAACCUCUCUUGAAUACGGACAGAGCAUGUUCUCCACAUCUCAUGUAUACUCGUCUAGUUAAAAGUUUGUCAAACACAAAAAGGGAGUGGAAACUUGGCUACAGAGCAAAUAGAAAAGGAAAAAAAAGAAUUGUUAUUACGAGAAUAUAAGCACACAAGCAAUUUCACAAAGUUUGGUAAUGUGCCUAAUUCUCAAUAACUUUUUAUUAAAACAUAUGUAGACAAUUAAACCCUAAACUUUGCCUAAAUGGAAUUUCACUAAGACACCCGUUAGUUCGACUUCAACAAAUUCCUAGUGAACUUUAGACAGUUACAUUGAUACAAAACCUAAGGACUACUCUAUUUCUCUCAAGAACAACUCAAAAUGCUUUUUAUUGGUGUUUGUCUCUGUAAUGGCCGGGCCUCAAAGAACCUUCUUUUCUUUACUUUUUAUCAUCUACUUUAAUUUAUGCUCUCUUUAAUCUAGAGGAUUUGAAAAUAACCAAAUUAUCUUUACUGUACCACAAGAAAACAAUGCUAUAAGAUAUAAAUUUAUUAAUUAACUAUAAUAAUAUAUCCCAUGGAAAUAUUUCAGUAAUAUUUCUCGGAAAUACGUUCUCUUGGAAUUCUUUUGGAAAUCUCGGUCCUUUAGAUAUCCCUCGGACAUAUUUGUCCCUAAGAAAGUCCUCGGAAAUAUGGUGUUCUUGCAAAACUGAAAUGUUGGAGCAUCGGGGGUGUGUGUCUUGUGCUCUAACGCAUUAGAAACAUGAGACCAUCUCUUCUUCACUUCUGAUUACUCUUUCGAAGUCUUGUCAGCUCUUGCCAAGAACAUAUUCAGCUCAAGGUACACAAAUGUCUGGCCAUCGAUCGUUCUCUAUGUCUUCCAAACCUCGAUCCACACAUUAUAGAGAGAGAAAAACAAAAUGCGGCAUGGUCCGAUGGAUUGAAAAACAAGCAAAUACUCAUCUAUCAUAUAUUCAAGCUUUAGGUGACAAACGUCGUUGUAGAAAGGGACCGUUAGUAUAAUUACAAUGUGGUUUGGUUCUAGAAGUUAAAAUUUGUAAAGUCUUUUUAAAAAAAAUAAUUCAGAGUCAAAACAACGUUGAAUGUAAAAACGUUAUUUUUUCUUUGAAUUUUAUUUAAUAUUACAUACAAAAAAAAAGAGAAAAACAAAGUGUAUUUUAGGAAAACCUUAUGUUUACUUGUAGAUAUCUUUUAAUUCGUUAGUUAAUACUAUUAACUCAUCAUCAUACAUAUUCAAGCUUUAGGCGACAAACGUUGUAGGAAGGGACCGUAAGUAGGAUUCUAGAAGUUAAAACUUGUAAAGUCUUAUUUUUUAAAAAAAAAAUUCAGAGUCAAAGCAACACUGGAUGUAAAAGCCUUAUUUUAUCUUUAAAUUUAAUAUUCUUACAUACAAAGAAAAAAGAGAAAAACAAAGUGUAUUUUAGGAAACAUCUGUUUUCUGGAUUUUAAAACUUUCAAUAGGUUAUUUAGUUAUUCAAAAAAUAAAAUGAGUUAUUGUAACUAAUCACCCAAAUAAAUAAUCACAGUUUAAAUAUCUAUAUUCCAAAAUAUAUUGAUAUCUAAUUGUAGAAUUAAUUUCUUAAUUAUAGAUAGUUGCAUAACUGGUAAUUAUUUAAGAACUUUAAGAUUAUAUUUUUCUACAGUACUUCAUGUUAACAAUUUUAGUAGUCUUGAGGUCCGCGUAGCGUACACAUCUUAAACCAGUCUGGUUCUAUACUUAAACCAAUUGGCUAGUUUUAAUUGUAAUCCAAAAUACACAUCUUGGCCAAUUCAAAAGUUAAUUACUAACCUAAGAACAAACCGAGAUCCUCAAUCCAUAAAUGCUUCUAUACUUAAACCAGUGUGGUUCAUGAUUAGAGAUAGGUUCGGAUGAUACACAAAACAUUUCCAUAAACCACACAAAAAGGAAAAAAAAAAUUACAUCUUACAAACAUUAGAAUCAAAGACCCUAAAGAACCAUUUCUAAACCAUUUUGAAACAGAUAAAUAAAUAUGUCCAUCUCACAUUUCUUCAAACACAAGCCGAUCUCCACACCUCCGGGUUCAUCCCUCCUCUCCGACAUCGAAAACGCCUCGUUUCGGUCAAUGGACGCAAUCUCACUGUUACAUGGUUUUCCCCACCCGAAAUCUGACCCGUAUAGCCCAAACUGGUUCGAACCGGCAAUGGAUCCAAUCUGUGUACCUGGUUUCACACUCUUUGUUCCAUUAAUGUACAAUUCGCAAAUUGUUUCCAACUUUCGUAAACCAAUACUUCUAACCGAAUCACUUAGAAUUUCGACCAUAUUAACAAACCCAUCUUCUCCCAAAAACACAUUCGCCUUGUAACCAAAGCAACCUAUCGGGAACACGCAGUUCCCGAAAUACAUCUCAGGAACCGGUGGAUCUAACCGGUUCCUGAAAUCAGCAGCAUACAUGAAACGGACCGGUCUGUUCUCAUCUCCUCCACGCGUCUUUACCAAGCAUGUCCAAAGAUACGCGUUGGCAACAACGAACGUUGACAAGUGAAGCUCAUGAUGAGAGCGAGCUGACUCCCUCUUGGCUUGCUCCCUAAGUUUCUCUAUAUUCUCUCGAGUCAACUCGAGCGAGAUCCGUACUAGGUCGGGGCUGAUCUCCUUGGGAGGAAGCAGCUUCAAUGAUCUGAAACUAUCUUUCACUUCUGAGAAAUAUGACAAAAGUUCAAUGAUUUUUGCAUCAAGACUUGCAGGGACAUUGAUAACCGUACGAUCUAAAACCGGAGUCAAAUCCUCCGGUAAAUCCAUGGCUCCAUGUUUACAAAUGUGAGCCCAUGAUUUUAUAAACCUAACCACUGUUUUCCCGUCCAUAACAGAAUGAUGAGAAGCGAUACCAAUACAAAACCCUUGGUUGGGGAACAAAGUGACUUGCAAAGAAAGAACCGAAGGUGAGUCACAAGAAAGCGAUAACUCGGGCACCAAAGAGCGUAUCUCCGAUUCGGGACGUAUCCCUUUACCGGAGAUACGGGAGAAAUCAGCAUCACUCUCCGCGACAGUCAAGGAAACAUAGUCGUUCGGAGAGACGAUGAUGCUAGGUUUAGGAUCUUGUGAGCUCCAUGUGAGGCGGCCAGCGAGCGGGAGGUAGUGACGAAGGACGAUGGAGAGAGAGAGCUCAAGUUUGGGGAGGAUCACGGAGAGGAAGGACUCAAGAGAUGAGUCUUUGAUGAGUUUGUAGAAGAUAACUCUUUCGGUGGGAUGGAAUUGUAACCAACGUAAGUCGAAGAACGUCAGUGGAAGAACCAUCGAGUUGGCUGAGUCAUUGGACGAGUUACUUGCUGGGCUGACUUGGGAGAUCUUGGUUACCUUUAGCGCCAUUGAUGAUGAGUAUGUAGCUCAACAAUCUCUAAUGGUAGUAAAUAAACAAGAUUUUUCUUUGCUUUGGUCACAAAUAAACAAUAUUUAUAUAUCACGCCAGAUUCAUGUUUCCUGCAAAAUCAAAUUAUAUUCAUUUACAAAUCAAAUAACUAAAUUAAAUGGAGUAAAAUUUAAAUUUAUAAUAAGUCCUGAUUCAGACCAGCUGUUACCAAGUGUGAAUGUUUGGUAAGGGAUUUUAAUAACCUUUGUGGUAGAAUUUUAAAAUAGAUAAAGAUGCUUCAGUAUCAGUCUAGAUUAAAAAUGAACUUCCCACAAUUUGCGCUAAUUAUCGUCACAAUGAUUUGUUUUGAUUUUUUUUUCUUACACCUAGAUUAAAACUAAACUUUCCACAAUUUGCAGUUUAAAACAGAUAUUCUUUUACACCUAAAUAAAAGAAGAUCAUCUUAACAAGAUACUGUAUGUUUGUAGGACAAACAAUUAGACUACUGAUCCUCUUCCAAAAUCUUUUUAACCUCACUUUUGAAGUUGAAACAAUAAAAAUUGGGUGACAGAGCCGUAUCUAAUGCAUCAAAUUUUAGUAUCCAGAUCAUACAUAAAUAAGGUAACUUUGACAAAUUUAAAAAUUCUGCAUGGAAAACGUUACUUGACCAAGAGCAAUGACAUAUAUGUGUAAUGUGUUGUGCAUAAUAUUGCAACAAUUGUUUUUUUCAAAAAGACAAAUUGCAAGCAAGCACCACUAAAGAGGUGAUACAAUUAUGUCCAAACCAUAAUUAAACGAAGACAUAAAAGUAUCCAUCUCACUCUGUGCAGGGUCUCGGCUCCCGAACCGUACGUGAGCUGCCUCGUACGGCUCUUCCUAAGAACUUGAAGCCCCAAAACUUGAACUACGCACAUACAUACUUUAGAGAAAAGGUAAAGCCAAGAGAGCUGCCCUCAACCCUACUACGAGGAUAGCAUCUUCUUCAAACACAAGCCUAUCUCAGCGCCACCGAUCUCAUCCCUCCUCUCUGAUAUCGUGAACGCUGCAUACCGGUCAAUGGACACAAUCUCGUCGUUUACGGGUUUAACCCACCCAAAAUCUGACCCAUAUACCCCAGUUCGGUUCGACCCCGAAACAGAGUCAACUUGAGUACCCGGUUUCACCUCCUUCGUUCCAUCAAUAUACAACUCGCAAGUGCUUCAAUUCCUUGUGAACCCAAACUUUUGACUGAAUCUCCAAGAAUCUCGAUAGCGUUUAAGAAACCGUCUCUUCCCGACAAUAGCUUUGCUUUGUAACCAAUAGGGAACACCCAGUUCCCAAAGUACCUCUCUGGAACCAGUGGAUCUAAUUAACCGUUUUCUAAAUUCGGCUGCAUGAAUACAUGGACAGCACCGUUCUUUCUUUGCUGCCACCGCGCGCCUUCACCAGACAGCUCCAGAGAUAGGCCAUUGUGACGACGAACGUUGAGAAAUAUAGAUCAUGUAGAGAGCGCGCUGAUUCUUGCUUGGCUCGCUCCUUAAGUUUCUUGACUUUCUCCUGAGUCAGCUGGAGUGUGAUUCGGACAAGAUCGGUGCUGAUAUCCCCCCUUGGAGGCGGCUUUAGGGUUCUCUUGCCAUCUUUUUCAUACAAGAAGUAGCACAUUGAUUCCAUAAUCUUUGAUUCAAGACCGGGCGGGGCAUUGAUGUAUGAGUACGAUCUAAAAUUGGAGUCAAAAUAUUUGGAAGGCACGUGAACGGUUCCAUGUUCUAGUAAUUUACAAAUGUGAGCCUAUGAUUUGAUACACAUUAUCGACCCUGUUCUUCGCUCUGUAUGCAGAAAGAACAUUCAAAUAUUUGAAACUAGAAGAUCCACGUCGAUGCAUGGAAAUAAUUUGAAUUUCUUAUGUUAUGAAAAAAUAGUAAAAGAAACCUUACUUUUAGUUUUUGAAUUCACGAAUGUGAAAAGAUUAUAGUAGUGCAUUUCAAUAAUUCAAUAAUAGUUACUAUCAUCUCUUAGAUGUAAAUGUACAUUAUAGAUUUAGUGCAUGGAGUUAAUAAAAUAAUCAUAAAUGAAGACUUUUUUUUUUGCUACGGAGUGUUAACACUUUGGACUAUAUUAUUCUCUAUGCUCAGAAGAAUCAAAAAUUAAAAAUAUAACUUUUUUUUUGUAUUAUUAGUUCUCUCUCUUAAUUUAUGUAAGUUAGACAAAAAUACCUCAUCGCAUAUAUCAAAUUAUUUAGCAAUGUAAUUAAAUACUUAGGGAAAAAUGUCAUUAAAAUCCCCAACUUAUAAAAAAGUAGAUUUAAAUCCUCAACUCCCGACAAAACGAAAUUAUUAACAAAGUUUUGUUGACUUUCCAAAUAAAUACCAAACUUUCGUAUAUAUGACCAUAUUAGGCAUAAUAUUAAGUAGAUUAACAUAUUGUGUUUACGGAGUUAAUUUUCUGUUAACAGAUCCGUUAAUUCAAAACGUUAUUGUUUCUUAUAACAAGAAAGCGACCUCGUUUUGUUAUAACGACCAAAUUAAAUCCUCAAAUCCAAUCUUAGAUCUCCAAAUCGAGCAAAAUUCCUAACCCUAAAUCUUCAUAUGAUUUGAAAUUAGGAUUUAAUUGAGCCGUUAUGACAUAAUGACGUUGUUUUAUUGUUAUAGGGAACAUUGUCGUUUUCAAUUAACGAGUCUGUUAACAAAAAAUGGACUCUAAUAACAGGGUCUGUUAAUGUCAUGCCUAAUAUGGCUAUGCCAAUAAAAGUUUGGUAUUUAUUUGAAAAAUCAACGAAAGUUGUAUAUUUAUUUGGAAAAUCAACAUAAGUUUGAUAUUUAUUUCGUUUCGUAAAGAUUUAAAGAUUUAAAUAAACUUUUUCAAUAAGUUGGGGAUUUUAAUGAUAUUUUUCCCUAUGUACAAUGGUAAACUUAUUCAACACCCACCUUUUUCCCUUUUUAACACUCCACGUUAUUUUUUCUUUCCUCCACAUAAUAAUUCAACACCUACUUAUAUGUUAAACACUCUAAUGGUUUUGUUUAAUAAAAUUCAACACUCUACCCCACUAGUUUUAUUUCAUUAUUUAUUUUUUCUUUUAUAUUCAUAUUUUGUGAUUACAUAAUAAUAAUAAUUAUUAAUAAAUAAAAUUAAAAUAUCGACAAAUUAGAUUAAAUUAACAAAAAUUAAUUAUUUUAUGUUCUUAACUAAUUUUUUUGAACAAAACAAAUAAUUAUUAUUAAAACAAAAAAAAUAUUACAAAUUUUGAUUUACAAUAUGAUACAAGCACACAACACAAUUAAUAAUAAACACACUUCACUUCAAAUACAUACGGAUUAACUCACAAACAAUUAAACUCUUAAAUCACACAACACAUAAAGACAUAAAAAUCUCUUUAAUUUCAGGACAUUCUGAAUUUCGCCAAGAUAUGUUUGACUAGAUCUGCUUGCAAUUCAUGAUGUGCAUUUGAAUCACGUAACUCUCUCUUGAUGUAUUUUCUUUUGUUACGACGUGGAUAAUCUUCUUCAACAUUGUUGCGACGCUCUCUAGACUGGUUUAUUAUAUACUUCUCUUCAAUUUGAUAUUGUCUAUUGUAAGCUUCAAUAUCGAAAGGAAAUUCUGAUGGAUCCAUUGGAUUUUUUUUAGUAAGAUGAUGUUUGUGAUAUUAUUUCAUCAAUAGAAAAAUGAAUUCCCAUUUAUAAAAAAUCGAGUGGUUGAAAGAGAAGGAUAAGAUAAGGAUUUGAUGAAAUAUCAUGUGGUUGAGAUCCAACAGAUAAGGAUCAUGUGGUAAACUAAAAUAUAAGGAUUAGAUACUAAGUUUCUAACAUAAAAAGCCAAAAUCGAUGGAUUACAUUGUCGGAAAAUAAUGGAAUACUGACAAACAAAUAUUAUUGCAUAAAAUGACAAACAACAAUUAUAGCAUAAAAUGAUAAAAUACACACAUACAUAUGACAAACAUAAACAUUAAAGUAGAAAGUGACGAAGUGUACACAUACACUUCAAAUCCACUAAUUUCCAAAUACUUCGUAGUUCAACUUCUCUAACAGCUUUUUGCUCCAAUCAUUGCGAUGCUCACUCUCAAAUAGCUUCAUAAACAUCUCCAUCUUCUUCAAUUUGUUUGCCUCUUCUGUCUCUUGGCAAUUUUUUCCAAGUUUUCUAACUCUUUCUCUUUCAAUUGCUUGAAAUCAUUUCACUCUUCAUUAACGACUUCCAAGCAUGCAUCACCCUUACCUUUUUUUUAACUUUCUUUUUAGACGCAUCCCUCCCCAUGGGACGAGCACUAGAUCCUACAGAGUUUGAGUCACUUGCAUUAGGAUUGUGAGCUCUCUUAGAUCCACUGCUUCCAGACCCCGUUUUUCCUCCUACCUGACUACUAUAGCAUGGUUGAUCAUGAACAGCAAGUCACUCUAACAUUAAAUUAAAAUACACAUUCUUACCAUUUGAAUAUAGUUCAUGUGCUUUUGCGAAUACAUCAAUCUCUGACCAUCCGCUUUGUUACAUACACUUAGCAUUAUCGUAAGCGCCAAUCCAUUUGCCCAAUAUUUUGUUCACGUAGUUGAAAUGAUUUCUGCACGUAACUCCAUCAUACGGAGGAUCAAAUGAGCAUUGCUCAUUACAAUAUUCAGCAAUUUUAAUCCACUAUGAUUCACUCUUUUGAUUUCUUUCAACAAUGCUAUAUGUUCCAUAUUUAAUUCAUCCACUCAAAAACACCAAAUUUUGCUUAGUUGUCCAUUUGGGGCUUUUUCGUCGAGUAGAAGUUGAAUCUUCAUUGUUUGGAAUGUCUUCAUCAGCACCAGUCAUCCCUCCAAGAGUCAUUUGUGUAGAAAACCCAGUAAAUUCAGAUGGUGGUUGAGAUGAAUAUGACAUCAUCGAUGCAUAAUAUGGAUGAUAGUAUGGAACAGAUGAUGGCACUGAAAAAUUUGGUGGAAAUCCAUAAUUUGAGACAUUUUGAGACUAGUUGAAAGAUGGAUUUUGAUAUUGAUAAUUACUGGAAUUUGGGUAUGGAAAAAGAUAAUUAGUAGAAUUUAGGGUAGAAUUAUUAUUGGAAUUUGGGUAAGAAAAUGGAAAAUUUGCGGAAUUUUGUGAAGGAUUAUUAUUAAAAUCCAUUUCACAAAACAAAAUUAAAAAUAAAAACAAUAUUUUUUUGGAGAAUAAUUAAAAAACUAUAGUAAAAAUAUUUGUUUUUUAUGUGUCCAAAUGAACCAAGUUUAUAUUUAUAAAGAUUAAAAUGUUAUAAAUUUUCAUAUAAAUAUUUUUUUAUAUAUAAAUUGUUAAUUAUAUAAUAAUUGAUUGUAAAUAGAUAAGAUGGGAUAAAAAAUCUCCAAAAUCUCAAAUGCCAAUAAUAAUAUAACAAGUGUUAUUAUCUCAAGAAAGUGAACUCUUCACUUGCAAAGAACGUGUGUGAAACGUACAUCUCAAUAACAUGGUGACAUGUGGAAUAUAUGGACCCAAAAAAAAAAAGUUUCGACAUGUUGAAUUUAUUCAACACUUAUUAAUUCACAUAGAUUUUUUUUGAGUUUUCAACACCUCCAUUGCAAACAUGAAACAGUUGAAUCUUUUAUUCAACAUGUCCAUUGCACAUAGUUUAAAAAGAAUAUUUUCAAAAAUUACAAUCCCAUCUAGUCAAUCCUCUAUUUUUAUGUUAUUUCGACUAAAACCAAAAACAUGCAUUUAAUUAUUAUUUUUUUAAACUACAAUAGGAUAAUUUUAUAAAUCUCAAUACAAUGCCGGCACUGGACAGAGCGAAGAGAAACAUUGGUAUGAGGCCCCCAUUUUUAAGGGGCUCCCAUUUAAUUUUGUUUUUAUAUAUACAUAUUUAUAUAUCUUACAUGUCCUAUGCUAUAUGCUAGAGCAAAAAUAUUCACAGAAUAAACAUGAUAUGAAGAAAGAUAUGUUAAAAACAAAAUAAAAAAUCAAUUUAUGUAGUGUCACGUGUCAGCCAUUCAGCCAGACAAUCUAUAAAACAAAAACUCAACUUUAAUACAUAAAAAAAAAAACUACAAUAAUGUUUUGGUUUGUCAUUAUACCCAUGACCUUUGAUUAUCUUCCUCUUCUCUGUUUCUCUUUUCAUCAACGUCGUUCUUCAAUCUCUACUUCUACAAUCAAUUCUCUAUACUCAUGACUGAUAAUUUUCCUAUUUUAGUCGAUAAUGUGUUUAUGUUUAUACUUAAUUUUUAGUUGAUUUUGAUCAUAAACUUAAAUUUAUAUAUAAACUUUUUUAGGUAUUUCAACAAGAAAAACAAAGUGUAAAACAAGGGCUCAAAAAAGAAAGAAACAGAGAAAAGAUGAAGAACUUGUGAAAUCUUUGAGUAAUUCUAUGUUGAGGUAUGUUAAAAGAUCAAAAUCUGGUAAGUUUGAUGAAAGUGAUAGAGUUGGUGAUGAGAAUGAGAAUCAAGAAGAUGAUAAGGCCGGAGAAGAAACAAUGGCUGACUGUGACAAAGAGGAAUGUGAAAAAAUCUCUAAAGAAGAUGAUGUGCCUGUGGAUUUAGAAAAACCUCCGGAGAUUUCGAUUUUACAAUUUACAGAUCCUGCAAAUUGGAGAAAAAAUGAUCAGGGAUUAAAAGAUUAUCUAGUGCAAAAAAGUUCUAUGGAAAGAGUUGAAAGAGACUACGUUUUCCCCAAAAAUGAUGUUGGUAGACAUUUUUUUUAUAGAUAUUUCAAAAGGGAGUUGAAAAAUGGAGAAAAAUAAGAUAGGAAUUGGUUACUUUAUUCAAAAGCAUAAGACAAAAUCUAUUGCUUUGUUGUAAGUUGUUUAGAUGGGAACAAGAUGCCACUCAGUUGUCAAGCACAUGAUUCAACGAUUGGAGGAAUGUCAAGAUAAGACUCGGCCAACAUGAAAUUAGCCAUAGUCACAUCUUUUGCAUGGGUUAGUGGAUAGAAUUAAUUGAGAUUGCGAAAGGAGCAUACCAUUGAUAAGUAUUUAAAAGAAGAAGUCAAACGAGAGAAAAACCAUUGGAGAGAAAUUUUGUUGAGACUUUUUGCAUUGGUGAAAAAUCUUGCUAAGCAGUAUAUAGCAUUCCGUGGAACUAAGGAGAAGAUUGAUGAGAGAAAUAAUGGAAACUUCUUGAGAUUCAUUGAAACGUUUGAAGAGUUUGAUUCACUUACGCAGGAGCAUAUCAAACGAGUUAAAGAAGGUAAAAUUCACUAUCACUAUCUAAGCUCCAAAAUCCAGAAUGAGUUGAUUGCUAUGCUAGGAUCUGAAUUCAAACGUAUGAUCAUCAAAAAAAAUUCAAGAGGCAAAAUAUUUAUCAGUAAUUCUCGAUUGUACUCUAGAUAAAAGUCAUAAAGAGCAAAUGAGUUUUGUUAUCAGAUGUGUUGAUGUCUCCACCACAACGACACGAGUUGAAGAACUUUUUGUGACGUUUUUAGAAGUCAUCGAUAGAUCGGGGAAGGACUUUUUGAGUUGCUUUGUUAUACAUUCGGUGAUCUCAAGUUGAAAAUCGAUGAUGUGAGAGGACAAGGCUAUGAUAAUGGAUCCAAUAUCAAAGGAAAACACAAAAGAGUACAAAAGCGAUUGCUUGAUAUCAAUUCAAUAGCAUUUUAUGCGUCAUGUGGUUGCCACAGUCUUAAUUUGGCACUUGCUGAUAUGGCCAAAUCAUCUUCAAAAGCGAUUUUAUUCUUUGGAAUAUCCAACGCAUCUACUGCUUGUUUUCAUCCUUUACACCUAGGUGAGAACUCCUAAAGAGAUGGUAGGAGGUCUCACACUUAAGCCAUUAUCAGAGACUCGUUGGGAAAGUCGCGUAGAAAGUGUUCAAGAAAUUCGUUUUCAAGAUCCAAAAAUAAGAGAUGCUUUAGACUAUUUGGCUGAAAAUUUUGAUGAUCCUAAAGCUCGCAGCGAUGCCGACGCUCUUGCUACAAGUGAAACUCAUGGAAUCGGAAGGUUUGAGUUCUUAUUUGGUUUGGUUAUUUGGUAUGAUCUUUUAUUUAUCGUAAACACGGUAAGUAAGGUGAUGCAAAUAGAGAAUAUUGCUAUUGAUACUGCUCUUGUUCAACUAAAGGGGUUGCUCUCGUAUUUUAGAAACUACAGAGAAGUUGGUUUUGAAGCAGCAAAAGCGGAAACUAAAAUAAUUGCAGAAUCUAUGGAUGUCGAGCCCAAGUUCCAGUGAAAAGAAAGCGUAUCAUCAAAAAAAAAUGCAUUUUGAUGAGGAGGUGGAGAAACAUGGUGAAAGUGUGAUGCUAAGCGAGGAAGAGAGUUUCAAAAUCGAUUAUUUCUAUACAAUCGUGGAUCAAGCUAUAGUAUCUCUUCAAGCGAGGUUUGAACAAUUUGAAGAGUAUGGGAAACAUUUUGGAUUCUUGAUUGAUUUGAGAAAGCUCAAAAGAGAAACUGAAGAUGGAUUAAAAGCAUCAUGUAUCAAUCUUGAAACUUCUCUUAAACAUGGAAAGAAUUCAGACAAAUAAUUAACUUCAUCUAAAUGUUAAACACUAUACCUUAACCCCUACCAAAUAACACCAAUAUUUAACUUAGUUUAGAUGUAUGACGCUAUAUAUACAUACUCUAACACUCAUCUAAAAUAGAGAAUGAAAUUAACUCUCUUUUAAGAUCAAUUUUUUUGUUGUUUUUUCGUGAAAUUGGCUCUUAGAUGAUUCAUUUUAUGUUGAACGUAAGAGAACUACUUAUUAAAAUAACAGUUUUAUAUUAUAAAUUCUACAUGUCGGCUCAUACAGUCCGCUGGGAUGCUGUAGACGGCAACAAAUUUAACUCACAAAAUCAUUUUUCCUUUGAAUAUACGUCUUCAAUACUCCCAAAAAUAAAAAUUGAACUUAUCGAUAAUAACAAAAAAAUAUGGAUGCAGAGCUUGCAGCCCUUAAAACUUAUCUUUAAAUGACUGUAUCAACUUUGUUUCUAGCAUUAUCUUUGCUAUAAAAAAUUUUAAAGUAUCUUUUCAUAUAAUUUUUCGACAUAUGUUUCUUUUGACUACUUUUUCUGGGAUAAUUGAAGGUUAAAAUAAAUUUGGAUAAACAAUUUAAAAUUUUCGGAUCAGUAUAAUUCAUGGUAAAGUAAACAUUAAGAAAUUAAGCACCAAGGUAAUUAAAGAAAUACACAUAACAUAAUACAUGUUUUCCAACAAUAACACAAUAGUUGACUACUAUACACUUUCAAAAUUGCCAUCACAUCUCUUUCAAAACUUUUCAACGGAUUGAAAAAAAAACACAGAGCUCACUCACAUUACAUAAAAGUUUUAGAAGUUGAGAUGGUAAAGAACAUGAUCUCAUAAGCUCUUCUUAGUAUUUAGCACUUAAAUCCUCAAGAACCACAAGUGUUAAAGUAGCUAAUUAACUUAAAUGAGAAGAAGGCACAACUAUUGACAUUUACCAUCUUUUUAUUAUUGUUUAUGACCAAAAUUAGUGUAUUAUUAGUCUCCUCCGCACCGGAAAAACUUCUAGUUUAGGACAUGUACAAUAAACAAAUAUAUCUCUACUUUGGAGCUUUAUAAAAUGCAUGGCCAUCUCAAAAAUCUGUUUUGCCAUCUUGACGCUGAAAUGAUUUAUCAUACCACUGAACAAUGCACUAAAGAAAAACGAUAUGAAAAUGACAUAUGUACUAAAAAAAUUUAGAGUAGAGAACAAUGGAUUAGUUAACGACAACAAAACCAAAUACCGAAAAUAUCCACCAUCUUGAUUUCUAGGUCUGCUAAAAGUCUCAAAAAUCAAAAGAAUUGAUUUUGCUUUUUAUAAGUUUUUUUUAUUAAACAUUCUCUUUUACGUUUGUCUUCUUAUAUUUUCUUCUUCGAUCUCCAGUUUGUGGUGCAAUGACCCAUCAUAAAACUCAAAAACACUUAUCACAGUAACAAAUAACGAUAGCGGAUGGGAUUUAUGAUGGAUCUUGUCAAUCUAUAGUCUUCAACUGGUAAACUAAUCCGAGAAGUAAAAAGUAUGUGUGUAUCCGGAUACGUUUUAUACAAAACUUUUGUUUUACUUAAAAUGGGGAUUUCUCUCCAAAAACUAUUCAUAUUAUAACCAUGUCCUUAUAAACAACCUUAAAGUUGAUAUAUAUGAGUGUUAUGCUUAUAUCAUAUCACAUCUAGAAAAGAAUGAUUAAAAAAGUCAACAAAGACCAGCUUUCAACUUUCAUAGCCUUUAAAAAGGCAUCAACGUUUGUGUGUCUAUAUAUUUUUAAGUCUCGCAACUCUCAUUAAUCCCACCCAAGCUUCAAAAUAGAACACAAAGACAUGAACCGAACACAAUCUCUAAACACGCUCUAUUGUCGUCUUGGCAACACUUUUUCUUAUGAGUCUUGUUGUGUGUACAAACACAAUUUCUCCAAUAACUUUGUCUUGCUGAAAGCCGAUUACUUUGAGCUCCGACCUUAGGCUAUUUUCUCCACUGGAUAUAUAACGAAACAAACGGUACCGUUUCCAUCGUUUUUCGCCAACAUGGAACCGCUCCUUCUUCUUGGAUUGCUUGGGGACUUAACCCAAGUAAUACUCAUGGUUGGGACGCAAGCGCUAGUCGCCUUAACCAACUAAAUGGCCAAUUCCAGGUCUAAAAAAUCGAAAGAAUUGAUUUCUCUUUUUUCAAGUUUCUUUUAUUAAUAAAACCUUUUCUUUUACGUUUAUCUUCUUUUCUUUUCUUUUCUUCUUUGAUCUGUAAUUUAUGUGGCAACAAUCUAUCAUAAAAGUCAAAAACACUUAAUCACAAUAUAAAAAAACUAAUAUAAACCCAUCAUCAUCCAAGCUCCCUUGAGUUCCUAGAGAUGCAAGGCGAAGCCUGACUUUUUUUUUAUCGGAUAUAAAGAGACAUACCUUGAAAAGAUGAACCAUCUUACGCCAUAAAAGAGAUAAAGAUACAGUAGAACCUCUAUAAAUUAAUAUUCGACAAACGAAUAAACACUAAAAAAAAAAAAAAAAAAUCUCUAAAAAGAAUGGUAGAUUUGUGUAUUGCUUAGGUUUAUUUUAGUAUAUGAGCCUUUAUUCUCUAGUGAUUUUUAAUAAUCUACCAUUUUAAAAGCUACAUAACUCCUUAUUUUUUCUCUAAUUCAAGAUAAAUUUUAUAUUAAAGUGAUAGUUGGUGACACUCUUUGAUCAUAAUUUGCAUAACACAAAGUACUAAAUCUAUUGAAAAUAUGCAUAAGAUUGAGUAUUUUUCAAAACAAAUAUAUGUCCAACAUUAUAAUUUGUUAUUUCAUUACCAACACAGAAAUCAAGAUUUAAAGAUCCAUUGAGAAUAUCAUGAAAAACCACGAAAGGAAAACAGUUGUCAAACCUCAAAUCUCCUAUAUAUGAAAUGAAUUCACACGCCAAAAAUUUAAUUAUAUAGACAUCAUCUUUAUAUAGAUCCCCAUUUGCAACUAAUCAGCUAUUUGCAUUUAUUCAAAGAACUUCAAAUUAUUAUUAUGAUUAUUAUACUUUUUGUAAUAUGAUAUUUUCAAACAAAAUGCAAAGUUAUAAUUAUAUAUUUUUUUGUGUAAAUUACUAUAACUAUAGGUUUCUUUCUUGUUUCAUGUAUGUGUUGUUGAAAGAUUCUCUUUGAAUUUACCCAAUAAUUUCCCCAAAAAAAGUCCUUUUAAGAAAAGAGAAUUUAAUUAACUAUUUUUGCGUGUGUGGUCGAUCAAUUGUUUGAGAUUUCCUGAUUAUUCUAUAUGUCCCCCACAGACACAGAAACUCAUAUACAGAGACAUAAUAAAACUGAAUUGGCAUCCCUUUUCUUUGGAUGGAUUUAAUACAAAAUUUGACCCAAAUCUAUAUAGUUGAUGUUCUGCAUACAUAAAACGUGUCCCCAUUCCUGUGACGCAUACAUGUGAAGUGUUUAAUUGUAAUCUCUUUGCUUUCUGGUUUCCAUGAAGAGAAGACAGAAGAGUUUUGAGAUGAGACAAAGUGAGAUGAUUAAAGAUGAUAUAUAAGAGAAGUAAAAGGGUUACUUCUAGUGUUGUAUGAAGCAAUAGAUUAUUCAAUGUAAUGCUAGUACAAUGAUAACAAAAGAAAGCUUUGUAUACCAUUAGGGCACGGGUUCGAGACUUGGGAAGCUCUUGAAUAAAUUUCCCAAACCCACUCAGCCUAACUCUACGCUUAACUUCCACCAUCGCCGGCCACUCGCUCGUUUCUGCUUUCUCACCACUGCCAUAGAAAAACCUAGUCAGAGAAUGAAAGCAUAUAUUCAAAUGUCAUAACUGUCGUCAAGAUUCAUGGUGAUUUUGCACAAGUACCAUGAUAUUCUGAAUUUCUGAUAGAAGGAAACAUGAAACCUACAGAUGGACUCUGGAGCAUCCCAUACUCUACUCAGAAUACUUGACCCCCUUAAACAACUGAUGCAUCUUCUUUUUUAUACUUUUCACAGACACUAUCUAGCUUGCUGAUGUUUCAAUUGAUCUAUUCUUAAGCUUAUUCAAAUGCCAUUCUAAUUGAAUUAGAGAAGAGAUUGAUUGCUAACACAAUUCCAGUUCAAGUACAAUUUAUAAUCUUCAAAGAAAUAUCUAAUAUUAGCAUAGAGCAGAAAUUGUCUGUGCCCGAAGAAAACAGUAUCAAAAAUAUUGAAUAAUAGUAGCUAUAUUAGUUAAGGUAAUAAGAACUUACCUUUUGAAAAUGCCAGCAACAGGCACUACGGAAGACAUACUCAGUUGCAGUAACCAUCCCAUGCUCUCUCUCCCUUAUCAUCACUAAGUGCAGCUGCUUUCUCAAGUCUAGAGAUAUCGUCAUCAUACAUAGGUUAUUAAGCAAAGUAGUCGUCAAUGAGUCUUUGGUUUCCAGCUACAUGAUCUCUCUUGAUGUAUUUUCUUUUGUUACGACGUGGAUAAUCUUCUUCAAUUUUGUUGCGACGCUCUCUAAACCGGUUUAUGAUAUAUUUCUCUUCAAUUUGAGAUUGUCUUUUGUAAGCUUCAAUAUCGAAAGGAAAUUCUGAUGGAUCCAUUGGAUUUUUUUUAGUAAGAUGAUGUUUGUUAUAUUAUUUCAUCAAUAGAAAAAUGAGUUUCCAUUUAUAAAAAAAUCGAGUGGUUGAAAGAGAAUGAUAAGAUAAGGAUUUGAUGAAAAGAUCAUGUGGUUGAGAUCCAACAGAUAAGGAUCAUGUGGUAAACUAAAAGAUAAGGAUUAGAUUCUAAGUUUCUAACAUAAAAAGCCAAAAUUGAUGGAUUAUAUUGUCGGAAAAUAAUGGAAUACUGACAAACAAAUAUUAUUGCAUAAAAUGACAAACAACAAUUAUAGCAUAAAAUGAUAAAAUACACACAUACAUAUGACAAAUAUAAACAUUAAAGUAGAAAGUGACAAAGUGUACACAUACACUUCAAACCCACUAAUUUCCAAAUAGUUCGUGGUUCAACUUCUCUAAUAGCUUUUUGCUCCAAUCAUUGAGAUGCUCAUUCUCAGAUAGCUUCAUAACCAUCUCCAUCUUCUUCAAUUUGUUUGCCUCUUCUGUCUCUUGGCAAUUUUUUUCCAAGUUUUCUAACUCUUUCUCUUUCAAUUGCUUGAAAUCAUUCCACUCUUCAUUAACGACUUCCAAGCAUGCAUCACCCUUACCUUUUUUUAACUUUCUUUUUAGACGCAUCCCUCCCAUGGGACGAGCACUAGAUCAUACAGAGUUUGAGUCACUUGCAUUAGUAUUGUGAGCUCUCUUAGAUCCACUGCUUCCAGACCCCGUUUUUUCUCCUACCUGACUACUAUAGCGUGGUUGAUCAUGAACAGCGAGUCACUCUAACAUUAAAUUAAAAUACACAUUCUUACCAUUUGAAUAUAGUUCAUGUGCUUUUGCGAAUACAUCAAUCUCUGACCAUCCGCUUUAUUACAUACACUUAGCAUUAUCGUAAGCGCCAAUCCAUUUGCCCAAUAUUUUAUUCACGUAGUUGAAAUGAUUUCUGCACGUAACUCCAUCAUACGGAGGAUCAAAUGAGCAUUGCUGAUUACAAUAUUCAGCAAUUUUACCCCAGUAUGAUUCACUCUUUUGGUUUCUUUCAACAAUGCUAUAUGUUCCAUAUUUAAUUCAUCCACUCAAAAACACCAAAUUUUGCUUAGUUGUCCAUUUGGGGAUUUUUCGUCGAGUAGAAGUUGAAUCUUCAUUGUUUGGAAUGUCUUCAUCAACACCAGUCAUCCUUCCAAGAGUCAUUUGUGUAGAAAAUCCAGGAAAUUCAGAAGGUGGUUGAGAUGAAUAUGACAUCAUCGAUCCAUAAUAUGGAUGAUAGUGUGGAACAGAUGAUGGCACUGGAAAAUUUGGUGGAAAUCCAUAAUUUGAGACAUUUUGAGACUAGUUGAAAGAUGGAUUUUGAUAUUGAUAAUUACUGGAAUUUGGGUAUGGAAAAAGAUAAUUAAAAGAAAUUUGGGUAGAAUUAUUAUUGGAAUUUGGGUAAGAAAAUGGAAAAUUUGCGGAAUUUUGUAAACGAUUAUUAGUAAAAUCUAUUUCACAAAACAAAAUUAAAAAUAAAAACAAGAUUUUUUUGGAGAAUAAUAAAAAACUAUAGUUAAAAUGUUUGUUUUUUAUGUGUCCGAAUGAACCAAGUUUAUAUUUAUAAAGAUUAAAAUGUUAUGAAUUUUCAUAUAAAUAUUGUUUUAUAUAUAAAUUGUUAAUUGUAUAAUAAUUGAUUGAAAAUAGAUAAGAUGGGAUAAAAAAUCUCCAAAAUCUCAAAUGCCAAUAAUAAUAUAACAAGUGUUAUUAUCUCAAGAAAGUGAACUCUUCACUUGCAGAGAACGUGUGUGAAACGUACAUCCCAAUAACAUGAUGACAUGUUGCAUAUAUGGACCCCAAAAAAAAAGACAUAUAUGAACUUAUUAAUUCACAUAGCUUUUUUUGAGUUUUCAACACCUCCAUUGCAAACAUUAAACGGGAAAAAGUUAAAAAAACAAACAAACUAAUUUUAAUUUGGAAGUUUAAUACCCAAUAUUUUUAGAUUGGAAUAAAACUACCUCAUCUAAUUAUUUGUAGUCACAAAAUACCUCAGAUAUAAGUUAUUGGUGGAAUCAAAUCCAGUCGUUAACGGGCGUUACGGAAUCAUUUAACGGUGUUAAAUUCUAAUUCCGUAUGAUCUAGUUUAUAUAGGGGUUGUUUAGAUUUAUUAGUUGAGAAUAUUAUUGUAUCCUAGUGGCUACACACGAGGCUAACUUAUUCUCCUUACUCGGGUUUGAUACCCCUAACUCGCAAUUUUUUUUUUAGUUUUUUCUUCUUCUUCUCCUCCGGGUGUUCGUUGAGAAAUCAAAAUUGGAGAGAAAUCCAGAGUCAAGGGUCGAAGAAGCUUCUCAUGAUUCGGAUCUGCUAUUUGAAAAGGUUGAAAGAGAAGAGCUUCUUUGUAGAAAGAGUUUGGGGAGAGUUCCAAGUUCCAACAUGGGCGGAUUGAGGUGGAGGAGGUGAAAGAAGUGGAGUUACAGAAGGUGGAAGGCAAGAAGGAGGCGUUGGAGGUGGAGGAAGUGGAGUUACAGAAGGUGGAGGGCAAGAAGGAGGCGUUGGAGGUGGAGAUGAGGUGAUUGGCGGAUCUGUUAAGAACCACCGGCGAAAAUAAGAAAAGGGCCUUACUAGGGAUUCGAACUCGGGUUAAUAGGGUUAAGUGACCUUGCUAAAUACCACUAGGGUACGGUAAUAAAUUUCGUUUAGUGUAGACAAACAAUUAUAUAUAUAUAUAUAUAUAUAUAUAUAUAUAUAUAUAUAUAUAUAUUAAACUAGUUAGAGUUAAAAUUUAACGCCGUCAAAUAAUUCUGUAACGCCCGUUAACGGUUGGGUUUGAUUCUACCAAUAAUUUGUGUCUGAGAUAUUUUUGGAAUACAAAUAAUUAGAUGAGGUAUUUUUAUUCCAAUCUAAAAAUAUUGGGUAUUAAACUUCCAAAUUAAAAUUAUUUUGAGUUUUUUAUAGCUUUUUUCCCAACAUUAAACAGUUGAAUCUUUUAUUCAACAUGUUCAUUGCACAUAAUCUAAAAAUAAUAUUUUCAAAAACUACAAUCCCAUCUAAUCAAUCCUCUAUUUUUAUCUUAAUUCGACUAAAACCAAAAACAUGCAUUUAAUUAUUUCUUUUUUUUUAAACCACAAUAGGAUAAUUUUAUAAAUCUCAAUACAAUGUCAGCCCUGGACAGAGCGAAGAGAAACAUUGGUAUGAGGCCCCCAUUUUUAAGGGGCUCCCAUUUAAUUUUUGUUUUUAUAUAUACAUAUAUUUAUAAAUCGUACAUGUCCUAUGCUAUAUGCUAGAGCAAAAAUAUUCACAGAAUAAACGUGAUAUGAAGAAAGAUAUUUUAAAAACAGAAUAAAAAAUCAAUUUAUGUGGUGUCACGUGUCAGUCACUCAGCCCGACAACCUAUAAAACAGAAACUCAACUUUAAUACAUAAAAAAAACCAACAAUAAUGUUUUGGUUGGUCAUUAUACCCAUGACCUUUGAGUAUCUUCCUCUUCUUUGUUUCUCUUUUCAUCAACGCUGUUCUUCAAUCUCUACUUCUACAAUCAAUUCUCUAUACUCAUGACAGAUAAUUUUCCUAUUUAGUCGAUAAUGUGUUCAUGUUUAUACUUAAUUUUUAGUUGAUUUUGUUCAUAAACUUAAUUUUUAUAUAAACUUUUUUAGGUAUUUCAACAAGAAAAACAAAGUGUAAAACAGGGGCUCAAAAAAGAAAGAAAUAGAGAAAAGAUGAACAACUUGUGAAAUCUUUGAGUAAUUCUAUGUUGAGGUAUGUUAAAAGGUCAAAAUCUGGUAAGUAUGAUGAAAGUGAUAGAGUUGGUGAUGAGAAUGAGAAUCAAGAAGAUGAUAAGGCCGGAGAAGAAACAAUGGCUGAUUGUGACAAAGAGGAAUGUGAAAAAAUCUCUAAAGAAGAUGAUGUGCCUGUGGAUUUAGAAAAACCUCCGGAGAUUUCGAUUUUACAAUUUACAGAUCCUGCAAAUUGGAGAAAAAAUGAUAAGGGAUUAAAAGAUUAUCUAGUGCAAAAAGGUCCUAUGGAAAGAGUUGAAAGAGACUACGUUUUCCCCAAAAAUGAUGUUGGUAGACAUUUUUUUUAUAGAUAUUUCAAAAGGGAGUUGAAAAAUGGAGAAAAACAAGACAGGAAUUGGUUACUUUAUUCAAAAGCAUAAGACAAAAUCUAUUGCUUUUGUUGUAAGUUGUUUAGACGGGAACAAGAUGCCACUCAGUUGUCAAGCACAUGAUUCAACGAUUGGAGGAAUGUCAAGAUAAGACUCAGCCAACAUGAAACUAGCCAUAGUCACAUCUUUUGCAUGGGUCAAUGGAUAGAAUUAAUUGAGAUUGGGAAAGGAGCAUACCAUUGAUAAGUAUUUACAAGAAGAAGUCAAAAGAGAGAAAAAUCAUUGGAGAGAAAUUUUGUUGAGACUUUUUGCAUUGGUGAAAAAUCUUGCUAAGCAGAAUAUAGCAUUCCGUGAAACUAAGGAGAAGAUUGGUGAGAGAAAUAAUGUAAACUUCUUGAGAUUCAUUGAAACGUUUGAAGAGUUUGAUUCACUUACGCAGGAGCAUAUCAAACGAGUUAAAGAAGGUAAAAUUCACUAUCACUAUCUAAGCCCCAAAAUCCAGAAUAAGUUGAUUGUUAUGCUAGGAUCUAAAUUCAAACGUAUGAUCAUCAAAAAAAAUUCAAGAGACAAAAUAUUUAUCAGUAAUUCUCGAUUGUACUUUAGAUAAAAGUCAUAAAGAGCAAAUGAGUUUUGUUAUCAGAUGUGUUGAUGUCUCCACCACAACGACACGAGUUGAAGAACUUUUUGUGACGUUUUUAGAAGUCGUCGAUAGAUCGGGGAAGGACUUUUUGAGUUGCUUUGUUAUACAUUGGGUGAUCUCAAGUUGAAAAUCGAUGAUGUGAGAGGACAAGGCUAUGAUAAUGGAUCCAAUAUGAAAGGAAAACACAAAAGAGUACAAAAGUGAUUGCUUGAUAUCAAUUCAGUAGCAUUUUAUACGUCAUGUGGUUGCCACAGUCUUAAUUUGGCACUUGCUGAUAUGACCAAAUCAUCUUGAAAAGCGAUUUCAUUCUUUGGAAUUAUCCAACGCAUCUAUUGCUUGUUUUCAUCCUCUACACCUAGGUGAGAACUCCUAAAGCGAUGGUAGGAGGUCUCACACUUAAGCCAUUAUCAGAGACUCGUUGGGAAAGUCGCGUUGAAAGUGUUCGAGCAAUUCGUUUUCAAGAUCCAAGAUCAAUCUUGAAACUUCUCUUAAACAUGGAGAGAAUUCAGACAUUGAUGGGGAUCAUUUAUUUUUGGAGCUUAAAGUUCUAAGAGAAGUUUUACCAAGAGAGAUCAAGAAGCCUAUUGAGGAAUUGGAUUUUUUGAAAAAGUUUGAAAGUUGUUAUCCAAAUAAAUGGGUUACUUUUAGAGUGAUGUUAACCGUUCCAGUUUCCGUCGCCUCGGCUGAAAGAAGUUUUUCCAAGUUAAAGUUGAUAAAAUCUUACUUGCAUUCUACUAUGUCGGAAGAAAGAUUGAAUGGGCUGGCUAUAUUGUCAAUGAGAGGGACAUGGUUGGAGAGCUGGACUGUACAAGUUGGAUGGAUAACUUUGCCGAGAAAAACGCAAGAAGAAGUUUGUUCAAAAAAUCGAAACAAAUAUUGAAUUUUGAUUGUUUUUUUGUUGAAUUUGUGUUUCAUGGCUAGUUUUAUAUUUAUGUUUGAAACCAAAUAUGUUUGAGCUUGAUUAUGGUUUUAAGGUGCGACAUAAGGACCUCCGUUUUUGUCAGGGCCUACUCUGUCUCAAUAUUAUGUAAAAUAGCCUAACUAAGGCCUAAACUAUCAUCUCCUAAUUUCUGGACAUUUUAUAAUUAUUCUCACCGCUUGUUUUUAAAUUAUCAACAAAUUAUACUUUUUCUGAAAUAAUUUCAAAAACCUAUUAAAAAUAUUGAUAAAGUCAACACUAAAAUUUUCUCAUCAUCAAACUUAUAGCAUCUCCAAUGGCUCAAUAUUUCUCCCAAUGGUUUCUCUCAACAAAAUUGUUGAAAAACUAAUUCAGAAACCUUUUAAUCGGAGAGAGAUGUCUCUCUUGAGAAAAACUUUUGAUGAGAUGAGAAACGUGUACGUGGCAUGUUCUCAUUGGAUGUUUUAUGUGACAAAACUGAAGGAAAAAAACGCAUGGAAAAAAUUGUUUCUCAUCUCUCUCUCUCUCUCUCUCUCUCUCUCUCUCUCUCACGUUCUCUCUCUCUCACGUUCUCUCUCUCUCUCUCUCUCUCUCUCUCUCUCUCUCUCUCUCUCUCUCUCUCUCUCUCUCUCUCUCUCUCUCUAUCUCUCUCUCUCUCUCUCUCUCUCUCUCUCUCUCAACGAAACGACGAUGGCGAAGGCGACGGCGACAGAGCCGGACUUUUGAUCCGACGAUUAAGGUUCAAUUGAAGCAGUCGAUCUGUUGUAUGAGCAGUUGUUGGGCAUGAGCAAACGACGACGACGACGGAUGCGGAUCCGUCUUUUGCAAAACCGGUGGUCACGAGCGCAUGUGGAAAAUGAAUCGAAUCGGAGAAUCGCUGACUGAAGCUCAUAACUGGUAAGAAUCUAUUUCUUUCUGCAAUUUAUCAUGAUUUAAUUUGGGAAAUUUGAUGUUUCUUUUAGGGUUAUUUGAAUUCUGAAUUUAGGGUUUUAUAUUGUAAGCAUUGAGUAGGAGUUUUUUUUAUUAUCAAUGGAGGCUAAGUGUUUGUUAUUUGACAUGAUUGAUGUGAGGAUGAGUCAUUGAAUGUUUGAUUUAGGGUUUUUAGUUUUUGUUAAUCAAAUUACGGUGAAUUGAAAACAUAUUUGAUCUGUGAUUCAUGCUUUCAUAUGUGUCUACAACAUGUUUGGCAACUUUUUUUGAGGGAAUCGUUUUCACCUGAAGAAUAUAUUAACACGUAAUAAAAUCUUGGAUCAAGAAAAAUAUCAUAACUUGUAAACAUAUAUACUAGGAAGUGUUGGCAAACAAUCAUACAUAAGUUAUGAUAAAUCUUAAUCGCUACUAAAGCCUUUGCGAUUUUGUUGUUUAUGUAAUAAAAUUUAUAUUCUUAUAAUUGUUUGGCCUCUUCUUGAAGCUAACAUGAAGGAACUAGCAAGAGAUUGAGAAGCUUGUGAAAUUCAAUCGCUUGGUACUUCUUAAACUAAGAGUCUAAGAUUCAUAACCAAAGAGGUUAGACAAAUAAAAUCUCCUCUCUCUUUUGUGCGGGAACAAUUUUGACUGCAUACCCUUUAUACUUAUGUGAAUAUCAGAAAAAAAAAAUCCUAUUUUUUUAGAAACACCAAAAGAGUCAAUCUCUUUUAUCUAUAAAUAUUUUAAUCUUGUUUCCUGUUUAUACCUUGUGUUUAUUCUUCUUGGUAUCACAGUGGUCAGAGAGAGAUUGUGCUUUUGUGUUUAGUUUAUAUGCCUGCAAUCUUUUUGUAUCAAGAAGUGUUUAGUUUAAUUGUUGUGAUAAAUUUACCUUGCAUUCGUGUCAAAGGGAAAGGAAUAUUGAAGACUGGGCAUGGAUAAACGUUAAGAGCAAUAUUCUAAUGGUUAAGAGAUCAAUAGAAAAUAUGUGUGCAAGCCUCACGAUUUGAUAUGAAACAGUAGAACAAGAUCAUUAGUGCUUAUAUAACACUCAUUAAAAAUGAAGUGUUGAUUCUAACAUAGUUUCUCUGAUUCUCCAUAUAGUGAAUAACAUUAUUUCCUUCUGUUUGAUGUUUAGGCUAAUAUGAUUUUGUUUUCUCUAUUUUUGUGAGGUUAAAUGGAGUGGUUGUGGAGACGAUUGGUACAAGUAGAGAACGCAAGAUAUAUUUAUCACAUCAACUAAAUCAAGGCAUAUUUAAAAGUGGUUGUUGUCUCAUUGAUUACCGGUUUGUGUUUAAUAUAGAGUUAAGCGUAUAAGUACACUUUCAUUCUUCUAUUUCCUUCUUCUUUAACCUUCAAUUUUCUCUGAAUUUCUCGUUUCCAUCUUCUUCAACCUUCUUCUUUAACCUGCUUCUUUAAUGGAUGAUAUGAAUCCAUUUUAUCAGUCUUCGGGUUUCAUAGACCUAUUGCAUAGUCAGCAAGAAGACAUAAUCGUUUUGCAAGUGGAUCAUCUGAAGUCCCAACCUUUAAUACACAAAUGUUUGAAGAAGGAAGUGAAGAUGAAGUAACACUCAUGGGUUGUACACAAGAUGAAGUCAAACCGAAGGUUGGUUUAUCACAAAAGAAAUGGUUUCCCAAAGAAGAUAUUGUUCUCGUCAGGGCAUGGCUUAACACUAACAAGGAUCAUGUGAUUGGUAAUGACCAACAAUGUCAAUCAUUCUUGAAACAGAUUGCAUCAUAUGUUGCAAUCAGUCCGCAACUUGAUUAUCUGCCAAAGAGAGAGCAUGCUAAAUGUAAGCAAAGGUGGUCAAAGGUCAAUAAAAGUGUGACCAAGUUUGUAGGUUGUUAUAAGACGGCAACAACUCAUAAAACUAGUGGACAAAGUGAGGAUGAUGUAAUGAAGUUGGCUUAUGAAAUCUACUACAAUGAUACCAAGAAGAAGUUCAACUUAGAGCAUACGUGGAGAAAGUUAAGGUAUGAUCAAAAAUGGUGUGAAGCUGCAACUAUUAAAGGGAAUAAAAAUGCUAAAAGAAAGUGUGUCGAUGGUUAUUGAUAUGGUUCAAAUUACCUAGAACUACUCUCUCAAAUAAGAGAUCAAUUGCAGUAUUUUAGGAUCGAAUUCACGGAGUUCUUUUGUUAAAACAGUUAGUUAAAUGUCGAGAUUAAGCUAGCAGGGUAAUAGUGAAAAUAAAGGAGAACAAAGUAAAAAGACAGCAGAUUGAUUGUGUUGUAAACGAUUUAAUAAAGAGCUAGGAACAGGGUAUUCUCAAGAAACUAUUGGUUAGUAGAUUUAAUGAAAGCUAGGUUGUUAUCGAACCAUUCUUAAACUCAAACUCUAAUUAUGGAAUAACCGGCGGGCUUGCCGCGAAACUCCCUAUAUCUAUAGCUAAUAAUAACCGGAGAAGCCGAGAAACUAUCAACAUAAAUAUGCAUUCUUAACGAGUUCAAUUGUUCAUCUUAGUAGAUAGGCCGAUUCUUAUUACACACCUAUAAACCAGAUUCAUCAUAUAAUAGAUCCAACUACAGAUACCUAUGGGCUAUGGCGGGCAUAUCUAUUGUCUGGAUUCAAGAUCUAGUUAAAUACUCUAGAUCUAGCAUUAGACAUGAUUAAAGAUGAAAAAUUCUACAUAUAACCUAGCAAAGGGGGCAAUCUACUAAACCAUAUGAAUCCCUAAUGAGAAACCCUAUUCCUAACAAGCAGACUACUCAGACAUAUUGGAUGAAGCAAACAACAUAUUCGAGUGUGAAAACAUAAACACAGUAAUAGAGGUAAGAGUUAGAAAAGAUCUCUUCACUGUAUUAAGAACUGGAAUGAAUCUCUCAAGAACAAAUGGAUGAAUAGCUUCUGUCUCUCACAAUAAGGUUUGCAAAGAACUUGAUAAAACAAACUUAGGUCUAAAAGCAAGAUAUAUAAAACCCUAAAAACGUCCAGGGACUAAUAAUGCAAAUAGGAAAGUUUCUGGGGCAAAUUUCCUCUUCUGUAAACUUGAAAGCGUCUAGGGUUUUUGCUGGGGCCGAAACUGGUGUCGAUUGACACCAAGAGUGUGUCGAUCGACACUCCUCGCUGAUUCCUGAACCAAAGUCAUCCUUAGCUUCCUUUUUCUUAGUGUUUGCUCCAAAAUGUCUCCUUAUCUCUAUUGUUGUCCCAUUGCAUAGAGUACCUGAAAAGACACUAAAAACACUCGAGAAAUAACAUAAAGACUCAAAAUCCUAUACCUAAAACAUAGUUAAAAUCGGUGAAAAUCGGGUUAUAUCAACUCCCCUAGACUUAGCUUUUGCUUGCCCUCAAGCAAAACACAAAAGCUGAACCCGUGGAAGAGGUUUUGAAAACAAAGGAACUCCCAACAUUCUCUAGCCUAUUGCCAUGAUCUUUCAAACUAAGUCCAUAUGCCUAACAAGUCUAAUCAAAUCCUAACCAACAUAUACUUCUCUGCAAGCUUACACAACAUUCUAGAUUCCAUACCUAAGUUCCACAACUAUAUCCACCAUGCUUUCAUCGCUGGGUCUCAUCAAACAAGCCAGCAUUCAAGAUCCUUCUAGACUCAUUCAUGUACUAUACCAUGAUAAAUUGACCAUUCUUUUAUAUAUUUUUUCUUUUUCGGUGUUCUUUCUCUACCCCAGACUUAUUCUUUUUAGAGAUUAAAGAAAGGGGAACUCGCAUACUGGAUCGACAUCCUCAGCAUUUUUCCAACCUUUGUAAUUGAUCAUUCCAAAUAAUGUAUAAUAAUGGGGUCAUAGAAAACAUUCCUACCCCUAUACACUAUCUGAAAGUCAUCUCAAUCUCUCAUUAUCUUUUUCUUUUUAUAAGGUGAGAGGAACAUAUUCUUUUUUAUCACAUUGGUCUCAAUAUCAGGUACGAACAAGGAGUCAAGAUGUAUGAAUACUAAUCGUUUGAAGAAGUAAAAGGAAGAGCAGUGAGAUUAGCUCCAGCCUUAGUGGUUGAGUUGGAAACUAGGAUAUCCUCAAGUCUGUUAGUUUGCCAACUAGAUUUUCCAAUAGUCGGAUUGACUCGAACCUGCAGCACUCAUCAAUCAGGCAAUAAACAAGUAAACUAAAGAAAACGUUUCUUUUUUUUUUUUUUUUUUAGAGUUAGAAAAUAAAAGAAAUAACCAAAUGAAUUGCAAAACGAAAAAUAAUAAGAAACAAAAAUAAAAGCCAUAUUAGUACGAACCUCCCCCAGACUUAAACGACAUUUUCCCCAGUGGCAUUCAAAUCCAGAGAAAGCGGGAAAAAUAAAUCAAAAAUAGAAGAAAAGAAAAGAGAGGGAAAAGAAAAAUCAAACCAGUGGGUUGCCUCCCACUAAGCGCUUGUUUUGAGUCAAUAGGUUGACUUGGCGGAGUUCAGGAUGUGGGUGGAGUGGUGGAGGAUUGAUGCUGCCUCCUCGCCUUCCAAGGCGGUGUGUAAACGGAUAUGGUUCGAGCAGCUUCUGGUGUCGAUCGACACUCAGGGGUGUGUCGAUCGACACUCAGGGGUGUGUCGAUCGACACUCUUCUCGUCACCUGCAAAAACAACAGGAGAAACAAGCUUUCGAGGAAUCUAGGCUUGUUAUCAUGUGAAGCAGUCUUCGAAUAAUCCAAAGAAUUAAUCAAAGAUAAAACAGGAGAAGAGAGAGAAGAGAACUUAUCACAUAGGUCCUCAAGUGGUGUGGGCUGAAGAGAAUCUGCAAAAUUCUCUGUCCGUGAAUCCCGAGGGUGUCGAUCGACAGGGGUAGUCACCGUUGCUCUACAACUCUCAUUGGCGAGCUGAACGUGUUGGAGCGUUGUGUGUUGCUCUAUGGUGGGAUUCUGAUCAGUCUGAGGAGGUGUGCCUAUGCUAGAAGCAAUGCAACUGAUAGGCUUAGUAAGCUUUGAACCAUCCAUGCCAAACUCCAUCUCCGAAUCACAAACCUUGAGAGAGAUUCUCCCUCUCUUCACAUCAAACCUAGCACCAGCUGUAACUAGGAAUGCUCUUCCAAGGAUAAGGGGAUCCUUGGGUUCCUUUUCAUAGUCCAGGACCACAAAAUCAGCAGGGAUAACAGAGUUACCAACCUUAACAGGAACAUCUUCAAGGAUUCGCUUGGAACGAUCCGCAAUGAGAAGAGUAAUGCGAGUAGGCUUGUAGUGAGUCAUGCCUAGUCUCUUAGUAACAGACUUAGGCAUGAGGUUGAUGCUUGAUCCCAGAUCACAUAAAGAGCGGCUGAAUCUGCUUGUGGAGAUAGAGCAAUCAAGAACAAAGCUACCUGGAUCUGGAAGCUUCUCGGUGCUCUGACCAGGAGUAAUGGUGCGGAUGUACUCAGCUAUGUCUACUCUCUAUGCCUUCUCCUUCUUGGCCUUAGGCAGCAUGAUUGCACUGAUGUCUCUGGUAAGUACCUUAGCUUCAUCUGAGCUAAUUUCAUUGUCAACAAGUCGCUUGACAUACAUGUUGAGUGAAGCAGAAGAUGUCUCAGAAGCAUCCUUAGGAAGAGUAUGGAGGAUCUUCUCCAUUAUGGAUGUGCACUUAGCAGCAUGAAUCUCUUGCUUAGAAAGACGCCUCCUCGGAUACGGGACAUGAGGAGUGUAGACAGACUCGGGCAGCAUAGGUAUUUGCACCUCAUAAGGUGUUGUCCGGAUCCAGUGUCGAUCGACACUAGAGGGGUAUCGAUCGACACCGUCGUAUUGAGUCGUCUCUGAGAAUAGCGUCCCAUAUGGUGCCGAUCAACACAGGAGGGUGUCGGUCGACACCAUCUCUGCAACUGCGAGCUCCAACUCGUCUUCAGUGUCCAAUUCCUCCCACACAUCAUCUCCUUCUCUGAUCAAGAUGGCAUUGCGGCUCUUCCUUGGGUUAGCAUCAGGAUUACCAGGAAGAAAACCCUCUUGUCUCUUGAUAGAUUGUGCAGUUUGAGCUUCUUGUACAUCUAGCUUCUUCAAGUGAGAGCUCUGAUUAUCGAUCUUCCCAUUAAGAUCUGUGUAGACAGCAUCAAACUUGCCAUUAAACUCCACAACAAGCUUAGUCUGGCUCUCUAGAAUCUGCUCAAGCAUCGAUUCCAUUCUUGUCUCUACUAAGGGUGGAGGGGGGGCUUGGUAAGUUGAAUUACCAUAGUUCCUUUGAAAGAUGCUUUGAGGAAAGGUCUUUUGGAAAGCAGGCUUUGGAGUGUAGUUGAAGGAACCCUAGUUCCCUGUAAACCUGUUGCCACUGAAGUUGCCCUGUGGCUGCCCAAACUUCCUGUAUCCCUGACCAUCUAUGUAGAAGACUCCUUCUUCUGACUCAGGCUCAGGCUCAAUAGUUUCUUCUUUAGCUGCAAAGUGGACAUGCUUCUUCCCUGUGAGCAAGUUAUGAACUGAAUCUAGCUUAGCAUUCACCUCUGCCAUCUGAUUUCCUGAAAUAGCUCCAGCAAUCUUCUUCCUCUCAAAAUCAGCAUUCUUGGUACUGUUGCUGCAAGCGAGGUUCUAUAUAAGGGUUGUAGCAUCAGCUGGGUAACGUGUAUUGAAGUUACCAUUGCUCGCUGCAUCUAGAGCCAUCUGGUAUCUCCAAUUAACUCCUCUAAAGAAGGUACCUAAAAGUUGUACCUCACGGAAACCAUGAUGUGGGCAAUCUCGUUGGUACUCCUUGAAACGAACCCAAGCAGCCUUGAAAGCUUCAGCUGGACCCUGUGUGAAGGUAGAGAGCUUAUUUCUCAACUCCUCAGACUUAGCAUCAUCGUAGAAAUUGUUCAAGAAGGCUAUCUUGAUGCUUCUCCAAGUCUUGAGGGAACCUGCUUUAAGUUGUUUCAGCCAAGAAGUUGCUUCCCCAGAAAGUGAAUAAGGGAAGAGCUUGCACACUAGGUAGUCCUCUGAGACUCCAUUAGCCUUGAUGCUCAGAACAAGGUCCUCUAAUCGCUCGAUAUGAUCCAUUGGUUGCUCAUGAGAUAAGCCAUGGAAAGGAUGCUCGCCAACUAAAGCAAAGUAGCCAGGCUUCAGCUCAUAGUCGUUUCUCUGGAAUGGUGGGGAUACAAUCGCUGAUCGAUUAGCAUAGAACCGGUCUGACCUGUUGAAAUCCCCAAGAGUACGACGUGGUUCCACAGCUAGAGGAAUAGCUGCAAGAAUCUGGUGUUGGUGUCGAUCGACACCUCUGUUGUGUCGUUCGACACCUAUUGCAUUUGCGUGCUGCUCCCGAUGGUGUCGAUCGACACCCAGUUGGUGUCGCUCGACACCGAGCCCUGCUGCAUCUCUAGCAGCUAACUGCGCAUUGAGGCGCGCUUGAUCCUCAUUGGCGUCCUCAGGUAGGAUGAGUCCAUGAUCAUCCAAUCUCUGACCAGCCUCAUUGUAGGCUUGUCCAUCCUCAUCUCUCAAAACUCCUUUUGCAUCAGCUCUGAUGACUCUCUCAGCCAUUGCUAAUUUCUUAGUUUUUGUUAAUCAAAUUACGGUGAAUUGAAAACAUAUUUGAUUUGUGAUUCAUGCUUUCAUAUGUGUCUACAACAUGUUUGGCAGCUUUUUUGAGGUAACCGUUUUCACCUGAAGAAUAUGUUAACACGUAAUGAAAUUUUGGAUCAAGAAAAAUAUCAUAACUUGUAAACAUAUAUACUAGGAAGUGUUGGCAAACAAUCUUACAUAAGUUAUGAUAAAUCUUAAUCGUUACUAAAGCCUUUGCGAUUUUGUUGUUUAUGUAAUAAAUUUAUAUUCUUAUAAUUGUUUGGCCUCUUCUUGAAGCUAACAGGAAGGAACUAGCAAGAGAUUGAGAAGCUUGUGAAAUUCAAUCGCUUGGUACUUCUUAAACUAAGAGUCUAAGAUUCAUAACCAAAGAGGUUAGACAAAUAAAAUCUCCUCUCUCUUUUGUGCGGGAACAAUUUUGAAUGCAUACCCUUUAUACUUAUGUGAAUAUCAAAAAAAAAAAAUCUUAUUUUUUUAGAAACUCCAAAAGAGUCAAUCUCUUUUAGCUAUAAAUAUUUUAAUCUUGUUUCCUGUUUAUACCUUGUGUUUAUUCUUCUUGGUAUCACAGUGGUCAGAGAGAGAUUGUGCUUUUGUGUUUAGUUUAUAUGCCUGCAAUCUUUUUGUAUCAAGAAGUGUUUAGUUUAAUUGUUGUGAUAAAUUUACCUUGCCUUCGUGUGAAAGGGAAAGGAAUAUUGAAGACUGGGCAUGGAUAAACGUUAAGAGCAAUAUUCUAAUGGUUAAGAGAUCAAUAGAAAAUAUGUGAGCAAGCCUCACGGUUUGAUAUGAAACAGUAGAACAAGAUCAUUAGUGCUUAUAUAACACUCAUUAAAAAUGAAGUGUUGAUUCUAACAUAGUUUCUCUGAUUCUCCAUAUAGUGAAUAACAUUAUUUCCUUCUGUUUGAUGUUUAUGCUAAUAUGAUUUUGUUUUCUCUAUUUUUGUGAGGUUAAAUGGAGUGGUUGUGGAGACGAUUGGUACAAGUAGAGAACGCACGAUAUAUUUAUCACAUCAACUAAAUCAAGGCAUAUUUAAAAGUGGUUGUUGUCUCAUUGAUUACCGGUUUGUGUUUGAUAUAGAGUUACGCGUAUAAGUACACUUUCAUUCUUUUAUUUCCUUCUUCUUUAACCUUCAAUUUUCUCUGAAUUUCUUGUUUCCAUCUUCUUCAACCUUCUUCUUUAACCUGCUUCUUUAAAAUGGAUGAUAUGAAUCCAUUUUAUCAGUCUUCGGGUUUGAUAGACUUAUUGCAUAGUCAGCAAGAAGACAUCAAUCGUUUUGCAAGUGGAUCAUCUGAAGUCCCAGCCUUUAAUACACAAAUGUUUGAAGAAGGAAGUAAAGAUAAAGUAACACUCAUGGGUUGUACACAAGAUGAAGUCAAACCGAAGGUUGGUUUAUCACAAAAGAAAUGGUUUCCCAAAGAAGAUAUUGUUCUUGUCAGGGCAUGGCUUAACACCAACAAGGAUCAUGUGAUUGGUAAUGACCAACAAUGUCAAUCAUUCUUGAAACAGAUUGCAUCAUAUGUUGAUAUCAGUCCGCAACUUGAUGAUCUGCCAAAGAGAGAGCAUGCUAAGUGUAAGCAAAGGUGGUCAAAGGUCAAUAAAAGUGUGACCAAGUUUGUAGGUUGUUAUAAGACGGCAACAACUCAUAAAACUAGUGGACAAAGUGAGGAUGAUGUAAUGAAGUUGGCUUAUGAAAUCUACUACAAUGAUACCAAGAAGAAGUUCAACUUAGAGCAUACGUGGAGAAAGUUAAGGUAUGAUCAAAAAUGGUGUGAAGCUGCAACUAUUAAAGGGAAUAAAAAUGCUAAAAGAAAGUGUGUCGAUGGUUAUUGAUAUGGUUCAAAUUACCUAGAACUACGCUAUCAAAUAAGAGAUCAAUUGCAGUAUUUUAGGAUCGAAUUCACGGAGUUCUUUUGUUCAAACAAUGAGUUAAAUGUCAAGAUUAAGCUAGCAGGGUAAUAGUGAAAAUAAAGGAGAACAAAGUAAAAAGACAACAGAUUGAUUGUGUUGUAAAUGAUUUAAUAAAGAGCUACGAACAAGGUAUUCUCAAGAAACUAUUGGUUAGUAGAUUUAAUGAAAGCUAGGUUGUUAUCGAACCAUUCUUAAAUUCAAACUCUAAUUAUGGAAUAACCGGUGGGCGUGCCGCAAAACUCCCUAUAUCUACAGCUAAUAAUAACCGGAGAAACCGAGAAACUAUCAACCUAAAUAUGCAUUCUUAACGAGUUCAAUUGUUCAUCUUAGUAGAUAGGCCGAUUCUUAUUACACACCUAUAAACCAGACUCAUCAAAUAAUAGAUCCAACUACAGAUACCUAUGGCGGGAAUAUCUAUUGUCUGGAUUCAAGAUCUAGUUAAUUACUCUAGAUCUAGCAUUAAGCAUAAUUAAAGAUGAAGAAUUCUACAGAUAACCUAGCAAAGGGGGCAAUCUACUAAACCAUAUGAAUCCCUAAUGAGAAACCCUAUUCCUAACAAGCAAAUUACUCAGACAUAUUGAAUGAGACAAACAACAUAAUUGAGUAUGAAAGCAUAAACACAUCAAAGGAGAUAAGAGUUAGAAAAGAUUUCUUCACUGUAUUAAGACUUGGAAUGAAUAUCUCAAGAACAAUGGAUGAAUAGCUUAUGUCUCUCCCAAUAGUGUUUGCAUAAAACUUGAUAAAAGACUUGAUAAUGAGAACUAGGUCUACAAACAAUAUAUAUAGACCCUAAAAAAGUCCAGGGACUAAUAAUGCAAAUAGGAAAAUCUUCUGGGGCAAAUUUGAUAUUCUGUAAACUCGAAAGCGUUUAGGGUUUUUGCUGGGCCGAAACUGGUGUCGAUCGACACCAAGAGUGUGUCGAUCGACACCAAGAGUGUGUCGAUCGACACUCCUCGCUGAUUCCUGAACCAAAAUCAGCCUUAGCUUUUGCUCCUAAAUGUCUCCUUAUCUUCAUUGUUGUUUCAUUGCAUAGAAUACCUGAAAAGACACUAAAAAGACUCGAGAAAUAACAUAAAGACUCAAAAUCCUAUACCUAAAAACAUGGAUAAAAUCAGUAAAAAUCGGGUUAUAUCAGCUACCAAUGUUUUUUUAAUCUUUUUGGCAUGGAUACAAAUCUUAGUGUUAAACUCUUUUUGUAAAGCCUCAAACUUUUAUUUUAUAUGAUAUUCACAUUCUUAUGAUAGCUUAAUAUACACAAAAGAUCUUUUCAAAAGAUCAAUUAAAAUAGGGGAAAUUAAAUCUAAAGGAGUUCUACAAACAAAAUUGUCCAUAUACACCUUUUUUUGGAGAAUGCCAAUUUGGACGAAAAUACCCUUACUCUAUAUUAUAAGCAUUUUUAAAAAAAUUUAACAUUGAUAACAUAUAGAUCUACAAGAAUAUAGAUAAUUUGUAAAAAAAAAAUUGUUAUUUAGUUGAAAGAAAGUUGAUUUUUUGAUAGAUAAAUUUUAGUCUAAAUUAUUUAGAAAACGAUUUCUAGUGAUCUACUUAAUUUAGAAUUUCUAUUCUAAUAUUUUGUACAUAUUUUACGAAUAUUUAGACUAUUUUUCUUUCUAACAAUCUUAGAAAAUAGGAUAUUCAAUAUCUAAUUAUUGUAGAACAUGUAUUCUAAAAUUUUCUUCUUGUUCUAAACUAUGUGUGAAAUUGUAUUCUAAGAAUUUCUAUAGUUUCUGAAAACAUUAGAAAACGUUUUCUAAGAAAUUUUCACUUUUAGAAUUCAUAUUCUAACCAAAUUUAGAAUUUUGUUUCUAAACUAUUUAGAAUUCCUAGAUAUAGAAAGUGAAUCUUUGAAAAAGGAAAGUAAAUAUUUAAUAAAUAUUUCGGUUUCACAAAAUACUUUCUGUUAAGAUUACGAUUUUUACUGGAUUUAGAAAACAAAUUCUAAUUUUUUAGAAUUAAAAGAAAAAACGCCAAAAGAAAACGUGCCUUAGUCGAUUAAUUUGUGCCCUAUCAUUGAUCUCUUCUUCUUCACGUUCUUCCUUUUUCAUCUCGUGUUCUGUUUUUCAUUAUGCAUAUCUAUGUGAGGAGUGGUAUUUGGAGAUUGUAUGAUAACAAGGAGUGGAGAUUUAUUGUUGAUGAAAAAAAUCGUGGGAGAUUGUUGUUUUUGGAAUUGAAUACAACUUUUGAAGAGCUUAAGCUGAUGGUCAGAGAAGACUAUGGAAUAGAACAGAGUACAAUCGAUGUGGAGUUAAGCUACUUACCCACGGAUCUUAGCGUUGAUUGUCCUCCUAAUGUUAUGAUAAAUAACAGACAGGUUAGUAAUUUUCUUUCCUAUUGCAAAAAGAAAAAAACCGUAAAGUUAUGUGUGACGUUCAAUGGUGGAGUUGAAGAUAAAGGAGGUAAAGAAAAUUUUGAUUUGAAUAAGGAACCAAAUGCUCCAAGCGAUGGAGAUGCUUGUUUUAAUGCUGACGAAAAAGUAUUAGGUAGAGAGGUGGAAAAGACAAACAGUCUGUCAUCGAUUUGGCCAAAAGUCCAAAAAAGCGAAAGCAUCAUCAGGGUGCAAGUGAUGGAGUGGGAUCAUCGUCGAAGUCUUUUUCUGUAAAAAAGGAGCAAUAUUUCAGAAGUAAAGAUGUUUUGAAGGCAACAAUGGAGUUGUAUGCGAUGAAGUAUAACUGCGACUACAUGAGUACAAAGUCUGAUAAGAAAUUUUGGUGUAUACGAUGCGUAGAUGUGGUCUGCAAGUGGAGUCUUCGAGCGGAGCGUUUAGAGAGAUCUCUGUAUUUUAAAGUCAACAAGUUUAUGGAUGACCAUUCAUGUGCUCCUUCCAGGAAAUUUUUUUUUGUCGCACAUCUUCAACCAAAACAAUUGGACGUCUCAUUAUGCAUAAUUAUGAACGUGUGUUAGAAGGUCCUAAACCGAAUGAUAUCAGCAAUAUUAUUCGCACACAAUACGGACACGAGCUAACUUAUCAUCAGGCGUGGGAGGCUCGUGAGUAUGCAGUUAACGAGGUCAGAUGAAUUCCUGAGAAAAGUUAUGGGAAGAUACCAAAAUACUUGUACAUGCUAGAACAAGCGAAUCCUGGUACUUAUACAAACUACGAAGUUGAUGGUGAGAAUAGAUUCAAAUAUCUAUUUAUAUCUUUCGGUCAGUCUAUUAGAGGGUUUUACAAGCCUAUUCGGAAAGUGAUUGUGGUUGACGGUACGUUUUUGAAAAGCAAAUACAAAGGAGUUAUGUUGGUAGCUACAGCAGUAGAUGGUAACUCCAAUUUGUAUCCAAUUGCAUUUGGAGUUGCUGAUUCCGAGAAUGAUUCUUCAUGGCAAUGGUUUUUUAUACAACUUAAGAAACUCAUAGCGGAUGAAGAAGACUUAGCUUUUGUGUCAGAUAGGCAUUUCUCGAUCACUAAAUCGCUUGAAAAAAUCUAUCCAUUGGCAUCUCAUGGUAUUUGCAUAGAAAAUCGAAGAGGCUUGUUUCCAAACACAAACCAGAGUUCAUGUUUCUUCCUAGUUACCAACUGUCUAGACAGUAAGCUAUGCAAACAGAGUAUCCUAAACGGUUUUCAAAUAUGGCAAAGACAUGUGCAAACAGAGGAUCACUCUUCACUUCCUUAUACUCUAGUGGCAUAGCUUUCUUGAUUCUCUUGAGGAGAGCUGUUUUGCAGAAGUUGUUGACUUUUCCAACAAGAGGCUCUCUACCAUGUCUGAAUAAGCGCUUCGGAUACUCCUUAUUAAUGUCUGCACAUAACAAUCACUUAUAUGUUAGUAAAACAAGAGAUAAUAGCUGCAGCGUUAUUAGUAAAUAGCUCUCAUGAGAAACAAAAAUAAAUUGUAUCUUAAAGUACUUGAACUCAUACUCGUGAUGCCUUCAUCGGUUUCCAUUAAGAAGCUACACCACAGAUAUAAUAUAGAUAAAAAACCUGAAAAAACAUAGUACCCACGUUAGCAAUCAAGAAGAGGAAAGACAAAACAAGAAGAAAAAUAUGACAUGAAAAUUAUCAAAGACCGCUAAUCACAUGACCACCAUCUCUUAGUUUCAAAGCAGUUAUCAUGAUAAGGUAAUGUGAAUAUGUGGAUCUUUGUCUCUAAAAAAUGAAGCUUCUUAAUGGAAACCGACUAUUGAUCACGUGAUUAAAUAGCAAUAGUCAGACAGGACUUUUGGAACCUCCCAUAUCAUCAUCAUCGUAAGUAAAUGAUUAAGAAUAAGAUAAGUAUCUCACCAUCUUAUUAAAUAGCAAUAGUCAAAAUAAGAUCACGUGAUCAAAUCCCAAUAACUAUGUGUUCAAACCCACAUAAAUCUUAUUCUAUAAAACCAACAAGCUUUAGAAGUCUCUCGUCUCUCUCUUUCUCUAACACACAUCUCUAUCCAAGAUUUUCAAGUUACAGUCACAGAGAAACAGAACAAUGUCAUAAACGAUUAUAUUGGAAACAAAAAAAAAGAAAACGAUAAGAGAGAGGGAGAGAUCUCUCACAGAUCAGUCCAAAUGAGUUAAUCACAUAAUUAUCAAACUUCCGAGCACUUUCGAAACUAAUGAUUGACAUUAUGAUUUCCCACUUAACUUUAUUAUUCUAAAACUUUAGUAUAUUAGUCCAAGUUGAACUCUUCAGCAAAUAUAUCUUAUAUAAUUGAUUGUUCUCAUAUUGUUUAAUAUAACGUUAGUAUAAACAAAGACUACAUCAACUUCGCAUUCGCACUAUAGAAACAGGAUAAUAAUUGUAUAUAUCAACUAAAAUUUCAUGAUAUUUUUUCUCAUCUACUAAGAUAUACUAGUAUAACUUUCUCUUUCUCUAACACACAUCUCUAUCCAAAAAUUUCAAGUUACAGUCACAGAGAAACAGAAAAAAAAAAAGUCAAAAGGUUUCAAGAGUCCUAAAAGAAAUUCCAAGAAGAGAACUCACAAUGAAGAGAUAUUGUUCAGUGGCUGAUGUUCUCUGUUAACGACGACACAUUCGAGUCAAGCUGUGAGAGAUUUGCUUGUAAGCAAGGAGAUGAAGAAAGAGCCACUUAAAGGAGAAAUAAACCAGAAAAUUGUGACAAUCAAAGACAUCAUGACGAGAUCCCAAACAUAUAAACACCAAAUGUAUAAACAAGAUAAACCUUCAAAUCAACUAAAGCUUCUUAUGCGUAAAAAACUAAAGCUUUCAAAGACUAAGAUGCCCAAGUUAAAAUCAAACCUUAAACCCAAAAUUGAGGCCCUAAAUUACAAGUAUGAAAAACGAAAUUCAUCUAACUAUGUCUUAAUCUAUAAUUUCAAACACAAACACAAAUACAUUAAAAUGAAUCAAAGAGCUAGAUGAGUUAUUAAGUCUACAUGCAAUCCCUUAAAAUUAAGAGUCAAGAAAUUGAAUCCUCUCUACAAGUAAUAUGAAUUCUAAGAAAUUAAGACGGACCUUGGCGGUUUUGGUGGCGGAGAAGGAAGGGAGGUUGAGAUGAGUGGUCACGACGGUGAUUGAAGAAGAUUCAAGUGACUUUGGACACGAUGGCGCCGACCACAGAGAAGGCAAAGAAAUCGCCGGCGACGACGAAAACGGAGAUGAUCCCGGAGAUGGCAAAGAAUGCGCCGGCGAGUGUGGAGAGUAAGUUUCGCCGGAAUUUUUUUUUUAAGAGCUGAAUGUUUUUUUUUUUUAAUCGAGUAAAGGAGGAAGAGAGAUAAAAGAUAGGGUUUCGAAAGACUCUAAUACAUUUAGAGGAUUUAGGUUCUCAAAAUUUUACUAAAAUUACUAUUUCUUUUGUGUAAAUAGAUUAGGAAAUUAUUGUUUUUUUUAAUUAUAAAAUAAAAUAAAGGUAAAUAAGACUUAGUUUUUUUUGAAAAACCUAUUUGACUAAUCUACAAAAAAAAGGAAUAGAUGGACAAUUUUUUUUAUAGAUAUCCUUUAAAUUUAAUUUUCCCAAUAAAAUAUACACAAAUCAAAACAAAGUAACUGCUAAAAGUUAUAAUUAUUAUUUCCUAUACAAAUUUACAUAAUAUACUUUAGCAGCAUCAUUUAGUUUCUCAAAAGUUUCAAUUCGUAAUAGUAGUGUGUUUUUCUAGAAUAAUGAAGAAAAAAAUGGAAUUUGGUGAAAAUGGCAACACAGAUUCAUUUCAGCCUCCAAAGAGGAACUGUUCCACUCCCAUUUCUAGAUUGUAAUAGAAUGUUACACAACAUAAUGCAUCAAAUGCUAAGCAAUGUGUUCCUCUAAAGUCUAAUUACGAUAGAGUAUUUGCAGAUCUUACAAAUUUAACUCAUGUUGUAAUAGAAGAACACAUUAUCCAUCAGGAAUCAGCCUGUCACAAUCUCAGCUAGGUGUGAAAAACCAUAUUAUAUCAUCCAUAUUUUUGUAAAUAGUUUAUAAAGUAUUUCAUAUCUUAAUUGAUGAUUAAUUUUCAAAAACUUAACUUAAUGGUUAUAUCUUUAUAGAUGCAGAUCGUUCAAAAUCAUACGUUACACCAAAUCGUAGUGAACAUUGUAUAUACCACAUUUGUUAUCACAAAGUCAUAAUUCUGAAAUUAUUGAUGAAUCUCCUCUAGACUCAGGUAAUCAGUAUGACAUAAACUCAGAAUGAAAUAUAUUUUCCUAAUAAUGUUUCUAUGAUAUACAAAUGAUAUAUUUAUUAUUUUAAACCCUUCACUACAACCUCUAACCAAGUUACAGAUCAAAUUAGGUGAUCAGAAAUUUACUCCGGUGAGAGUGAGACAAUCAAAGUCAACACUUGGAUUAGAUAAUUUGCUAUCUUCAAUAAGAUUAGAAGCUUUAACAAGUAAGAUUCAUUAUAUAAAACACUAGUUUCUUAUUUCAAAUUUAUAAUCUAAAACUUUAGUAGAAAUUAAUUCAAUCUUACUUUCCUAAUUAUAUUCAGGUACAGAAAAUGAAGAAAACCAUACAAAUCUUUUAUCAGUUCCUAUUAGUCAGUCAUAUUCUGAUAUAGGUAGAGAUCAUUAUUUUAAAGUAAUGUAAACCAUACAUCCACCAUAUAACUCAAUUCCAAAAUAAAACCCGUUCUGUAAUUUCUUUACAUGUCCCGUGAUUUUUUUUUAAAGUAGUAAUUUUUAAAAUUUAAAAAUUAUUUAUUAUGUAUAAAAGUUUUGCAAAUUGUAUCAUUCUCUAAUAUAUUUAUAUUUUAUAGUUUAAUUUUAUAUAUAGUAACAUUAUGCAUACCACAUAACAUUUUUGGUUUUAUAUAAUCUUUUUUAAAUUAGGAUGAUUUGAUAUGUUUAAUAUUAGUAGUCUUAAAAAAUAAUAAAUUAAAGAUUUAACUCGUAUUAAAACAGUGGAUUAAUUAUAUUUUACCUUUUUAUUAAUGUUGAUUCAAAAAUUCGUCUUGCCAAAAAGCCAUUUAUUUUAUUAAUAUUAAUUUUAUUUAUGAUAUGACUCUGAAUUAUACUCUAAAUAUUUUAGGUAAUAACAUAGGAGUGCACCAUAUUUAUUUAAUAGGGGAAUGUACCAUAUGACCCGAAUGCACUUUUACCCAAAUCCACCAAAAAAGUCUUGCAAAAAUACUAUAGAGAUAAGAAACGAUAGUCGGUUUUGAUAGGUAUAAGAUUAGCAAAUAUAUUAGUUAGCUUAAAUUAUUUAAAGAAUACAAAUUGAAAAGGUAAAUUACACUUUAUUCGAAUAUAGUAUCAAAACUUAUAUAACACAUAGAUUUGAUAAUUUUUUAAUUGUUGAAUACUUUUUUUUUGUGCUAAUUUUUAUGUGAUUAAGAUUUAAUUGAUUUCGUAUAUAAAAUAUUAAACUGUUUUACGAACUUAUUUGUUUAUAAUUUGGUAACAGAUAGAUAUUUGAAUAUUCAGUAUAUUUUGCUUCAGUUUAGUAAAUCUUUGAUGAACCGUCUUUAGAUCCAAUAAGCCCUAUAAUUAAGAGAUGAAUAUUGUCGUUAAAUGAUUUUGGUAACCUUAAUGAUGUCAUUAAAGGAUUUUGUUUUUGAUUAAAUUUUUCUAAUGGCAUUGUCAUGUAAUUAAUUACAAAAAUUAAGGUUACAUUUAAAAUGUACUACCCAAAUAAUAUAAUAGGAUUUUAAAUUGUGUAGCAGUAGAUAUUACUGGAUUUACUUAGAAAUAUAAAAUCAUAAAUCAGAUCAUUAUGAUAAAUGCGAAUAUAUCAUCCUAUAUAUGUUUAUUUAUAUGACGUGCACACAUUCAACAAUUUCUUAUAUACAUGUAUUUAAUAUAACAUGCAGAUGCUGAAAAUAUUAUUCCUAUUGGCAAUUCACAAAUACAUACCAUGCCACCACGAAUUAAUACCUCUCUUUCUUUUGUUUUCAAAGACUACUGAAGCAAAAUGAGAACCAUUAGAACUCAGCAAAUGGAAAACGAUAGAAUUUAUAUUUUACCAGCAGCAGAAAAAGGUUGGUUUAUAGAUUUUAUUGACAAACAUUUACAUUAAUUUGGAAAACAAAAAUAUAUCCAUCUUUGAUUAUUAUCAUUUUCUGUUAACAAUGAUCAAAUAAUUGGAAAGACAACUUCAAAAUCUAAAUCAAGUAAUCCAAAGUAUCGGAACUUAGAGGAAGAAUUUGAUGAUGCAAUAUAGACAUAAUAUUCUGAAGGCAAGUAUAAUUUAAACAUUAAUGAUUUUUUCAUUUUGAAAAUUUGUGAUAAGUUAUUGUUUUCAAAACUAUUGUAGAUGAUGUCGAGCAAACGUAUUUAUACAAUAGCAGUGAUGAGGAAGAUCUUACUCUGUCUGAAUCUGAUGAAGAACUGCCUACUAUCAACCAAGAUCUAUUUACAGGUGGAGACUUCAGUAAUCUAUCUACAAAGAGAAACAAUGUAAAACAACAAAGGAUGAUUCAGGUAUUUAAACAAGAAUUUUAUAUUUUAAUACAGAAAAUCUAUAAAAUUUGUAUAUAGUACUGCAUUUUUAUUAUUAGGUUAUCUAGAUCAUGGUGAUCCGACAUACAAGUGUCGUUUUUGUGGAGCUAUAAUGUGGUACGACGAGCAUUUUAACAAAGAAGGAGAUCUAAAAAUCCGACGUUUUUCUCUGCUGUUUGCAUGGGACUAUAAAACUUCCAUUUUUGAAAAAAUCUCCGGAAUGCCUAACAAAGUUACUUACAGGAAUAGAUCGACAAAGUAGACAUUUUCAAAAAAAUCUCAAACCGUACGGAAUAGAAUUUUUAAUGACUUCACUUGGUGGUAAAGUUGAUAGGUCAGUUCAAAAAGAAAAAUGAUCAAAUAUGUUUCAACUACAAGGAGCAAAUUAUCAUCUCACUGGAAGUAUGAAGCCUAAGGAAAACUAUUAUGCAAAGUUUUCACAACUUUACAUUGUUCAUACAGAAAAUGAAUUUACAAAUAGGGAAACUGUUUUAAGGUAAGCUAUGUAUUCUUAUUUUUUCCGACUAUAUGUUAAUAUAAAUGUUGACAUUUUUUAAUACUUUUUAUGCAGUAAGGGGAAAGACAGUUCAACUUAAAAAAGCAACAAUAAACUGAAGCAAAAAAUCAUUAAAAUGCUCAUCAAAAUGCUCGAUGAAGUCAACCCAUAUUUAGAAAACUUGAGAAUAGCUAGGGACAAAAUUUAAACUAAUACAAGUGAGACUUUCUAUAUGCGUAUUGUUAGUGAUCGUAUAGGUAAGGAUGGAAAGAAUUAUUACAACCAACAACAUCUGAAGUGGCUGUAGUGAUUCCUGGGGAUUUUGUGAAAGGAAUGUCAUCUCGUGACAUAAUCAUUAAAGACAAAACAACUGGCAGACUACAAAGGAUUAGUGAAAUUCAUCCCUCUUAUUCGCUACUACAAUAUCCUUUCAUUCUCUACUAUGGUGAAGAUUGUUUCAGAACUAAGAUACAGAAAGGAUACACUGGGAAAAGCAAUACCUGCAAGAUUAAGUCCACUAGUAUGGGACAAUGGUUUUCUUUUCGGGUUCAGGAAAAGGAGAAUGAAAGCCAUACUCUUCAAUUGUGUAGGAGAUUGUUUCAACAGUUCUUGGUUGAUGGUUAUUCAACAAUUGAAGCUAAUAGGUUGUCUUAUAUUAAAUUCAAUUAAUCAAAAAUUCGUUGUGAGAAAUUCAGUAACAUCAAAGAAGCGGCUGCAGCUGGAAACAAAAAAAUGAAUGAACAUGGAAGACCUUUGAUUAUUACUUCCUCAUUCACCGGUGGUCCUCGAGAUAUGGUACAACAAUAUUACGAUGCAAUGGCCAUAUGUAAACACUACGGAUUUCCAGAUCUAUUCAUCAGUUUUACGUGUAAUCCUAAGUGGCCAGAAAUUAUUAGGUAUUGUAAAGAACGUGGUUUGAAUCCUGAUGAUACUAUGAUAGACCAUAUAUUAUAUGUCGUGUUUUCAAGAUUAACCUUGAUUCACUUAUGUUUGAUUUGACUGAAAAACAUCUUCUUGGAAAACUGUCGCAGGUAAGUUAUCUAUAUAUUUAUUUAUUGCUUAAUAUAUAUACAUAUAUAUCUUAAAUAGUUUUGAAAAGUAAUGAUUAUAUUUUUCUCAUGCAGAUAUAUAUAUACAGUUGAAUUUCAAAAAGAGGUCUGCCACAUGCUCAUAUACUGUUAUUCAUGGCAUCUAGGAGUAAGCUACCAUCUUCUGAGGAUAUUAACUGGAUAAUUUGUGCUGAAAUACAAGACAAACAAAAGAACCUAGAAGUUUAUGAGGUCAUCAAAGAGUCGAUGAUACACGGCCCUUGCGGUGCAGCGUUUACAAAUUGUCCAUGUAUGGUAGAUGGUAAGUGUUCAAAGAUGUAUCCUAAGCCUCAUGCUAACUUGAUCUAAAGUAGGAUAUCGAGCUCAUAUCAAUGUGGAGUGGUGUAAUCAAACAGGUUCCAUCAAAUACUUAUAGGAGGCGGGAGACAUAAGAUUUUUUUGAAAAGUGUGGAUUUAAGUGUGACAACAGGUAUGCUGUACCUUACAAUGGGAAGUUAUCGUUGCGAUAUCGAGCUCAUAUCGAUGUGGAAUGGUGUAAUCAAACAGGUUCUAUCAAAUACUUAUUCACGUAUAUUAAUAAAAGACCUGAUCGUGUUGUUGUGGUUGUUGAGCCUAUAAACAAGAGUCAAACUUCAAAUACAGUUUCUGAGAACAUUCCUAAAUAAGAUAAGCAAAGAAGAAUGAAAUCAAGGAUUACUUUGAUCAAACUUUAAAUCAUGUUAGCAAGAAACAAUUUGUUAUAUAAUUUAUAAUAAGGAUAUUUUAUAUUAAAAUUUCUUUGUUUUGUAAUCAUUUGCGGAUAUGUAUCUGUUUCAGAAGCAAUAUAGAGGAUUUUUAAAUUCCCAAUUCAAUUUAGAACUACACUGGUGCAUAAGCUUUCUUUCCACAAAGAAGGAAAUCACCCGUGUUGUUUCGAUGAGGAUGAAGAUAUUUAAGAUGUUUUGGAAAAAAAAUAUGAAGAUUCUCAGUUUACUGCUUGGUUGUAUUUGAAUCAUGACAAUUUUGCAAAGACCCUCACUUAUUCUGAGAUACGAGUACAUUAUACUUGGGAUGGGAAGAACAAGCAAUGGAAUAUAUGUAUAAGAGGAUUCUCUUUAGGUAGGAUAAGUUACGUCCCACAAAAAAUGGAAGCUGAAUAUUUUAUGCGUAUAUUACUUAACAUAGUACGAGGUCCUACAUGUUUUGAUGAUAUCAAAACAUUCAAAUGGAUUGUUUACGAAACAUUUAAAGAAGCAUGUUAGGCACUUGAAAUUUUAGAUGAUGAUCAAAUUAUAUUGAUGGUAUCGUUGAUGCAAGCCAAUGGUUAUUUGGAGAUGAUCUUUAGAAUCUAUUUGCUAAUAUGAUGCUGUCUAAGUCUUUAUCAAGAGCAGAACAUGUUUGAGAAGCAACAUGACAUAUUUUAUCAGAAGAGAAGAGAGAAGAAUUUAAUAACCCAGGUUUGUACUAUGUUUCAUACGAACCAUUUUUAAUCAUUUGUUUAGAUUCAUAGUGAUUUGCUUCUUAUUUUUAGGACAUGUUAAUAUACGUUUCAGAUUUCAUUUUAUGUGAAGUUGACAAGAGAAAUUAUAAUCUUCAGGAGAUGGAGAAACUAUUUCUUAUGAAUGGUUAUUGUUUGACAAACCUUAAGACCUUUCCUUAUACAACAAGAGAAACAAUUGAUAAUUCUAAUAGAUUGAUUGUUGAUGAGAUGAGAUAUGACAUAAGUGAACAGAUAGAAAAGCACAACGAAUGGUUCACUAUGCUGACAAUGGAGAAAAAAACAAUUUUUGAUGAGAUAAUGUGUGUAGUUGAUUCUCAAUGAUGUGGAGUUUUCUUUGUUUAUGGUUUUGGAGGUACUGGCAACAAUUUUUGUGGAAAACAUUAUCAGCUGCUAUCAGAUCCAAAGGAAAAAUCGUGCUCAAUGCUGCAUCGAGUGGGAUAACUUCAUUACUUUUACCCGGUGGACUGACAGAACAUUCCAAAUUUGCUAUUCCUUUAAAUCCAGAUGAUACCUUAUAAUAUUUGAGAUUUAAUGAAGGAAGCUUCUCUUAUAAUAUGGGAUGAGACACCAAUGAUGAGUAAGUUUUGUUUAGAAUCAUUUGAUAGAAGUUUAAAUGAUGUGUGCUUGGAAAACAUGAUAACAUGCCUUUUGGUGGUAAGGUAAUUUUAGACAAAUUCUUCCCAUAAUCCAGGGGGCAGAAAGAGCUAAAAUAGUAUUAUCUUCAUUAAAUGCAUCUUCUCUGUGGGAGAAAUGCAAAUUACUAAAGCUAACUAAGAAUAUGCAACGUCUAACCAACAUAAUUCAAACAUGUUCACAACAUAACGACUUUUCUUAUCAAAACUUAAAAAAUUGAUAUUAUGUAGCUUGAAUAUUAUGUUGUGAACAUGUUUGAAUUAUGUUGUGUGUUUGAAUCAAGGUUCUUUGUUUGUUUAAUACAGUUUGAAGCAAGAUAUGUGUCUUUUGACAUCACUGAUAACAUGUAAGUUUACAUUAUCUUUGCUAUAUUAUUUUAUGUUCAGUUUGUAUUUUUUGGACCAAAACAUCAUUAUUUAUAAAAUGUUUUAAAAUUUUGUGGUUGAAGGGGAAAGGUUAUAACUUGUUUUGUAAAUGGUAGCUCUUGUCAGUUUUUCGUCACAAACUGGUUUAAGAAAAUAACUUAUGUGACUUAUAACUAUGAGCCAGUCCUCAUUGUUAUACGUUUCUUGAAAUUCUCGGAGUUCAAUGGUAAGUUUGUUAGAGUUUUCCAUUCGUGAACAAUGUUUGAAUGCAAUUAAACUGCAUUUUGUUUUUUCUUUUUGUUUAGGUAAUAACUGCAAUUAAACUUUACAUUAAUCCAACUUUUACUGAUUUUGACACUCGGAGAUACUUGUAAGUAACAUUCUAUCAUAUAAAGAGUAUAUACCAAACUUUAUUUUACAUGUUUUACACAGACAUGUCUUUGAAGUUGGACAAGUUUAUGAUUAUGUGAAAAUGGAGUUGGAUCAUGAUAACUAAAGUGGAUAUAGAUUGAUGUCUUAUUGUCGAUCGUCCGACGUAUUGCAUAGUCACCAAGAGUGUAUCGAUCGACACUCCUCGUUGAUUCCUGAACCAAAAUCGUCUUUAGCUUCCUUUUUCUUAGCUUUUGCUCCAAAAUGUCUCCUUAUCUCUAUUAUUGUCCCAUUGAAUAGAAUACCUGAAAAACACUAAAAACACUCGAGAAAUAACAUAAAAACUCAAAAUCCUAUACCUAAAACAUAGUUAAAAUCGGUGAAAAUCGGGUUAUAUCAGUAAUGCAAGUUCCCAACCAAUCAAUGUUGAAGAUGAUGGAAUAAUAAGUCGACCUCCGGGUGUCAAGGCAGCAAAAGCGAAAGGAUAGAAGUCAGCCACUAUUAAAGAAGGAAAGAAAUCUGCUAGUAUUAAAGGAGAAGCAGACCAGUCAUCAGUCGAACAUUUUCAGAGCUUAUAGGAGCUUAAGGAGAAGGAUUGGGAUCACAAAGAGAAGCAAAGCAAUCAGAUACUUGAAAGUCUCUUUAGUGACUUAAGUGUCAGAAGUUUUCUCUCUCUUAACUCUCUCAAAUCUUUUAGAGAGAAAAAACUUUGAAUCUUGUUCAUAUCUUUUGCUAAUCCGAUUAACAUCGGAUCUCUUUAGAUUUCGUUUUAUGUUUUAGCUUUCUGACUAUUUUUCAGAUCUAUCUCAAACUUCUUGUCGGUUUUUCUUCUAUACUUUGUUUCGAUUUGUAGUUUUUUUGUAAAGCCUUUUGCCUGUUCUUCAAAUCAACACUUCUAUGUUGUUGAAGUGUUAAAUCAUUGUGGUUUGAUGGGUCUUUGUUAGCUGUGUACUUGAUUCUUCGUCCAAUUGUUGGUAAAUCCUCGCUUGCCCAUAUGGGAUUAAAUUAAGCGAUUGUUCACUUUGGUCGUUUGAUUUCAAGUGGUUGUAGUUGAUUGAAUUGGAGUAUGUAGAUUUGGAGUCCCUGUCGUGUUUGAUAGUUUCUCUGAAGACUGCUUCGAUUUUUAGCGGUUAAAGAAGAAAUCCGAUGAGCAAAGUAAAUCAAGUCAAUUACUUCCAAUGUUCAUUGCAAAAGGCGAUUGGUAAAAAGAAAGGCUUAAUCUGGUAGAAGCUGUUCGAAGAUGAUGAAGAACUGGAAGGUAAAGAAAUAUGCCGGUGACUGGAAGUAAUUCCCCGACGACAAUGGAGUUAAUGAAGAAACAACUUUUCUCCAGACCUGCCACGUGCCCGUGUUUAUCUUUUGUUAAGACAUGUGUCUAUGAGCUGUAUUGAUAUAAGCUUUAAUCUGUGUCUUUGGUUUAUAUUAAAUAUUUAAAUGGGUCUUGUACUUUAUGUGUAAUGCCCUUUGGGCUCUUUAAUGAAAUGAAGUUUGACGAAAAGAAAAGAAAAGUGUCAGGCAAUUUUUUGGAAUAAACAAUCCUCAGUUAUUUCAGGUCAAGAUGACAAAGUAUUUUCCGAGCAGCUCGACAAACUUCACAGUCUAUUCAGGUUAUAAUCAUAAAAAACAAGCAACCAAGUUUGUGGAUGUGAUACUAAAAAGAAAAUUGAUGUCCUAUGCUGUAAUUUCCAAACAAACUCUCAAGAUUAUUAGACUAUUGGUGGUUCUUUGGAGAUUUAGAAAUAGGCUAGUCUUAUCAACAUUAUUAGAUUAUUGAUGUUCUCAAAUUGUCUAUUUUUUAGGGUUCUAAAUAGAUUAGUGAUAAAUAAUAAAUAAGAAAUAGGUGUUUGUAAACUGGAAAAAUGUUAAAUUUUAAAAUUCCUCCAAAUAUAUACCCACAAUGUUUCACUGUAAAUUGUCUCUCAAAUCAUAUGAUAUACAAUUUUACUACAACAUCCCAAUUUGCAAUAACGAGAGAUUUAAAAAUAUUUUUAUAAAUGUUUAAUCAAAGAACCAUAGAUUUGGCAUUACGACAAAAAAAAGAAAAGAAAAUAAACAUAGAUUUAGAAUGAUUUUAACAAAUGAAAUUUGGAACGGUAUAAUUAUAAUACAUUUGAGAAAAUCAUUGGUGCAAUAAGGGGUGAUAGUUUUUUAAAACACAAAUCCUCCCAAAUCAACAAUUCAGUAUGCCUCCUAUUAAUAAUAAUAAUAAUAAUUAAAAUUAAAAUUAAAAUUUCAAAUAUAAAUUACAAUGAAAAGGUGAAAAAUAGAUAUAACUAAAUCAGUAAAAAAUAUGUUUUCUUCACAUAUUUAUAUAUUUUCUUUAUUAAAAUGUUUAAUACAACAUUCCAUGAUUUUGUUUUUGUAAUGUAUACAAAAACAAACUAAAACAAUUUACUAAGUUAACAAACUUUAAAAUAUCAAAUGUGAACUAUAUCUGGGCGUAGAUAUAAAGACGAUGUUCUAGAUUUAUUGUUUAGUAUCGUGUAAUCUGUGGUUGAGUAAUAAGAAGAUUCUUAUACAGUAGCUAUCCAAAAUCAUCAUCAAUCACACCAUAAAAGAGAGAAAACUAAAUUUGUAAACUUAUUUUAUGGGUUCAUUGAUCUCCAGGAGUUCAUUAGCCCUGGACUGGAUUCCUUUGAGAUACUCGGUCAAGAUAAGCUGAUGGUAUGAACCAUCUUCCUGGUCUGAUCAAAAUAAAUUUGGUCAGAAUGAUAAAUUCUGGAAAACCGUAUUGGUAACCAUCUCGUUCAAACACAAAUCAAAACCCGGUUAGCCUCACACUCAUUGUGAACAGAUAUUUUAACCAUCUGUUCUAGCCUUGUCAAACCUUGUCAAAUCAAAUCUAUGGGCGUAUCAUUUGGGCCCGCUAGAUCUAUUAUUGGGCCGUAACACUUAUUCUUUGGUCCAUUAUAAUUUUAUUUUCCGAUAAGUAAGAAUAACCAUAUGACACUACAAGAAGAUAAGCUCUUUCCGACGGACGAAAUCGUCGGAAUAACGUCGGAAACAGCCGUAUUCGACGAAUUUUUAACGACAUAGAUGGUCGAGACUAUCUUGUCGGAAAUGUGAAUGUCGACGCAAACGUGUUACAAAUUACCAACGGGUUUCCGACGAGAUAUUUCCCGAUAAUUUCUCUAUGCUUUUCUAACGAUAACAUUGGUUGCGAAACUGGUUGGAACAUAGUCGGAAAUGAUCGUCGGAUCCUCGUCGAAAAUAGUUUCCGACUAUUUUCUAACGAAUAUUGUUGUCAGGCAUUGCAUCAGAACGUUGUUAAAAAUCGGUCGGUAUCUUCUUCGACGGUUUCCCGACAACGUUAUUCCCGAUGGAUUCCCGACGAAGUAUUUCCGAUGGGUUACUGACGUUGUUGUAUUUUCUGACGGGUUACUGACGUUGUUGUAUUUUCCGACGGGUUACCAAAAAUCGUUUAUUCUUCGGGUUUUUUAACAUUCUCCUUUGUCUCUUCUCUUCUCUUAUCUUCCCCAACACCCCCCCACCCCCCGCAUCAAUUUCAAAUCCUAAUCUUUCGAAUCGUGGAGAAAAACCCUAUGUUUCUGAAUCUAAUGGUGGUAGUUUUGUUUCUUUAUUGGCGAUGGCAAAAUUAGGGGAAACACACGGUGGAUUUAUCCGCUCUUGUUGGUCGAGACGCAGGGGAAUCUUUCCUUUCUCUCAAGUUUAAGACGACAGAGCUUUCUAAUAUCAGUAUCACCAACGGAUGCUACGCCUCUAUGCGCUCGCCAAGUGGUGUAAGUCAUUCUCUGUUUCUACAAGUAUUUUUAAUGAUGUGGUGGAAGAUUAGGGUAUGGUUUUGUUUAAUCAUGAUCGAUUAGUUUUGAACACAUUUCUCUAGGGAUGAUUUACAGAACUGGAAGAUCCUACGAUGAUUUGUGGUGGAAGAUUAGGGUAUGGUUUUGUUGAAUCAUGAUCGAUUAGUUUUGAACACAUUUCUCGUAGGAUGAUUCACAGAAUUGGAAGAUCCUAGGUUGUUGAUGCUUGCUUGUGUUCUCUAUGUGAAUUGAAUGUUGAUAUCUAGUGUUUUUGGUUGUUUUAAAACCUCUUUUCUCUUAAUUUUUUGUUGCUUUGCAUUCAUAUUUUGGGAUAUAGUAUUGCAUUUGCAUUUGCAUUUGGUUUUCUUAGGUACAUGAGUGGAGUUUAGAAUUUUGAAAGUAAAAUGCAGCAAAUGGAGCAAACAAAUGAGCUAAGACAAUGUAAAGUGACCAAGGAGGAGAAGCUAGGAGGACAAUAGACCAAGUGGUCGAUUGCGUGGUCGAUUGCGUGGUCGAUUGGUCAGGACCAGAGCUACGAAGAAAAUUUAAAUCUACCAAAGUGGUCGAUUGCGUGGUCGAUUGGUCAGGACCAGAGCUAUGGAGGAAAUUUGAAUCUACCAAAGUGGUCGAUUGCGUGGUCGAUUGGUCAAGGAUUAAUGAUGGGGACGAUAUUUGAAUCUACCAAGUGAUCUAUUGCUUGGUCGCUUGCUUUCCUAAACCGGGUCAAAAUCCGAUUUGUUCCGUGUUGAUCCGGUUUAUUUUCUCAUUACUAUAAAUACUCUUAACCUAGUUUUAGAGAGGCGAGCUUUUGUUUUAGAGAUCAAAACUUCUUUUAAGGUUCUUUAUCUUAAGUUUUUGUAUGAAUCUUGGUUAGUUGCGUUUUGAAUCAAAGUUUACCUUUUAAAUCUCUUAUCUACCUUCUCUAAUUAUGAUUACACAAAGACCAAACCUAUUCCUUUGUGCUUUCAUGAUCAUGAGUGAGUAGUCAUUUAGAGUUCUUUGGUUAGGGUAGAUUAGGAUGAUUUAGAUGUUGGGUUAUGGAGUUUAGGGCUAGAUCACUACAAGAAAAGUGAGUAUUAAUAGCACUGAGUUAUAGCGUUUUAUGUAGUAUUGCUAUUAAUGAGUAACCACUGAUUUUUAGAUAGCGUUUAGAAUUUAUAAAACGCUAUGAAAGGUUUUUACUAAAAAACGUGUUUAUUAAAGUUGGUAUAUAAGAGUUUUGAUUGCAGAUCCAUAUUAAAACGCUACGGAAUCAUAAGCGGGAACUAAAAAAUUUUGGGCUCCAAAAAGCCUUUGACCAAAGACUUAGGCUCCAAAAAUAAUUUUCCUCGACUGUUCUUCUCCUUUGACUGUUCUUCUCCUUUUCAUCUCUCUCUAGCUCUUGAACUUCUUCACUGCUAAAAAAUUAAGAGGUUCUAUCUUCACUCUUCCUUACCAUCUGAGAUUGUCGCAUCUAUCUUCACUCUUGCUCUCUCGUCGAAAUUCGUACUCGACCACAAAUCCCAUCCAUCGUCUUCGUCCGCUUCAAGGUUGUAAUUUUUAGGGUUAAUGCAUGUAUGAUUUUGGGGUUUAGAUCUUGUUUUGUUUUGUUUCAAUUGAAGUUUUAAGAGUUUGGGGUUUUGAUUUGUCACAAUUUUGCUUCUUUUUAAUUGAAUCGAUUUGGGUUCUCGAUUUAGUUCACUAGGCUUUGAAAUUCUUUCUUUGAUGUUUCGAUUAGGGGUCUUGGCAACUCACAUUCGCCGAACAUUGUCUGAAACUGACACCAGUAUUUAGGGUUUUGCUUCAUCAAAAUUGUUAUUGUUUCGAUUUGUAUUUGGAUUUUUAGAUCUAUAAAUUGUACAGCACGAAUAGUUAUAGUCGAUUAUGAUGUCUUGUUUUUGGUUUGAUUCUUGUGUUGUCUUUAUUUUAGUGGUUUGAUUCAUGUCUUGUUUUCUGCAGUUCGAGUUUCGCAUAGACGAAGGACUAGCACUAGCAGGUAAUGGUUGAGUGGUUUAGUUCUUCUCUUAACUCAGCUGUAUUGCGAUUCAUGGAAUAAAAGUUUGUGUUUUUUUGCAGUCUCGGGUUUUACAAUUCACAAGAUCCCUCAUAGAUUCUUCUUCUGUGCAGGUAUUUGGUUUCUCUUUGUGUGAUUACCUUUAUUUGAUCCUCAUGGUUGGUGUCUGACAUAUAGAGUAACUCUAAUACUUGUGUGUUUAACUGCUGGUCGAGCUUUGGAGUUAUUGUUUUAAUAUGGAGAAGUCUUGGGUUUGGCUGCCAAGGUAAGCUUAUGAUUGUUAUUUACGUUGUUCUCUUAUACUUACAGUGAUUAUAUUGGAGUUAAUUUGUUAAUUUUAUUGACUAACAGGGCUAGCCCUGAAUAUGGAGAAGGAGCUAAUAAUUUUGUUGAGGCGCCAGCCAGGAGAUUGGGUAAUCCUGAGGAUAUUUUAUGUCCCUGCAGUGAUUGCCGGAAUGUUUGCCAUCAACCAUUAGGGACAGUAGUAGAUCAUUUGGUGAUUAGAGGUAUGGAUCAAGAGUAUAAGAUGAAUACUUGUUGGAGCAAACAUGGAGAUAUCAGGGAUCAUCAGCGGACUGAUGUUCAGACUUCUGAGUUUGAGGCUUAUGACUUGAUUAGGACUGCAUUUUAUCAGGGAGAAGAAAAUCUGCAGUCUCAGACUGAGAGUGGUGAUCAGGGUUCUCAUGUUGAGAGUAAAGAAGAAUCAAAGAGUUUAGGCAGAAACUGAUUGAUGCAGAAACUCCUCUAUACUCGACGUGUCCCAGCUAUACUAAAGUUUCUGCAAUCAUGGCACUCUAUCGCAUAAAGGUUAAAAGUGGUAUGUCUGAGAACUACUUCGAUCAGCUCUUGUCAUUAGUGCACGACAUGCUACCCGUGGAUAAUGUUCUACCAAAAUCCACAGAUGAGAUGAAGAAGUUCUUGAAGCUAUUUGGUUUUGGUUAUGAAAUGAUUCACGCAUGCCAGAAUGAUUGCAUUCUGUAUAGGAAGCAGUAUGAGCAGUUAGUAAGCUGUCCACGAUGUAGUGCAUCAAGAUGGGAAAAGGAUAAGCACACAGGAGAGGAAAAGAAAGGGAUUCCAGCGAAGGUUUUACGGUAUUUUCCAAUCAAGGAUAGAUUCAGGAGGAUGUUUAGAUCAAAGAGAAUUUCUGAGGAGUUGCGUUGGCAUUUCAGUAAUGCAAGUGUAGACGGGUCAAUGAGACAUCCAGUUGAUUCAUUGACUUGGUUUCAGGUGAGGGAUAAAUAUCCAAAGUUUCCAGCUGAACUAAGGAACCUUCGUCUUGGGCUUUCCACAGAUGGGAUGAAUCCAUUCUCAAUGCAGAAUACGAAGUACAGUACAUGGCCGGUUAUGUUGGUGAACUAUAACAUGUGUCCGACUAAGUGUAUGAAAGCUGAGAACAUCAUGUUAACUAUGCUCAUUCCAGGACCUACUGCGCCGAGUAACAACAUAGACGUGUAUCUUGCACCUCUUAUAGAUGAUCUAAAUGAUCUUUGGAAAGAAGGAAUUGAGGUUUAUGAUUCUUAUGCUAAGGAGAAUUUUAGACUUAAAGCUAUAUUAUUGUGGACUAUCAGUGAUUAUCCGGCUUUAAGGACUCUAGCUGGCUGUAAGGUUAAAGGGAAACAGGCGUGUAACGUUUGUGGCAAAGAUACACCACAUAGGUGGCUAAAGUUUAGUCGGAAGCAUGUUUAUUUGGGAAACAGGAAGCGACUAAGGCCAGGACAUCCCUACAGAAGGAAAAAGGCUUGGUUUGACAACACAGUUGAGGAUGGAACUGUGAAUAGAAUUCAGACAGGAUCUGACAUAUUUGAGACACUUAAGGACUUUAGAAAUGAUUUCGGAAGACUUUUGGAUAAGAAAACAAAGAGGAGCAGAACAGAUUUGGGAGAUGAGGAUCUGGUUUUAGAAGAAGAAUAUGAAGAAUAUACAGAUCAGUGGCGGUGGAAGAAGAGGUCAAUACUCUAUGAAUUAGCAUACUGGAAGGUUUAGUUCAUUCAGAAGAAGUAUAGUGUUUUCUUUGUGAACUAGUUUUGUUGUUUGUCCUAACUUAUUUUUCUUAUUUUUCAGGAUAUGUCAGUCCGUCACAACAUAGAUGUGAUGCAUGUGGAGAAGAACUGCUUUGAUGCAUUAUUGUCCACUCUAAUGCAAAGUUCUAAAUCCAAAGAUGGAUGAAGGCAAGGAAGGAUUUGGAAGACAUAGGAAUUCGAUCACACUUACACACAGAGGUAAGAGGAAAGAAGACUUACUUGCAUCCUGCAGCUUAUUGGUUAUCUAAGACAUAGAAAAAGGGUUUUUGCAGUAGGCUAGCUAAAUUCAGAGGGCCUGAUGGUUAUUGCGCUAAUAUCUCAAAUUGUGUUUCAGUAGAUCCUCCAAUAAUUGGUGGCCUGAAGUCACACGAUCAUCAUGUACUUAUGCAAAAUCUCUUGCAUGUGGCGUUGCAAGGGUUUCUGCCUAAAGGCCCCAGAAUUGCAGUUACCCGUCUAUGCAAUUACUUCAGUAGACUGUGUCAGCGUGUCCUUGAUCCAGAGAAGCUUCUUGCAUUAGAAGCUGAAGUUGUUGAGACAAUGUGUGAAAUGGAGAGGUUCUUUCCUCCUUCACUUUUCGAUAUUAUGUUCCACCUUCCCAUACAUUUAGCAAGGGAAGCACGAUUGGGUGGCCCUGUUCAUUUUCGUUGGAUGUAUCCAUUUGAAAGGUACAUUUUCUUGAAGCUUUGUUUGGUCUGUCUCAAUUUUAAAAGUGAAAACCACUUAACUUUAUUUGUACUGUUUUGAAUGAUGAUGUCAGGUACAUGAAAACACUGAAAGCAUAUGUUAAAAACUAUGCUAGGCCAGAGGCAUGUAUGGCUGAGGGGUAUUUGGCUGGAGAAUGCAUAGCAUUCUGUACUGAGUUUCUUCAGAAUUCAUUACCACCCCAAGAAGAAGUCAAUCAAAAUGAAGACCUUGAAACAGAUGAGAAUAUCCUAGAGGGUCGACCGCUGAAUAAGGCUACUGAAGUUACUCUAACAGAGAGAGAGAGAGAUAUUGCACAUCGAUAUGUUUUAAUGAACAUGGCAAUAGUAGAUCCAUAUAUUGAGUAAGUUCUAUCUUCAUUCUUGUCAGUUUGUUCAGCUUAACUUGUAUAAUCAACUUACAGACCUUGUUACUGCAAGAUGCAUCUAGAGGAAUUGCAAGCAGUCGAUGCUAGAUGCUCUAAAAACGAAACUUUGUUAUGGAAACUUCAUAACGACAGGUUUCCUCAGUGGAUCAAAGAGAAGGUAAUGUUGUCAUCGAUUAGAGAAUGUUUGGUCUGUUGAUAAAAGAGACUUUAUGUGUCAUUGAUUAGUAUUUUGUACUGUUUUCCUGUUAGAUACCUACUAAUUCAAAGGAGCAUUCUACAAAGCUGAGAUGGCUUGCAUUUGGUCCAAGACUUGUUGCUCAGACCUAUAAGGGCUAUAUUAUAAAUGGUAAUCGGUUCCACACAGAGGAUGUAAGGCGAAAGACUCAAAACAGUGGUUUAACAUAUGAAGCUUUCAGUAUGUGUAGAUCAAGUGCCAAAGAUACUAGACACCAAGCAGACAUAGUAGCAUUUUACGGAGUGAUUAAGGAUAUCAUAAUGUUGGACUACCACAUGUUCCAGAUUCCCAUUUUCAAUUGUAGUUGGGCCAACAAAGGGAAUGGUGUGAAAGAAGAAGAUGGAUUUACACUUGUGAAUCUUCAUUUGAGUCAAGCUGCGUUUCUGCAAGAUCCUUACAUCCUGGCAUCACAAGCAAAACAAGUUUUCUAUUCUAGAGAAAGUGACUUGAGUCAGUGGUAUGUUGUUAUGAAGGCGCCACCAAGAGGGUAUCAUGAAUUAGAGACAGAAGAGGAGAGUGUUAGUCAGUUGUUAGUCCACCCAAUAGAAGACAUGGGAAAUCAAUCUUCAGAUGAUGAAAGUUUUUGUGCUAGAGAUGAUUGUGAAGGGCUCUUAGUAUUAGAAUAGUUGUUGACUUGUCAUUUUUAAUCACUUUUUAAAAAUUGAUCUUGUUGCAGGGGAACCAGAAUGAUGUCAAGUCAAGCUAACACCAAACCACGUCGCAGUAAGCGUCAACAGGGACUUGAGGUGAGUCCUUUUGAAGUAAGAAAAGUUAGGAAAAACAAGAAGCAAGCGAGUCCUCUUAAGCCUGUGAGAGAGGAAAACAAUGAGUUGAGUGUUGAUGAGGGAGAUGAGCAAGUUUCAGACCUUAAUGAAGAAGAUGCAGACCUUAAUGAAAGCAAUCAGGAUUUACCUGCUGAUGAUAAUGCACAGCAUGAGAGCAUUCAGGAGCCAAUCGAAGAAGACACAACUAGAGUUUCAAACCAGAGUGAAGAAGCACAAUCCCAUCAGUCAGGGACUAACAAAUAGAGAACUAGAGGUCCAUCUAAGAUGCGUAAACUGGCUAAACAUCUAGAUGAUAAGGUCGAUGUUGAAUUUACAGAAUUGGGUGAACACUUUGGGAAUGGUUCAGUCAAACUGUCGUCCUUUCUUGGUGCACUAGUCAGGGAGCAUGUACUUGUGAUACUUGAUGAUUGGAAGCACCUUGAUGAACUUACAAGACACGCACUUUGGGAGGAAAUUCAGGUAUGUAUAACAAUUUAUUUAGUUUACCAGAACGUUCCCUUGUGACUCUUAGUUAACAAUCUAAACUUAUGUAGGGGAGGUUUAAUCUGCAAGAAGAAUGGCAAAAACAAGCUAUUUUUAGGCAGAUGGGUUGUUUGUGGAGGUCCCAUAAAUCUAAGAUUCUCUCAAAGGUUAAAGCUGCAAAGACAAAGCUUAGAGUACUUGAGCUAAGACCAAGCAACAUCCCAUAUGUCGCAGUUUGGAGCAAUUGGGUGAAGAGUAGGACUAGCAGCACUUUUAAGGUUGUAUUCAUUGUGAAAUUUGAUUUUCUAAAGUAAAUUUACAAGAAAAUGUUAAUAAUGUUGCAUUGGGUUUGAUUUGUAGGUACAAAGUGACAAAUUUAGGCAAUUAAGGAGGGCACAAAUUCCACAUACUACCAGUCGAAAAGGAAUGAUUCGCCUGGCUCAAGAGAUGGUAAGUUUAUAUAGUUUUUGGUUACGAAUAUCUCCUUGAAAACAAUAGUGAGUUCUGCUGCUAUUUAAAUUAAUAUUUGGUCGUCGAAAAAAACGAGUUUAGACCCAAGGAAGGUGACAAGAAGCAAGGUUUGGGUAGCAGGACACACACAUUCUGAUGGGAGACCUGUGAAGCCAGAGUUUGAAGAGACCAUUGUAAGAAGUUGUCCUUUAUUCUAUUAUCAUUUUCUUGAUCAAUUUGUUUAUCAAGAUUUGUGUUUUGUUUCAGGAAAAAAUAAAGUCAAUUGACAGUGAAAUGGACUCCACAUCUAAUACUAAUAUUAGAGAAGAUGUUGUUAGUCAAGUAUUAGGAAAGGACAAACCCGGGAGAGUCAGAGGGAUGGGCAGAGGGGUUACUUUUUCUAAGCUAGCUUUCAUGCAAGUUAGAGAUUCACAUGUGCAGCAGCUUGAAGCUAAACAAGCUGAAUUGAUCAGCAAACUUGAAGACUUGCAGAAUGUCGUUCAUGACUUAGCUGGCAAAAAUGUAUGUUUCUCACCUCUGUUAUGAUAGUGAUGUAGUCUUUAUUUUACUGAUGCCCUUUUUUGUUCUUCACAGUUUCCAACAGAUAGUCACUCAAAAUCAGAAGCAACUAGUAUAGUAAAGUAGUUAGAUGUCAGCUACUGGAUUGGAAUGCGUCUACUGAAGUUGUUGUUGGAGAAGGAGAAUUCUGCUAAUUGAACAAACUUACAAGAUUGGUCGUAUAAGACUUGGUCCAAACGCAGCAGCUAUUAUUGUGAGGUCUGUCCUAGUCGAAGAUGCAUAUGUCUGGAGACCUACACCAACCAUUUGCUCACUUGGGCAAGCUUUGGGGAGUAAAAUUGCAUGGCCAGCUGAUAAGGUGAUAUUGGACAAUGAUGAGCACACAACUGAAAAUAAGACUGCUAGCUCCACGGUACUUUCUAACUUCUAACUUGAUUUAUUCUUAAAUGUGGAACUUAAGUGGAACUUUGCUGAUAUAUAUGCCUGAUUACAUAGGAUACAUCAACAGAUAGAGUUCGCAUUAUUGAUUGGACUUUUGAUGAAGUUAUAGCUGAAGGUAUAUUAUGUUCAACUGAUCCAAAAGAAAUGGUGAACAAUACUCAACUAGGUCUGAAUGUUGCAGUUGUUAAAGUUGAUCUGGUAAUUAAAGGCGAUGCUUUUUUGUGGAGACCAAGUAUUGAAAUGUCAAUGAUGAGUGAAGCACUUAAUGAGAACAUCGUCUGGCCUAUUCAGAAGAUACAAUUUAUAAGUUCAUCGUCGGUACAUGAAUCAGCUAACAGACCAUCACCACUACAGGAAUCACCUACCAGACCAUCAUCAACGGUAUGAUAUUUCAUCUUCUGUGAAUUUGUUUAGAUACAGUUGAGUAGCUGCAAUGGUGAGAACUGCUCUAAUACAUAUAUACAUUCAAAUUUUAAAUUGACAGACUCUAAGUAACACUUCGGGUAACAUCAAUGGUGGGAAACAGAAGUGUAUUUUGCUGGAUAUCAAUAACUUUAGCCAAAGAGUUGCAGAAGGCAAGGUUUGUUCAUCUAAACCUGCAGAUGUUGUCCACCAUGUCCCCUUAGGUCAGAAUGCUAGCAAGGUAUGGGUCGAAGUUUCAAAGAUUGGAGAUGCAAAAGUGUGGAGGCCAAAUUCAGAAAUUCAAUUCAUUUCCGAUGCAAUAGGCACUAUUGUAGCUUGGCCUAAUGACAGACUCAUGUUACUCUGAACUUGCUGAACUUGAUGUAAUUUUUUUACUUUUUUAUCACAAACAAAGAUUGUAUGAAUUUUAGAUGUUUUAUUGAUUUUAUGAAAUUUAAUUUCUUUUCAAAUUGAUUUUUACAAUUUGGUUGACCUGUCACAACAAUUAUUUCUGAAAUUGAAAUUAUUAAUUCGUAAAACGAAAUUAAAUUUUAUAUAUUUCCAGAAUUCAGUGAGAUAUAUAGUAACAUUUCACUAACGCUAUUUAUGAAUUAUUAAUAACAAAACAAUAGUGCUAUUAUAAAAUCUACAGUAGCAAACAAAUAAACGCUAUUAAAGAUAAUUUUAAGAUAGCAUAAACAAAAAGCGCUAUAUAAAGUGUUCGACCUAUUAUCGCGGUUGAUGAGAUAGCGUUUUUAUUAACGCUAUCUAUUUAUACGAUAGCGUUAUUCAGAUGUUAUUAAUUCUCGUUUUUCCUGUAGUGGAUUACUUAAGAUCCUUGUUUAUUGGUUGCUUUUAAGGAUAGAUCAACCUUGAUCAUGUUGAUUUAGACACUAGGAAUUUCAUGCCCGGAAGGUGUUCGAUGAAUUUCCCGAACCAAAAUCUUUAAGUGAUUUUCAUACCUUACCUUUGGAAAUUGUUGAUUAGGGUGAUUAAUGGCUAGAUAGACUUGUUAUUUAUGCUUAUUGAUCAACUGAUUGCCUUUGGAAAUUGUUGAUGAUAGAUUGAUUAGUAAAGGGAUUAAUAUCAUGGAAAUAUGUUAGUCUUGCUUAGUGUUCUAUGGCCUAAGGAUCAUUGCUUGUUAGAAGUUGUUUGAUGCUCCAUCUCUUUAUCAUUUCUAAUCGAUUACCUUAACCCGAGAAUUCGUCUUUAGUUAUCACUUAGUAAUUUGUUAAUUUUCCGCUUUGUUUACAUUUGAAACUUGUUAGUCUUUUGUUUCUUGCUUUCUUUUAUCUUGUUUUGCAUUGUUUGCUUGAUAAUGCAUUGUUACUAAGAUUUAGAAUACUUAAAAUCAUCUUGUUAGCUUAGAUUAAGCAAUUGUGUGUAUUCUUGGUGAGUUGAUUAAUUGCAAAUUAUGGUUCCAUAAACAAUUGAAAACAAAUGCUACAUCAAAUGUUAUGUGAUGCUGGAUUACAUGCUUGCUUGGGAGAAGUGUUUGUUCAUAGCCCUUAUCACAGUGAUUAUGUCUUCGGAGGAAACUGUGAUGUCAAUGAUCGAGUAAAGACUGUGUGGUAAGUGUCAAUACCAAGUAGUUAAUUUGGAAUUUGUGUUUCAUAUAAUCUUAAUACAAUUUUGUUGUGUCACAGCUGGAGGCAACGCUUAUUCAACUCUAAUGUCUGCAAGUUCCUCUUAUGAAUUACUUUCAUAUUUCAAGACCUUGAGAGCACAUUAUCUGCUCAUGACAUAUGCUUCACACAAGCUGCGGAUUCGCUCUACCUUAUUAUGCUUGAAUUUCUACAGCAAGUUCACGCUCCUGUCUAUGGUUAGAUUCUGAUAAACAUAUAUAAUUAACCUUGUUGUCAAUGAUCAAGUAAUGACUGUAGUAGUUGUAGUAUUUGCGUUUCAUUUGACAUUAAUAUUGUUUUGUUCUAUCAUAGCUGGAGCAUGACAGAAAGAAGUUGCAACUCAGUGAUACAUGAGGCAAUGUGAAGGAGUUGUUCAAUGAACGCAGAGCAAUAGUGUAAGUCUCUACAUUUGGGAAAAACGCUCUAUUUCCCGCCGAGAACUAUGGACAUCACGCCAGAUAGAGCAUGUUCUUUCACCUCGGUCUAUUUACCCAUGAGUUGGAAGUUAAAUGCUGAUUUCCCCACCAAAUCAAAGUUCUACAGCUUAAUGUCCCCGAGACUGUGUUUUCUUGGUUUGGUGAGUAAACCCUAUAGAAAACGAAAUACUGGUCAUAAGUAAACCAAAAAUAUAUCUUAUUCCUUUUAAAAACCAGACCCAAUAUUCAUCCCCAAAUUUUUAAAAUCAUUGCUCGAUAAAUUCCCAUCUAAGAACCCUGAAACAUCAAAAUUUUAAUUCCCUUCAGUUCGAUUAGAAAACUCGAAUUCAAUUUCGAUGAGCAAUCUAUCUACUAGUUUGACGGGAUCUACAAGUUCUCGUGGAAGAGGAAGAGUCGACAGAAUGCCAAAAAGAUGUUGGUGUAGGGAAGGAAUUGUUGCCCUAACAUCCAAAUCCGAUACGAAUCCUUAAAGAAGAUACUUUCGUUGUGGUUUUGCUGCAACAAACAAGGUAAUUUCAUUGAUAUUCAUCAAUGUUUAAGCUGAAUUAGAUUUUUUUACUUAUGAAUUUUAUUGUUCAUUGAUAGCUAAGGAAUGAUGAACACACUUUCAAGUGGGUUGAUGAAGCUUUGAUCAAUGAUUUAGACAAGUUUAAUGCAAAGAUUGGGGAAGUUGAACAACAAGUGAGAGAGCUUAGAACACAGAGUUUGGAGUUUGAGAAAAUGGUUUGUGAGAAAGUCCAAAUGAAGAUUGAGAAUGAGUUAUUUGAGAAAGUGGACGAUGCUUUGGCUGAAUCAAAAGAAGGCAAUAAGAAGAUGAUGAUCGUCGUAGUGAUAGGAUGUAUGAUCAUGAUUGGAUUGAGCAAAUUAGUCGGAUGAAUGUUUAUGUCUCGGUUUAGAUUGAACAAAGUAGUGUUAGGAUGCUUUGUGUUGUUACUCUUGUUUGUUACUUUGUUUGACUUUUAUGAUUAAGGUAUUUUGUUCGGAUGUUUAAGAAUGGUAUGUUGUUUCGAUGAAUGUUUAUGUCUCGGUUUUCAUCUCUUGUUGUCCUUUUGUUUGGCAUACAACUAUGAACAUUAAUCCACAAAAGAUGCAAUAACAAAAUAAAUACAAUAUUCAAAAGUAGUACAUAACAGCCAAGGAUACAUAAGAGUCAAAACAAGUACCCAUAAUAUCUGAGAAUACAAAAGAACUAAGGUUCAUAACAUCCGAGAUAAAAGAAGUGCCAUACUAGCCCUACUAAGCUAUUACAUAGAGAUCAAACUUGAGUGAGUGAAUCUUGACUUGGUUCAGGUUGAAAAAGCUGUGAAGCUGAUUGAGAAGCCUGUAAAAAAAGCUGAAUUAUGUUAGUAUAAUCCAACAGUAGCCACAUACAUAAAGAGAAUGUCACAAUUUUGUUACCACAUGUAAAGCAUUUUUUCAUAUUUUUUAUUUAAAUUUAAUAUUGUUUAUUUGUGCUCCAUAUUAAAAACUUUCCUGGAUCCGCCAACGGUAGUGUUUUUACGUAUAUCAUUUUUGCAUUUAUCUUUUUAAAAAAAUUUGGAUUUCAAAUCCAAAUUCCAACAAAAAGUUGCUAUGUCCAACUCAUCCCAAACCUAGAACUAAGUCCACAUCCCAUAUAGAUGAUGUGUCAAAAUACAAUCUGAAUCAUAUUAAUAAAAGAGCUGAUAGAUCGACUUCUAGUUGAAAGAAAAUGUUAGAAAGACAUGGGUUUUAGUUUAACUAUAUUGGUUAUAUUUUUCCUGAAAUAAUUUCAUAAAUCUAUUAAAAAUAUUGAUAAACUGAAACACUAAUUUUCUUAUAGUCAAAUUUAGUGACUCGGGUGUCGGAAAGUUUUUGAAAUAAACAAUCCUCAUAUAUUUUCAUACUUAGACAUAAGGUUUUUUGUUGCCGACCUAUAUGAUCUUUUCUUAAUUUGCGAAAAAGCCCACGUAAUCCCCAAAAAAAUAAAAAAAGUAUAAAUGUACUGUAAAAUAAUCCGGGCUACGUACGGACAUACAAAUCUCCAAUUUUAUAUUUUAUGUUAUUGAAAAAUCAACUUAUAUAUUAUAAAAUUGUCUUUUUAACAAUAAAAACCAACGUGUUUAUUGUUUGGCUGGAAACAGAAGUCGCACGGUCUUGCCAUUGGUUACUAUCUUACUGGUGGUGGUAGAUACCAUCAUCAACACGAAUAUUCUUUGGUUGUCGGCUAGAAUAUUUUAACAGGCCAUAUUUAGCUUUUGGUUGUUGGCUAGAAUAUUUUAACAGGCCAUAUAAAAUCACUUUAGGUUUCUUCUCUACAAAUCAUGUAUUUGGUAACAUAAGCUAGACUAAAUAAACAUUAGUUGAAAGUAAUAAUAUGGCAGAAAUUAACAGCACCUUGUAAAUUAUUUGAGAUUACAUAUAAUAUUAAUCUUAGUUGACGAAUUUUCAAUACAUAUUUAUUUUAUUCGUUUGUCUGUCGCUAGACUCAGCCAUAUUAACCAGCGACAAAUUACAUUGUUCGUUUGUCUGCUGUUAUAUUCAUCGAUCAAUUGCAGCGACUAUAAUUGUUGCUAUCUUUGCGGUUUAGUCUCCUGAGCCGGUUUUAUGUCUUGCGAACCGAUUCUUCAACUCCAUCAUUUAUUCUAUCAUUAGUCAAAAAUAAUAUCUCUUACGAACUACUUCGUUUAACCUAUAAAAAUCGUUAAAAAAAAACCCAGCUAUCUCAUACACGAAGCUGUCUAAACUCCGAAGCAAUUUAUAACAACGUACCUCAUACGUGAGAGUGGUGCAAGUUAAUCCCACCAUCACUAUAAUAGACGGUUUUCUAAAAGCUUGAAAAUAUGAGAGAUGACAAAGCUCGACAUUGAUAAGCUUUGAUAGAAGUUGAAAUAUGACUGUUCCAAAUAACGUAACAGUUAGAGAUAUAUGAGCUUUCCAAAUAACGGAACAGUUAGAAAUAUAUGAGCUUCUUUAUAUCUAUUCAUUAUAUCAUUCUGAAACGACUCAUAACAAACAAAAUAAAUCUACAUCUUCACAUGAUUGUGAUAUAAACACAAUGUAUUAAUCAGAGAAAUUGGAAAAAAAAAAAAGGAACUUGCUAAACAUCAACAACACCCAACGAAAACCCCUAGUGGUUAAAGAUAGAUACCACUAAGACUAACAGUAACAUAUGAAGUUCAAAAAACACAAGUAAUCUAAAUAAUCGAGCAUUCUUAUGGUCAUCGCCCAAACUGGAUAUUUGAUCACGUUUGUAUCAAUUCGUAAGGAUUAUAAUAAUAAAAAAUAUAAAAAUCAUAAGAUCACUUUUGUCGCUUGUACUGGUCACCAAACUGAUUAUGCACACUGAUAAGCAAUAUACUAUCAAUCUUUGUCCCAACAUCUGCUUGAGAAGUUUUUUUUUUUUUUCUACAAUGUUAUAUAUGCCUCGUCAAUUCUACAGCUUAACACUAUUAUCAAUGGUAGUUUCUCAUGCUAGCUCUUAGAUAAAUUAGGUAUUAAAUUUCAUGUUUAAAAUGAUUAAUUGUUAAGAAUGACUUUUAUAUAAGAGUCAGAUCUAAUAUUUCUUAGAUUAGUUCUUAGAUAAAUUAAGUAUUAAAUCCAAUAUUUCAAUUCAAUUAAUCUUAGUUCUUAGAUAAAUUAGGUAUACUAAAUCUAGUCGUUUUCGUUUAUGUUUACGUCAUAUUUGUUUAAACUUUUAUGUCAUGGAUCUUUUAAAUUUUAUGAGUUGUACUGAUUAUUAAGUUUUUCAAAAUUAAAAUGUUUAUAUUUUUUAUUUUAAAAUAUAUUUUUUUAAGAACUCCAAAUUAAGAGGCCACAACUGCAUAUCGUCAAAAUUUUAAUCUCUUAGCCAAAAUCUUAACAUCAAAAUUUUUAAAAUCAAUUAUAAAAAUAUUCCUAAGAACUAUAUUAAGAUUAUGCUAAGAAACUACCGUUGAUUAUCCUCCGAGUCCGAUUUACUUUUGUUCCUUGAAAAGAAAAAAAAAACACAGAAGAAUUAGAUACUGCCAAAAAAUAACAAUAACAUGCAAACCUUUAUGUGAAUUCCCUAAGACCUGCCUGCAAUCUAAUCCGUAUGAUGGAUUAACCUCUGAAAUCUAACCCAUAAAUUUUGAUGUGUCUCUAGAGAGCAUUGAGAAGCCUAAUUUAUAUUGAAUUUUAUUCGUUUGUGAUGAAAUUUAGAAGACGAAAGGGUAAUCUGGAAGAGAAAGAGAGGCGAGGAAGUGAAGAGAUGAAACGCUUCGGAAACCUAAUUUUUUCCGUUUACUUGCAACUAUUGGAUCCUUAAAAUGUUAAGCUAAGAGAUUGUGAAUCACAUUUUAAGAGUCUUUGGUUUCUUAAAAACUAACUAAUUAUUUAAAAACAAUUGUUGCUUUCACAGUAUAUUGUCAUAUUGUGGUGUAUAUCAAAAAGGCAAAAUCUUAACUAAACUCCAAUAUUUUGGAAAAAUGUGAACUACUUCCAAUUUUGGAUAUAUCAACAAAAACAAAAGACACUACAUCAUGACAAAGAAAAAAAAAAAGAGUCACUUUUGAUGACCAGUGAUAGAGAUGAAGAUUUGGUCGUAAAGUAGGGAAGAUUCAAAAAUUCACGACUCAUUACUAUAUACUAUUAACUUUCCUUUAGAAGAAAUAACACCGUAUCUCUCCAAUAUUUUAAACUAUAGUUAGAAUAUAGCUUGUUAAUAUUUUGUACAGCGCAUAGAGAUUUCCUUAUUGAUUCUGUUGUCUAGUCUAUAUAUAUCGUUGAAAGGUGUAUCUCGAGAAACACAACCAUCUUACUCUACAUUUCCCAUUUUUGAGACUCCUAAAUCAUUUUAACCUUCUUCCUCAAUCGUGACCAUCACCAAUGACGCUACACGUCAUUGAGACUGCCCGAGUCACCCCCACCGACUACUCAGUCAUCAACUCAGCCAACUUGCACAAACUUCCUUUAACUUUCUUCGACCUUCCAUGGCUACUAUUCCAGCCAGUCAAAAGAGUCUUCUUCUACGAGCUCACCGAGUCUACUCGUGACCAUUUCCACUCCAUUAUCCUCCCUAAGCUCAAGGACUCUCUGUCCCUUAUCCUCCGUAACUAUCUCCCUCUCACUGGCCACAUCACUUGGGAGCCAAACGAGCCAAAACCGAGCAUAAUCGUCUCGGAAAACGGCGUCGUUUUGGUGACUAUAGCCGAGAGUGACGCUGACUUUUCUCAUCUUUCCGGUUAUGGACAGCGUCCUUUGUCAGAGUUACAUGCCUUGGUUCCCAAGUUACCGGUUUCUGAUGACUCAGCGACCGCUUUCUCCAUACAAAUCACGUUGUUUCCUAACCAAGGAUUCUCCAUAGGUGUUGCAGCACACCAUGCUGUUUUAGACGGGAAAACGUCAAGCACUUUUAUCAAAGCUUGGGCUCAAAUCUGCAAACAAGAACUUCAAAGCAUGCCGGAGAAUCUAACUCCGUCUUAUGACCGGUCUUUGAUCAAAUAUCCGACCUAUCUUGAUGAAAAGAUGAUAGAGUUAGUGAGAUCUCUCAAAGAGGACCAAACCAACAUCAGAAGCUUGACUUCGCUUCCCUCUAGUAAACUCGGAGACGAUGUCGUGUUAGCCACGCUAGUUCUCUCUCGGGCUGAUAUUGAGAGACUUAGGGAACAAGUCAAGAACGUGUCACCGAGCCUCCACUUGUCGACUUUUGUCAUUGCUUACGCUUACGCGUGGACUUGUUUCGUGAAGGCACGUGGAGGUAAUAAAGACAGAUCAGUGAGUCUCUUGUUCGUAGGAGAUUUCAGAGACCGGUUAGAUCCGAAGCUCCCGGGGACUUACUUCGGAAACUGUAUGAUUCCGGUGGGCUGUUAUAACCGUAAGGCGGCGGAGUUUAUGGAAGAGAAGGGAUUUGUGACGGCGGCUGAGAUUAUUAGCGAUUUGGUGAAAGGGUUGAGUUCAAGAAAGAUAGAGACCAUUGCGGACACUUUCGUGGAAGGAUUUAGUUUUCAGAGUUGGAGUACACAGUUUGGGACGAUAGCCGGGUCGACCCGGUUGGGAGUAUACGAGGCGGAUUUCGGGUGGGGAAGACCCGUUAAAGUUGAUAUUGUCUCCAUUGACCAAGGAGAAGCGAUCGCAAUGGCUGAGAGACGUGAUGAGUCAGGUGGCGUUGAGAUUGGAAUGUGUUUGAAAAAGACUGAAAUGGAUUCGGUCGUGUCUUUUUUCAACAAUGGUUUACAUAGCUAAACUCUUGUUUUGUAAGAUUUUAAUAAUAAGGUAAUGCUUGGUUAGUUAUUCUUGUUUUUUUCUCACAAGAAGUAUUGGGCAUAAUUCUCCACUAAUAAAUAAGUUUAAAUAAAGAUAUAUUAGUAAAAGUCUCCAAAAACACAUAUAGAAGAAAACAAGAUUUCUUCAGAAACUAGAACAUUUAUACACUAGAAAAACAUCUCAAGCCAUCUCUUAAAAAAAGAUGAGAAUUUUAGACUAUCACUCUUCCACUAUGAAAAAUGUUAUAAGUCAUUCCAACCUAUUCAUCGUUAUAAUCAUUUUUUCAUCAAGUAUAUCUCUAAUUCAUUACUUGUAUCUCCAAUUUUUUAGAUUAUACAAAAAAAUAUAUCAUUUUGACAGCCAUCAUCAUAAAAAUGUCUCAGUCACUUGAUUCAUCUUUAUCUAUAGGAAGAUCUAGAGACAAAAGAUAAUGUUCUAGCAUAAUCACGGACAAAGAUAAUGUCCUAGCAUCACAUCCAUUCAUCACUACUGGAUCCCGUAUUGUCAUAUAUUAUGCACUAUCAUAUAUCAUGGACCAAUUAUGAAAAUAGCACUUAAAUGCUUAUCCCUUUGUAUGAAGCGACACUUUUUUGUAUCUUAUAACUUUAGGUAUUUCUUCCACUUUUUUUUACGGUUUUAUUCUUACGUUCCACCAAAUUUCUUCCACCUACAAAUUAUUUCUCUAUCUUUCUACCAUUCCCAGACCAGAUCAAAUUCAAACUGAUUUGUAGUAACGGUUCUUUCAUUUUGGAAUAUAGAACUCAAAAUCGAUAUUUUUAUUAUGAUUUUGGAUUUUCUAACUGAUUCAUAUUGAGUUUCCUAAAUAAAAAAUCCAUAAAUUACCAACAAAACUCAGCAGCAACAUAUAAACAAAUUAAAUCGAAUAUAAACUUCCAAAGGAGACAAAUUAGGCAAAACCCCAAAUAAAUUUCAAAACCCAGAAAACGAACCAAUCAAAUUUCAAAUUCGAAAUCUCAAAAUCAAAUUUUUAUCAAAAGUCUAUUUAAGGUUUUUCCUUGGGUUCCCUAUAUACUAUCAUCCUAGGGUUUACUUAUAUUGAGACAAUGGGUAUUUGUAUAAGAAAUAAUUUUUUGGGAUAAACAGAUUAAAAUUUUCUGGAAAAAAUUAGAACGAGAAGCAUAGGAAGAAAAUGAAAAAAGAAGGAAACGAUAAGAUAUUCCAGGAGCAAAAUCGUUAAACCAUCAGUUGAGAAAUACCCAUUCUUAUAAGCCAUGAUAAAUGUACAUUUUCUCAAGUUUUUAGGCUUAAAUAUGCCUAUUUGAACAAAAGCCCCCAUAGAUCAUACAAAAUUUCAAAACAAAAUGAUUCAAAAUGCAUCUUUUUCCUUGACCCAAAAUAAAUAAAAGUUUAAGUAAAUACAAUGCUAUGAGAUUUACCAUUACCUAAACCCAUCAAAUUCCACAAAAAUACAAUUCUUCACUCGAAUCUGUGAGCAUAACUUUUAUCUUCCACUUUAUUUCGUUUUCAACAACAACUAGUGCGUUGAAGCUUUUAAAUAGUGAAAGUUUCUGAUUUUUCUAUCAUAAAAUAUAUGAAAAUUGCACUCAACGGCCAUAAAAAUUUAACAAUAUGCCAACUAACAACAAAAAUCUAACAACUAUUAAAAAUAGAUGCGUUUAUGGAUAAUCUGUGACUGGCUGUAGCAAUAACGAUUAACAUAAAUUAAAAUCUACAAAAAUACAUACAAACUAUAAUUUAAAUUGAAAACCAAAAACUAUAUUAUUAUAAUAAAACUUCAAAAUUCUUAAACUAAUUAAAAAUAUUGAUUAACUUUAACAGUUUCAACCGUUUUUCCAUAUUUUGAAUGAUCUCAAAAAAAUGUAAAAACACUAUAAUUAAUCAUAAAGACGUCGGUCAAGAAACACUGCUUAAUAAUCAAAGUAUACCAAAAACUUUAGAACACUAAUUCAACAUUACAAUAAAAUAACAAAUAAAUGUGCACUAAAUUCUUUGCUUGGACUUUGGAUUUUUAAUGAUCCAUUCCAUCUAAUGGUAACAUUUCAUUUUUUUGUACUUUUAACAACUCGAAAUUCAUUUAUAAGAAGAUGAUAAAAUGUAAUUCUUCAUGUAAUUGCGAAAUUUAUUUGACAUAGGAAUAUUUAUUUGUAGAUAUCGAAAUCACUGGUAAAUAAAGAAAGAAAAACAUUCAUCUCACAUUUCUUCAAAGAGAUACCAAUCUCCAAACCACCAAUCUCAUCCCUCCUUGCCGACAUAGAAAACUCAUUGUUCUUGUAAAGAGACAUAACAUCAGUCUUAACAGGUCUUCCCCACCCGAAAUCCGACCCGUAUAUCCCAAAUUGGUUUGAUCCUGUAACAGUCACAUUCUGUGUAUCCAAUUUCAUAUUUUUUGUUCCAUCCUCAUACACUUCCCAUAUUGACUCAAUGUUUCGUGAACCCAAACCUCUAACCGAAUCACUUAAAAUCUCAACUCCGUUAACGUAUCCAUCUUUUCCUAGAAACGUUGUCGCUUUGUAUCCAUUGAAAUCAAUUGGUAAGACACAAUUCCCAAAAUAUGUCAAAGGAACCGGUGGAUCUAACCGGUUUCUGAAAUCAGCAGCAUACAUAAACCGAACCGGUCGAUUCGCGUCUCCUCCACACGACUUAACCAUGCAAGUCAACACAUAAGCGUACGAGACUACGAACGUUGAUAAAUGAAGAUCGGACCGGGUUGACUCGUUCUUGGCUCGUUCUUUAAGUUUUUCGAUAUCCACUUCCGUCAACUCGAGCGUGACCCGAACAACGUCGUUAUCGAUCUCUUUAGCCGGAGGAAGCGUUAAGGUUCUUGCAUAGUCUUUCUCCUCUGAGAUAUACGAAGAGAGCUGAAAGAUCUUUUGCUCGAGUCCGGCCGGAACAUUGAUGACCGUACGAUCUAAAACCGUAGGUAGAUCAAAAUCUUGAGGUGUGGUUCCGUGUUUACAUAUAUGAGCCCAAGAUUUAUGAAACUUUGACGCAGUUUUGCCGUCCAUGACGACAUGGUGAACUGUUGUUCCGAUGGAGAAACCUUGGUUUGGAAAGAGAGUGAUUUGUAGAGAAAGAAGAGACGCUGAGUCAGAGGAAACUUGUAACUCGGGGACAAGAGGACGUAAUUCAGUCUCCAGACGAAGUUCUUUGCUAGAGAUAUAAGAGAAGUCAGCUUCGGACUCGACCACUGUGAGAGAGACAGUGUCUUUGGGGAAGAUGACUAUGUGUGGUUUAGGAUCUUGGGGGUUCCAUUUGAGGUGACCGGAGAGUGGGAGGAAGUGGGAGAGGACGAGGGAGAGGGAUUGUUCGAGUUUGGGGAGGAUGGAAGAGAAGAAGGAGUCACGAGAUGACUCGGUGAGUUUGUAGAAGGUAACUCGCUCUAUGGGAUUGAGUUUUAGCCAUAGUAAAUCAAAGAAAGUGAGUGGGAGAACGAGUGGUUCGACUGAGUUAGUUACAAGGCUGACUCGAGAGAUCUUGAUCACGUUUAAGGCCAUCGUUGACGGAGACAAUCUCACUUGGACUCUUUUUUUUCAGACAGUUUUCAAACAGACUACUGUUUUGGUGUGCCAAAUAAACAUCUAUUCACUUAAUUAUCAAAAGCAUGGGAAUAAAAUAUGACAAUCCCACUACCAUAUGAAAGAUGCUUUUGGUAGGUAAAGAUGUUUUUUAGUUAUAUCAUACUGCAUUUCAAAACAAAAUGAUGCAAAAAAAAUUCCUUAGACCUCAAUGAUUAAAAGUUUUAGGUGAUUACAAUGUUAUGAGAUUUUCCAUUACCUAAACCCAUCAAAUUCCCUUUGAAUACAAUUUUUCACUAGAAUAUGUGCGCAUAACUUUUAUUUUCCUCUUUGUUUCGUUUUCAACUAAAACUAAUGCUUUGAAGCUUUUAAAAAUGAGAAAAAUGUCAGAAAAAAUUCCCAGUUGUGCAAAAGUAUUGAAAAACAAAAUCUUCACCUUACUAGGUGAUGAAAUAUAUAAUCAACUUUCGUUCAUUUCUAAUUAAAUCAUUAAAUUUUGUUGGUUUCUUAGUUUAAUAGUGAAAUUUAGCACUUUGCCAAAAUAGUCAAUUAGUCAUCAUGAAUUUGACUAACGAAAUAAAUUAACAUAAUUAAGUCUCGGCUGAAAAUCUUAAUAAGUGAACGUAGAUUUCAACAGAGACGUAACACUGUUAAUUUAUUUCGUCAUGCAAGCUUAACGACGUGACUAUUUUGGAAAACUGAACAAAAGUUUACGAUUAAAAUGAGAAGUCAACAAAACUUUACGAUUUAACUGAAAAAUCAGCAAAAAUUGAUUAUAUAUUCCAUUGAAGCCAAAGUUGGGGAUUUCUUUCAACAUUUUUUCACAGUUCAAGAUUUUUCCGACAUUUUUCUUUUUAAAAAUAGGGAAAUUUCUUUUUGUUUUUCUAUCAUAAAAUAUAGGAUAGUUGCACUGAACCAGCAUAAAAAUUAAAUAAUAUGCCAUCAAACCAUAAUUUUUUUAAUAACUAUUAAAAAUUUGUGACUCUUUCACAGCUUUCACAGCAGUAGCAACAAUGUUUUACAUAAAAUAUACCAAAAAUACAUACUAUGUAUAAUAUAUUUUGAGAACCCAUAAUUAUUUCCUCUAAAAAAAUUUCUUCAAAUUUGUUAAAAAGUUUUAAGAGAUUUACAACAUUUGAAUAUACAAAACAUUUUUAAUAGUUAUAAAUAUCUUUUCAUUUAAUUUAUAUAUAUAUAUAUAUAUAUUAUGUAUAUAAUAUUUAAGAAUCUGUUAUGAUAGUGUUUAACAAGAGAAAACAAUUAUUUAUUUAUUUUUAGUGAAUUAUUAUGACUAAUGUAGAUAAAAGGAAUUUUUUAAUUUUGGCGGAAAAAAGCUUUCAAAAUAUUUAGUUCAAACAAAUAUAUAGAUUUGUAGCAGUAUAAAAUGAUUUGCGUGAUUGUUGUUAAAAGCUAACAACCGUAACCGCCUACAAAACAUAAUGUUUGCUGGUAAUUGGCGAAAAACCAAUCAAGCAAAUUUAAAACAUGAAAAAAACAAAAUCAUACAUUAAACAGUGGAAAUUGGAGAGAUUUGAACUAAAAAAAAAAAAAUACAUUCCCCAUCAAAAUUAGAACUGACACCUCCACAAUUAUUAAACUAUCCAAACUUUAAAAUAUAUCUCGACUAAGAGAAAUCAAAACCUCUUCAUCGAUAUUCUCUUUCAGGCCUCCUCCGGAAAUGAUCACCUCUUAUAUCUAUACUAAGUUUUCUUCAUACUAAAAAGUACAUAUUGUCUUGCAUCAUAAGAUGAUCUUCUUAAAGAGACAAGUGCAUAUUCACUCGUUCAAGUUAGUAGAAAUCCGACUUUUCUUCUUGGGAUGGAAUAGAACACAAUCUCUCUUAAUAAUUCAUUCAGAUUUAUGGUUUUCGGUAGGGAUGUUAAAGAUGGGUAAAAGUCCAGUGGGAACCCGAAACCCGCUUAAAAUUUAAAGCCUAAAGAUCAAUGUAUUGUUAAAAAUAAAGUAGGCUCAAAACGAGCGGAUCUUAUUUACGUAGAGUUGUAUGUGGGCUUUACCCUGUCGGGUUAUGGAUAUCCAUGGACUUUUUUCCUUCUAAACUUAAUGUACUAAAACGACAUCAUUUUUUCUCUCCUAAAAUCCCUAAAUCCCCAAAUUUGGUUUCUCUACGUGUUCUUCUUCUCUACCAAUUUUAAUUCCUAAAUUUGAUUCAUCUCUAUCACUCUCUCUCUUCAAUUUGAUUUGUGAUAAACCCUAGUCUCUAGGCUCCGAAGCUCACUCUCGCCUCUCUAGGAUAAAAAAACAGAGAAGAAACUCAGAAACAGAGCAUUUGGGAGGAAGAAAACGGACCCAAUUCCCUUUGACCCACCGGUUACAAGAGUAGUCAUACCUUGAAGACUCCACCUGUUAAUAUCCAUUGUUGUGUUGUGUGUGUUACGACACUUAGUCACUAUAGCCACAAGUAUAAUCAGUUAGAAUGAUAAGUUUAACUAGAAUCUAACCCGUGGUACACCACGGAGCAAAUAUUUUAUUUAUAUAUAUAAUAAUAUUAAAUUUUACCGUUUUAUAUUUAGUAUUAAAGUUAUAUUAUUUUCUAUUAAUAGUAUAAUUAAAAAAAUUAGUGAUGAUAAAAAAAUAAAAUAAAUAUUUAACAUGUGUUAUAUCAAUCCAAACCCGUCUCCUUGUAUUUCAUAUCAAUCUAAACCCGUCCUGUUAUACUUCUCGUCUCAUGAUAUUUUAAUUUUUAUGUUUAAAUAUUAAUAAUGUUUCAUAAAAUUAAAAUAUAUCAAUAAUAUUCUUUAAAAAUAAUAAUUGUUUUUGACUUUAAUGUAAUGACAUUCUUUAUAAAUUCUUACUUUACUUCAAAAAUACUUCAAAAAGGUACUACAAAAGUACUUCAAAAAGGUACUUCAAAAUUUUUAAUAUAUAUAAUGUUAUGUUUUGGUAAAAAUUAUUAUAAAUAAAGAUUUAGUUUAAUCAUAAUUUGGGAUUGAUAUACAAUACUUGUGUUUUUGACUAUCUAUUUUUUAUUCUAAUAACCUAAAUUUAGACAUUUUGUUAAUCCUACUAUAUUAUUUGGGAAGUACAUUUUAAAUGUAACCUUAAUUUUUGUAAGUAAUUACAUAGGUAUGCCAUUAGAAAUAAAAUUUUAAAGAGUAUCUCUUUAAGGAUUAAAAAGUCAAAUACUAGUUUAAUUAAUUAAAUUUAAUUAAAAAACGAAAUACAUUAUUAAUUUCCAAAAAUAAUAACCAAUCAAAAUCAACAUAUAAGAUUUGAUAUCUAAAUUUUAAUUAAUUUAAUUUAAUUAGAAAAACGAAAUACAUUAUUAAUUUCCAAAAAAGUAACCAAUUAAAAUCAACAAAUUAUAUUUGAUAUCUAAAUUAUCAUAUUAAUUUUUUAUUAAUUAUUAUAGUUCAUUUCUCAUCUUUAUAUGAUUCUAUUUUUGCGGAAAAAUAAUAUCAUCAUUAUAAAAAAAUAAUUAGAGUUUUUUCCCAUAUGUCAUAAUUUGAAUUUUUAAAAACAAAUAUAAACUGUUCAAUACAUAAAAAAAUAUUAUAACGGAUAAAAAAUAGAUUUAAGAAAAUUUUCUACUGAGUAACGGGUCAUAAUUUGAAAUAUUUAUAUUCAAUUUCAUACAUAUUAUAUUGAAAAUUUAUAAUCUUAUAUACUACAAUAAUUAAUAACAUAUUAGAUGUGAUUCAAUUUUUAAUACAAGUUGAAAAUCCUAGAAUUGCAUGUUUAGAUCGAUAUUAAUACAAGAUGGUAUACUACAGGUGAAACUCUUAAAUUAACAAUCAAACUACAAGUGUAUAAUCUUAAACACUAAACAAUAUAGAUAAUAUCAACAAAACAUAUACAACUCACAGUUUACUAUACAUUUAAAAUCAAAUAAAAUAAUAUCAAAUAUUUUUAAAUCAUCUUUAUAAUAAAAAAAUUUAGUUUAACUAAAAUAUAUACCGCAGGUUAAUAUCUAGAUUAUAGGGCUUAUUGGAUCUAAAGACGGAUCAUCAAAGAUUUCUUAAACUGAAGCAAAAUAUAUUGAAUAUUCAAAUAUCUAUCUGUUACCAAAUUAUAAACAAAUAAGUCAAUUUAAUAUUUUAUAUACGAAAUCAAUUAAAUCUUAAUCACAUAAAAAUUAGCACAAAAAAGUAUUCAUCAAUUAAAAAAAUAUCAAAUCUCUGUGUUAUAUAAGUUUUGAUACUAUAUUCGAAUAAAGUGUAAUAUACCUUUUCAAUUUGUAUUCUUUAACUAACUUAAGCUAACUAAUAUAUUUGCUAAUCUUAUACCUAUCAAAACCGACUAUCGUUUCUUAUCUCUAUAGUAUUUUUGCAAGACUUUUUUGGUGGAUUUGGAUAAAAGUGCAUUCGGGUCAUAUGGUACAUUCUCCUAUUAAAUAAAUAUGGUGCACUCCUAUGUUAUUAUCUAAAAUAUUUACAUUCUAAUUCAGAGUCAUAUCAUUAAUAAAAUUAAUAUUAAUAAAAUUAAUAUUAACAAAAUAAAUAGCUUUUUGGCAAGACGGAUUUGGAGGGACGGAUUUUUGAAUCAACAUUAAUAAAAAAGUAAAAUAUAAUUAAUCCAUCGUUUUAAUACGGGUUAGAUCUUUAAUUUAUUAUUUUUUAAGACCACUAAUAUUAAACAUAUCAAAUCAUCCUAAUUUAGAAAAGAUUAUAUAAAACCAAAAAUGUAAUGUGGUAUGUAUAAUGUUACUAUAUAUAAAAUUAAACUAUAGAUAUAAAUGUAUUAGAGAAUGAUACAAUUUGCAAAACUUUUCUAUAUAAAAAAUUAUUCUUAAAUUUUAAAAAUUACUAUUUUAAAAAAAAAUCACGGGACGGUAAAAAAAUUACAGAACGAGUUCUAUUUUGGAAUUGGGUUAUAUGGUGGAUGUAUUUGAAUCAAUAUUUAUAAAAUUUUAAAAUAUUAUUAAUAUGCUGUUUUAAUAGGGGUUAAAACUUCAGUUUUUUAACAAUUAUCUCAUGGAUUCGUGGUAUACCGUUACUUAAUAACAAUUAUAAACUGUAUAAUAUAAAUAUUUUAUAAAAGUAAAAUUUGCAAGUUUUAAUAUAUACUACUUUUAAAAAAAAAAUCAUCCCACGGGUUACAAUCUAGUCUAUAUUAUUAAUUGGGAAGCAUUGUGUGAUUGAAGGGUAGUUUAUAACUAAUUAAAUAAAUUUUUUACAUAGGUAAUAUAGUAAUUUAACAACUAAUCCAAAACACAUUAAUGAGUUUAAUAGGCUAACAAAUAGUAUGGAUCUUUUAACACACACGCAAAAUAAUUCAAAAAUAGAAUUCAUGUUUGAAUUGAUUCGACUAAUUGUAUUUGACUACCUUGCGCACCCAACUUUAUUGUUCUUCAUGGAUGUACUUUGAAAAAUAUGCAUAGAUAAUCAUAUAUUAUUUAUAUAAAUUUGUGUUUGAACUAUAUAAUAUAAAUCGUAUAUAGUUACAAUAUGAUACGUACAAACAUAUAUAUGCAAUAUGGUUCAGUUCAUAUGGUCACAUGGAAGCUCAACUAAUAUAAUUAUAGAAAUCUGUUUCGAAUUAGAUUAGUUUGUUAUAUAAAUUAUACGGAGCAUUUUGAAUUAGAUUUGUUUGUUAUAUAAAUUAUAAAAAUCUGUAUAAAUCUAAACUAAUAUAUAUGGUAAUCAUUUAAUGCUCAAUAAUAUCCUAUUCGUUUGUUGUAAAUUCUAACAACACGGAGAAUAUUGUAGCAACAUGAAUAAUCAUUUAAUAUUUCUAACAAUUAUCAUAACUCUAAAAUUUUGGAUCAUUCUGAAAGUAAAAAACCACACACACGUUUUGAACAAUCUCUUUUUACUAAUACCAUUGCUUAUACAAAAAUGAAUGUACUUGCUUUGGUCACAGACCUUGCUAACGUAAAGCCUUUCAAAAUCGAAUGGAAAAAUCCAAGUUAAGAUUUUGUAUUCAUGGACUUAAUACACGGAAUACUCAGAAGAAACCAUGGAAAUGAUCCUACCUGAUAAAAAUGUAAGUAUUGAUUUUCGUUUAAAUCUAGGUUAUAUCAGGAUUGUAUCUUUUAUAUUAUUAACACAAUUGUAUUUCACUAAUUUACUAAUUUACAGGGAACUUUGAUACAUGCUACUAUUAAGAAACAACAUAUGAGAGCACGCAAAACCAAACUAUUUAUAUAAAUAAAACACUAAUAAAUGAUGCAAAAAUUGUUAAACUUUAAAUAACUAAAAUUUCUAUUCAAAUUUUAAAACUAAGAAACAGAAAAUAAACGUGUAAACCAAAGUAAUUUUAAGAACAAAAGAAAAAUUUCCAAUGAAAUAUUACUAUUAUGAUAUCUCUGCUACUAUAUAAUUCACUAACCCAAAAUAAAAUAAAAUCUUAACUAAAAGUUUUUGCAAAAAAUAUUGUUUUUACAUUACCUUCCAUACAUCUUAUUUUCAAAUAUUAUGAUAACUGAUAAAUUUAUGAUAUAUAUACUAUUAUAUAAUUCACUAACACAAAAAAAUUAAUACAAACUUUUAUCAAAACCAUAUGAUAAUACUUAUAACUCGCAUAUUGUGCGGUUCACAACAUUAGCUAUUGUAUCAUAAAUAACAAUUAUACACUUUUCUAUGCACAUUAUAAUUUAUAUAUUACAAUAUCUUUCACUAAAAAAUUAUUCCAAUACAUUUCUUAAAAUACGAAACCCCGCACGUACGUGCGGGUCAGAAUCUAGUAUUAUUUGAAUCAGCAAUAUCAACUUAAUACAUGUACAAUUUAUUUAUGCCAAAAAAAAAAACAAAAUUAUUUUGUACAAUUGCAAAUUUAAAACGAAAAAUAUGGAUUGAGAUAAUUUGGGUUUCAAUUUUUUAUUACGUAAUUAAAUUUUUAAUGAAAAUAUUAAAGCAUAUAUUGUAAUAUAAGAUUUGAUUCAUUUUAUUAACUGAAAAUAAAUGAUUUAAAACAAAAAAUCAGGGUGAUUAAUGCUAAUUGGAAAGAUUUAAAUGUUUUUGUGAUUUUUUUUUUAGUUUCCUAAACUUUAGUAACAUAAUAGAUUUUAUAUUUAGAUUUAAAAAUAAGUUUAGUAAAACAAUAAAUGUCGAUGGCAUGCCAUUAUAAAUCAGUGUCAGGAUUUAUUUAUUAAAGUGGCUGCAAAAAUGUAUAUGUAGAUGACGCUAAAUAUAAAUAUAUUCAGAAAAUACAGAAAAUGAAUACAAUUUAAAAUAUAUCUCUAUAUAAUUCGAGUACUUACAGAUAGUUUCAAAACACAUGGAUUUUUGGGAUUUUACCCACAAGUUCUAAAAUCCAUUCGAGUUUUUUUAAAAUUUGAGAUUUUUAUGGGUGGGUUCAAUUUGGGUUAGGGCUGGACUGUUUUUUUUUACCACGACAACAUCCCUAGCUUCCGGAGAUGUCACUAAACUUCAUGUCCAAUUCUGGUGGAAACUUUAGUGAAAAUUGGUGGAAACUUGGGCUAAUGGGUACAAAGAAGAAAGUCUCAUGAAUCAAAUCAAGACUGUAUUGAAUAAAUUAUUUAUCCGAAACGGGUCUAGAUCAUAUUAUUUCACAUCUUACUGUAAUGAUUGACUUUAAAGAAUAUAGAUCAAAAACCUAUAGUAUCACACACAUAAUACUCCAAAAUCAUUUAAAAAUAAAACCAAAGGAAUGUUAUUUUUAUUUAUAGAAAUUCUAAUAAAUCACCAAAAAUUUAUAGAAUUCACAUAAAUCCCACCAAUCUAAAAUCCACAAAAUCUUUGAAUCACUCUUUCAAUACAAAGUGUGUAUUACACAUAACUUUUUCAACUUUACAUUCAAAAUAUACACCUAACUACUUUACCAAAAUCUUUAAAACACAAAUAUAUGACAUACAAUGAUACAAAUAUAACGGAUAAAUCUGCAUUAAAUUCUUUGCUUGGACUUUGGAUUUUUUUUCAUGCCCCAUCGAAUGAAUUCAAGAUACAGAUUUUUCCUUUUAACAACUGAACUCACUUAUUUAGAAGACGAUACAAUGUAAUGAUCAUUUAAAUCCAGAUUUAACUUUCAAUUGUCAAAUCCAUUACUAAAUAAAGAAAGGAAAACAAUCAUCUCACAUCUCUUCAAAGAGACCCCAAUCUCAUCCCUCCUCGCUGACAUAGAAAAGCUAUUGUUCUUGUAAAGAGACAUAACAUCAGUAUUAACUGGUCUUCCCCACCCAAAAUCCGCCCCAUAUAUCCCAAACUGGUUCGACCCGGUAACAGUCAAUACUUUUGUACCAACCUUCAUGUUUUUAGUUCCUUCCUCGUACACCUCCCAAACUGACUCAAGACUUCGUGAACCCAAACCUUUGACCGAAUCACUUAAAAUCUCAACACCGUUGACGAAUCCAUCUUCUCCCAAAAAGGUCGUCGCUUCAUAUCCAUUAAAAUCAAUUGGUAAAACACAAUUCCCAAAAUAUGUUAAAGGAACCGGUGGAUCUAACCGGUUUCUAAAAUCAGCAGCAUAAAUAAACCGAAUCGGUCUAUCCACACUGCCCCAUGCGCCUUAAUCACACAAGUCAACACAUAAGUGUACGUGACGAAUGAUCAUUUCUUGUGUCCUUUUUUGGGACAACUAAUCUGCAAAACCACUUUAGAGUCUUCAUAUCCCCUUUGAGUUAAUGAUUUGUGUUAAGACGAAUUUAUCCCUGUAAUUUAUUUUGAAUGAAUAAUUAGAAUAAUUAAUAGAAAACAUUUUGAAAAAAAAAAAAACGGAAAAAGAAAAAAAAAAAGCUCGAGCACGAGCUCGACUUCUUCUUCGGGAUUCUUCCUCCGGCGAGCUCCGGCAAGCUCCGGCGAGCCGCAUUGUCGUUUUUCUCCUCCUGCAAGCUGCAUCAAUCUACUAAGUCCAGGUAUGAAGAGAGCUUCAAAAGCUUUGAAUUACAUAUUUUGAGGAUUUUGAGAUUCAAUCCAAUUAGAUUUGGGUUAUUGUGUUUUAGCACCUAUAUUAGAAGUUUAAGUAUAGAUUUAGGCUUCAUUUGGUCUGUUAAUGGGUAAGCAAUUGAUUUCACAUGCUGAUUCAUACUAAAUUGAACUCAAAUCGAAUAUUUGUUCUUGUCGCGAAAAUAAUACUGGUCGAACUAGCUAUAGUAGUACCGUAAUUUAUAUAGAUAGUAUGUUUUAAUAGCACCAAUAUUACUUAAACACGUAGUAUUUCAUAUAUGUAAUAGUAUUACUCACACAUGUAAUAUUUCAGAAUUAGUACUAGUAUUACUGUAAAUGUACUAGAAUCGGUAAUACUAGUAAUAUUGACUGAGUAUGUGUAUUGUUUUGGCAGGUUACAAUGAAAGAGAACAUGAUCAUAUAUUUUAAAUUCCAAGGUCGCAUGUAUAAUGUGAUGAUGAAGAGAUUAAGGGAGAAGAUUACUCUCUCAGUGUUAGAAGAUAGGAUAAUGACGAAGCUUGGAUUAGAUGCAAAUAAGGUAAAAUUGCAUAUGAGGUACAAUCCACGGUUGUUCGGAGUAGAGGAAGAAAUGAACGUUUGUGAUGAUGAGGAUGUCUUUGUUUAUGUAACAUCCGCAAAAAAUAAUCGGAGAAGUGUUUUGGUUGUGGAGGAGAUCUCUAAACCGCCCGAGCCGGGGCAAUUGCCCGAGCAAUUGUCUAGAGUUGGUAAAAGUUCUGUUGGUAAGAACUAUACGGAGUUGAAUUCAGAGGAGGAUGAAAUGAGAGUGGAUGAUGGUGCACUCAUCGUCUUAUUAGAAGAGGAACAAGGAACUCAACAUCAACUUGAGGCAAUAGUGGAGGAUCACGGGACUCAAUAUUAACUUGAGGCAAUAGUGGAGGAUCACGGAACUCAACAUCAACUUGAGGCAAUAGUGGAGGAUCACGGGACUCAAGAAGAUGAAACACGCUAUGAUGAGUCUAUGGAUAAUUCUGAUAGGGGGGAACAGUAUGUUGAGUCGCCACCUGCUGUAGAACCGGGUAUGUUUAAAAAAGAAUGGGAAGACGGAAUUGGGUUGACCUUACGUCAAGAAUUUCCAAACAAGGCGGCAUUGCACGAGGUGGUGGAUUGAGCUGCAUUUGCUAACAGUUUUGGUUAUGUGAUUAAGAAGUCGGAUAAGGAGCGCUAUGUCCUAAAGUGUGCCAAAGAGAGCUGUUCUUGGCGUUUACGAGCGUCCAAUAUCAGUAAUACUGAUAUAUUCUCGAUUAGAAGGUACAAUAAGAUGCAUAGUUGCACUCGGCUAAGUAAAGGUAGUAGUAGGCUCAGGAAAAAAAACGCAACCCACAAUUAGUCGCAGCUCUCCUUCAUGAUCAUUUUCCGGGAUAGUUGGAAACUCCGGUUCCAAGAAUUAUCAUGGAGCUAGUUCAGACGAAGUUAGGUGUGAAAGUAUCAUACUCGACAGCGCUAAGGGGGAAAUAUCAUGCGAUUUAUGAUUUAAAAGGUACCCCGGAAGAAAGCUACAAGGAUAUCAAUUGUUAUUUAUACAUGUUGAAGAAGGUAAAUGAUGGUACAGUUACUUAUCUGAAAUUGGAUGAGAAUGAUAAAUUUCAGUACGUAUUUGUAGCUUUGGGAGCUAGCAUUGAAGGUUUUAGAGUGAUGAGGAAAGUUUUAAUUGUGGACGUAUUCGUAGCUUUGGGAGCUAGCAUUGAAGGUUUUAGAGUGAUGAGGAAAGUUUUAAUUGUGGAUGCAACACAUUUGAAGAACGGAUAUGGCGGAGUGCUAGUGUUUGCCUCGGCUCAAGAUCCUAACCGUCACCAUUACAUCAUAACGUUUGCCGUACUCGACAGUGAGAAUGAUGCUAGUUGGGAGUGGUUUUUCGAGAAGCUAAAAACGGUUGUACCCGAUACUUAAGAAUUGGUUUUCAUGACGGAUAGAAAUGCAAGCCUCAUAAAGGCCAUACGGAACGUGUAUACCGCGGCUCAUCACGGGUAUUGUAUUUGGCAUUUGUCCCAAAAUGUGAAAGGUCAUGUUACUCACACCAACCGAGACGUACUCGCAUGGAAGUUUCAGGAGUUAAGUCGGGUCUACGUCGUGGCGGACUUCAACCGAGCGUAUGACGGGUUUAAGUUGAGAUAUCCUAAGGCGACCAAGUAUUUGGAGGAUACAACCGUGAAAGAAAAAUGGACAAGGUGUUGUUUUCCCGGAGAAAGAUACAACUUAGACACAAGCAAUUGUGUGGAAUCUUUGAACAAUGUGUUUAAAAACGCAAGGAAAUACUCGUUAAUACCAAUGCUUGAUGCGAUCAUCAAAAAAAUCUCCGUUUGGUUUAAUGAACAUCGGAUGGAAGCCGCGUCUGGAUCUUUAGAAAAUAAGAUGGUGCCUUUGGUCGAGAAUUAUUUGCAUGAUUUGUGGGUUUUUGCCGAGAAUAUGUAGUCACAUGCGACAAAGGAAUAGAUUAUACGGUGAGCUUGCUUUUGAAAACUUGCAGUUGCAAGGUUUUCGAUAUCCAAAAAUAUCCUUGUAUUCAUGCAUUAGCCGCUUUCAUUAACAUUAUGGAUGAUGAAGAUCGGAGAAGAGGUUUGGAGUUACAUGAUUUGGUUACAAAAUAUUAUUGGGCGGAGUUGUGGGUAUUGGCCUAUUAUAGGACUAUUUAUCUUGUUCCGGAUAGGUCGCAGUGGGAAAUACCAGAUGAAGUAAAGGCGUUGAAGAUAGUUCCGCUGUCUAAAAAACCGAAGAAAGGAAGGAAAAAUAUGCUAAGGUUUCCAUCAACCGGGGAAAAGCAGCCAAAACGACAAAGGACGCAAAACAAAAGGCGUCCAAGGCAAUCGUGUCAAUGAUUAUUAUUUGGGAAUACGCCUAUCUGAGUUUUUUACUUUGUUUCUGCAGUGAUUUGUUGUUUUUAUGGUAUGGACUUACUAUGUAAUACUGUAUUUCCCCUUUCUGUAAUACUAUGUCUGUUUCUAUUGUUUUUUUGUAAUAUUGGUUAUAACAAGUAAUAUCAUGUCUGUUUCUGUCGAAUUUGUGGUCAUAUUAGUACUACUGGUAAUACUAAGUUGGUGUUAUGGAGUUCGAAUUUGUUUACCUCAAAACUCAAUGAAAAUGAAUACAGUGAGUUAUAAACAGAUAAAAAUGUAUUAUUAAUCAUUUAUACUUAAUUAAGUUAGAAAUUUUAAUAUUAAAUCGUUUUAACUUAUUUUUAGUAGACUCAAUACAACAUAUCCCUUAUACUUUUAAGCUCACUUUUAAUAUUAUCACCAACUUAAAAUGAAAAAUUCACAUUGCUACAUAUAUUUAAUUUAUAAUUGCACAAAAUAUUUAAACCUCUAUAUUUAUAAAGUUCAAUCUAGUGUACUACUAAAUAAACAAAUUGUAAAUAUAGGAAAUACUGCUAAACAUGAAAAACAUGGAAAGUAAUACUAUUUGAGAAAUUGGCACUACCAAAACCUUAGAAAAUACUAUGCUGUAAAAAGGCUGCGCACAUGUCAAAAAUCUCCAAAAAACGGCGCACACGUGGGGAAUUAAUUUUUUUGGUUUUCCCCCAAAAUUUUUGGCGCCUAACAAAUUUUGAGAUUCCCUCCAAAACCAAAAAUUUCACUUUUUUCUUUUUCCUCUUUCUUUUUCGAUCUUUUCUUACAACUUUCUUUCAUCUCUCAUCUCUCUUCUCCCACAUCUCUCAUCUCUCUCUUCGACUCGAAUUCUCUCACAUCUCUCAUCUUUCUUUCAUCUUUCUACCAUGGAUAGACUGUGUGAGAGAGACCCCUACUACGAUGAUAUGAAAGUGGCGAAGAGAGCCAUUGAGCAAAUGGAAAUGGUUGCGAUGAUGGAAGGGAUUCCUAAGUUUUGUCCAUGCGGUGGUAGCAUUGUCGACACUCGAAAGGAUGAAAAGAGAUACUAUCAAUGCGAGAAGUUUAAGGUAUGUUGAUGUAGAGCACAAGUUUUUCAAGUUUGUGUAGAUCUAGAUCUAGAUAUAUUUGGUAUUUCAGAGUAUUUCCCGUUAUGGUAAUACUGCCUAGAACAAGUAAUACUGCACAAGUUUUUCUAGGUUUUGUAGAUCUAGAUCUAUAUUUGAUAAAUAUUUGGUACUUUGUAGGAUGAUAGAACUGAUUGUAUGCACAUCCGUAAACUUUGGGAUAAGGCUAUGGAAGAAGAGGUGAGUAGCUUAAGGGAGAGUGUUGAUUACAAUCGGAAGAAAGUUCUAAGUCAUGAGUAUCUCAUAGAAGAAAUGCAAAAAGAAUUGAAAGCCCACCGUGCAGAGAUUGUGAACGUGAGCAAAGUGUUAUUCCGUAAUCCUAUGGCUCCAAAGAAGUAAUGUGUUAUCCUAUUGUUCCUUAAUCUUAUUGUUAAUUUGCUUGUAAGACUUUCCCUAUGCUUUGUAAGACUUUCUGUAUGCUUUGUAAGACUUUCCCUUCGAUUGUAAGACUUCUCUUUGAUUGGUAAUACUAUGGUUGUUCAGUUUGAUAUUUCCAGUAUAUCUCUUAGUAGUAAUAGCACGAGGUAUUUCCCGUAUUUCAGUUAACAAUAUCAUAAAACAUCCUAAUACAUUAAUUGAAUACAAACAUAGUUUUACGAGUACUUGCGAAAUCCUAAAACAAAGUCAAAGUACAAGAAAUCAAAAUACAAAUCCGGAGAAGUUACACGAAUAGUUUUCACACGUUACUAGACUUUGCACGGGUUGAACGGGUCACUCGUUUGGGCACAACAGGAGCAGCCGCAUUUUCCUUAAUUGUUGAUUCCUCCUCAUCUGGUGGGUUCUGAGACAUCUACAUUGUUAAUUUAGUUAAACCUUGGUAUUACGCGAUAUUACCAAUUAUGGAACAGUAUAUCCGGUAUUACCCAGAUUUACCUUGGCUUUCAUCUCAUCCAUAAAUGCUUCGAACGUUGCUUGUUUUUCCUCUAUUUCCAUAAGCACCAACAAAGCUUCAUUCAGCUUAUCAUUGAUGGAAUGGAGCUUCUCCAUUACAUCAACUAACGUCGGGUCUCCCGGUCCAACAGCUGUGGGAACUUCCUCUUCAUUUGGGGCUUCCAUUCGUGCCUGCACAUCCUCGUUGUACACCUCCUCAAAUCUAAUUUCACGCCCUUGACCAAGACGCUUCAUCCAACUAUCAACUACAACAUCGUGCUUAUCAACAUCAUCCUCUACUCCCGUGAUUUCAGCCAAAAGAGGUACUUCUUCAGCCUUCUCUCUAAUUAUACUCUCAAUGACCUAUGGAAAUAAUAGACAAUGAAAUAUUAGAAAGAAAUAAAAUCAUAUUUGCUCAAGGAAUAAUAGGAAAUACUAACCUCAGUUGUUCCGAGUACAUGGUUGAUUUGCUCAAGGGUAAAUCCUUUCAUCUCGAUCCUCUUGAAAUUCACCUUGCACAUCCUUUGACAACCGGCAUGUGCACCCUCUUUUUCUUCUAUGAAUCUUUCCCUAAGUGAUGGAAUGGCUUCAAAUGCUAAAAACUACACAAACCACAUGAAAUUUAAUUGUUAGCUUCAAUUACGAAAAUGUAACAAGGAUAAAACAUGUGACUUACCUCAAGCGGCACACAGAAUCCGGGAACAGGCCAUGGUGACUGAGUGUUCGGGACGACACCGUUAAAAUGAUCCAAUUUGUGUGAGAUCGAUUUUAACAUGUACUCAAAUGAAUAUCUCCCCGAUGGAAAUAUCUUACAAAACGUAAGAUCACUUGCAGACCUCACACAGAAAUCAUCAAUUGGACUAGCCCUUUCUCCGGUCUUAGUAGGCAUGACAAUGAUGCUAGUUAGAAAAUAGAGGGCCGCCAUCCGCAACCUAUCCUUUGAUCUAGCCGGUUCCAUCUCCAUUAGCUUGGUUUUCACGUCUUCACGUCUAAUUACCCCGGUUUUGAAGUACCUGUUGGCGAAGUUCAUAUUACCAGCACUCUGAUAACUAGCUGGAUAGGCCUUGCAGUUGAAACCAGAGAUCAAAGCAUGCUCCCUAAUACCAUAGCGGAUGGGAACUCCAUUAACAACGAACCAAACCUCCUUCUUCUUCUCAAUAGAUGCCGUUCGAAGAAAAAGCAUCCACAUCCGCAUUAACUUGUGGGUAUAUCCGGAAGGCAGGUGGUAGAUGUGCUUGAAACUCGGAUGCUCCAUAAAAUAAUUCUUCUCAACAUGCGUUAGAGGAUGUUCCAAGUCAGCGAAGGUCUUCAACACCUCCGAGAUAUAACACCUCGUUGCUAACUUCAUCUUCUUGGGAUACUCCGACACCGGGAAGUACAUACCAAGUGGCUGCAUUGCCAUCGCUUCCUCCAUAUCCUGAAAGAAACAAACAUUCAUUCAUAUAUCACUCAAUUGUAAAUAGUACUGCCACAGUAUUACUCUGUAUUUCCAAAAGUAUUCCCCGAAAUUACCAGUAUUACACAAAUCCUACUAUUCAUAUAUCACUCAAUUGUAAAUAGUACUGCCACAGUAUUACUCUGAAUUUCUCAGAAGUAUUCCCCGUAAUUACCAGUAUUACACAGAUACUCCUAUUUUACUAUGUAGUAUUUCUCAAAGUUACUAGUACUAACUAUCGAUAAAUCACAAUUGUAGUAUUACUCUAAGGUAUUACCCACAUCCGCCAAUAUUACCUAAAUAUCAACAUAGCAUUUCCCAAUGUUACUAGUACUGUCCACAGUUCACAAUUGCAUUAUUACCCAAUUAGAUCGGUAUUACGAAAUGGAAUACUUACCACAUUUGCGAUGUCCUCGUCUAUGGUCCUCUCCUCCCCGGAUUUUUCCACUAUCACGUCCUCGUCUCUCUCGUCCUCGUGUCCCUCAUCCUCCACGGACUUUUCCACAUUGACGUCCUCGUCGCUCUCAGAGCUCCUCUCCUCCUCCUCCUCGAUAACGGUUAGGCCGUCAUCUUGUCUCUCCGCCUCUUCCACGGGAUUAGCACACGCGAGUUCUUUGUUUGUCUCCGUCUCCUCUGAAUCGGAAUCGGAGCCCAAGGUUCGGCUACUACUCCCUGAUUCUUCUUCUUCACUUGCUUCUUCUUUUCAUUUUCAUCUUCCACCUCAUCAGUUUGCAUAUUCUCUUGAAUUUCUUCAGCAGGAAUAUGCUUCAGAGCAUCAUAAAACGUAGAAUCAUCAAGCAUCGGGCUCUCCGUCGUUGGAGCCGUCGUUGGAGCCGUUGUCGUUGGAGCCGCUGUCGUUGGAGCCGCAUUGGUUGCCAUCGCCGUCGCAGUCGUUUGUGUUGGCGACUGCUCCUCAGCCGGCACUUUCUCUUUAUCUUUCUUCGCCGGCGCCUGAACCUUCGCUUUCUUCGCCGGCGCCUGAACCUUCGCUUUCUUCGACGGCGCCUGAACCUUCGCUUUCUUCGCCGGCACCUUCUCCUUCACUUUCUCCGCCGGCGCCUUCCUUCACUUUCUCCGCCGGUGCCUUAACUUUCUCUGUCUUCGCCGGCGCCGACGCUUCUAUCUCAUUUCUUUUCCCUUGACCUCCUCCACGCGUCUUAGGCGGCAUGACUGAUUUCGAAUCGGAAAUAGAACGGAAAUACUGGUGAAAGGAAGAAGAACGAUCGAUUGAAUUUAAAGAAAUAGGGAAUGUUGCGGUUAAUUUCAGCGGUUACUAAGGAGAAGAAGAAGAAAAAUCAAAAACGGUUGUAAUGAGAAAAAGAAUGAAAUUCGAAUUGGGAAAUCCCUGGAAAUAUUAGAGUUUUUCUUAUUUGAUUUUCAAAUAAAGAGUAAAGGUGGUUCGGGUGGUUUGGUUCGGAAACGAACCAUGAUUUUUCUGGUAAUUAAUAGGUUCGGAUGGGGAUAUACUAGUAAUAUCCAUAUAUUUCGAAUUAAAAAAAAAAAAAAUUAUUUCUGUUUUUUACAAGGAUUUUUUGGCUUCCUCUUUGCAAAAAAGGGACUGGCCAGAUGAUUUUUCGUACGUGACUACAAACGUUGAUAGAAGAAGAUCGGACCAAGUUGACUCGUUCUUGGCUUGUUCUUUAAGUUUCUUGAUGUUCGCUUCACUCAACUCGAGCGUGACCCGAACCACGUUGAUGUUCUCUUUAGCGGGAGGCAGCAUUAAAUUUCUUGCAUUGACUUUCUCCUUUGAGAGAUAUGGCAAGAGUUGAAAGAGUUUUGGUUCGAGUCCGGCCGGAACAUUGAUGACCGUACGAUCUAAAACCAUAGGUAGAUCAAAAUCUUGUGGUAUGUUCCCGUGUUUACAUAUAUGAGCCCAAGCUUUGUAAAACUUGGACGCUGUUUUGCCGUCCAUGACGACAUGGUGAACUAUGGUUCCAAUGGAAAAGCCUUGGUUUGGGAAAAAAGUGAUUUGUAUAGACAGAAUCGAUGCUGAGUCAGAGGAAACUUGUAACUCGGGGACAAGAGGACGUAAUUCAGCCUCCAGACGAAGUUCUUUGCUAGAGAUAUAAGAGAAGUCAGCUUCGGACUCGACCACUGUGAGAGAGACAGUGUCUUUGGGGAAGAUGACUAUGUGUGGUUUAGGAUCUUGGGGGUUCCAUUUGAGGUAACCGGAUAGUGGGAGAAAGUGUGAGAGGAAGAGGGAGAGGGAUUAUUCGAGCUUGGGUUGGAUCGAGGAGAAGAAGGAGUCACGAGAUGACUCGGUGAGUUUGUAGAAGGUGACUCUCUCUGUGGGAUAAAGUUUUAGCCAAAGUAAAUCAAAGAAAGUGAGUGGAAGAACGAGUAGUUCGACUGAGUUAGUUGCAGGGCUCACUCGAGCGAUCUAGAUCACGUUUAAGGCCAUCGUUGACGGAGACAAUCUAUCUUGGGCAGUCUUCGAACAGACGAGUGUUUGGUGUGUGCCAAAGUAAAACUUUAUUCACCAAUUAUCAAAAGCAUAUGAAAGAUGCUCAGGGUAGGUAAAGCCCACUACAGGAAAAUUGAGUAUUCUUAGCGGUCGAAUAAGCUAUCUAACGAGAUGAUAGCGGAGUAGAAAGCGCUAUAUCUUCGUCCAUGAUAAUAGGUCGAUGACUUCUAAUAGCAGUUUUAAGUAGUGCUAUAUUUUGAUUAUAUAUUAUAGCGUGUUCUUUUUGCAAUUUAAUAUUAUUUAAUAAUGAUUAUAUUUUGUUAUUAAUUAUUAAAUAACAGUAUUUAAUAUAUGCAAUUUAAUAAAUUGGAAUAACAUUUAUAAUAUGCAAUUUAUUCAAUUAAAAUAGCAUUUAUAUAUAUGCAAUUUAUUCCACUAAAAUAGCUUUUGUAUUAUCAUUAUUUCGGUUUGUUAUAUUUGUAAUUAUAUAUUAUUUUAAUUUAUGAGGUUUUUUGGAUAAAUUGAGUAUUGACAUAUAAAUAUAUUAUAUUUUAUUACAUUAUAUGAAAUCAUAACACAAAAACAAUAUAUUACAAAGUAUAUACAAAUUUUUUUUAAAAAAAAGUAAAAGUACAUAUAUUAGUAGAAACUCUUAUAUGAACUAGAUGAGUACCCGCACUACGUGCGGGCUUAUGUAGUUUACGACUCUUAAAGUUAUUUUUAUUCAAUAUUAAAUUAUCUAUUCCUAUAAAAUUGAGAGACUACCACAUAAACCUUGUGUAGAAAUGUAACACAUCAACAAGGUUAACAUAAACCUUGUGUAGAAAUGUAACACAUCAACAAGAUUAGCAUCUGUUCUUUUGAUGCUUCCGGCCUUUGACAUCUUUGUCCGUUGUUUUAUUUUUAACCUAUCCAAUUCGUGUUAUAAAUCCAGUGUUUUGUGUAAUUUGAAAUUUAGAUGUUUAGGCAAAUAGAAUACCUUGAAGAGCAAGCCUUCCCACCGUUAUAUUCUCCUUUGCCGCAUCACCAUCGUCAGGAUUGUCACCAUUGCUCUCGUCCUUGGUCAUGAUAUAUUAAUAAUUAAUCAAUAGAUAAAUAUACCUCAGUUUCUUCUCCUCCAUCUACAUGUAGCACAUGUUAAUGAUUGUAGUUGAUUUUGUUCUUGCAAUCUGAAAAAAGAAAACAUAUGAAUAUAUGAUGUUAGUUUACUCUUACAAUCCCAAGAAAUAAUUUAAAAGAGAUUGAAAAGUAAGACAUGCAUGUAUUUAUAAUUUUAUAUGGGAGCUAAUUAAAUAUUUACGUUAUGUAACAUAUAAGUGGAUAUGAUUAGAAGUUUAAAAGUUAUUAAAAAUUAAAAUGAAAUUAAUACCAAUAAGUUGUAUACAUCAUGCUCUUGGGGAAGUUUGGAUAAGAAUAGUUGGGUAUUUGAAACGUCCAAAUAUUAUUCAUGAAUCAUGAAUAGUUGAGUACUUCGUAAAUGCAUAAUCGUGGAUAUGAGAUUUUAUGUAGAUUAAAUCCUGGCUUUACUUAGAGCUGAUUAAUUAUUUAUUUGUUUAUUUUAAUAGGUACACGUGGCGAGCUAUUAGAUGCUGACGUGUCAAGCAGAUGGAGAAAGAUAGCCUCCUUUCAUAUAUAUGAUUCAUCUUGUAAACCUCACUGUAAACAUGACACCAAUUUUCGCUGCAUCCAACACACACAAAGCCUUUAUCCUGCAAACACCAAAUUCUCAUUAACACUGAUAAUAGGUUUUUAAGAUCAAUUAAUCCUAAAGCACUAUCAUGUUGUUGUAGUACUGAAGGUUGUCAAUUCAAAUGGGUAUGAUGCUAACAAUCAAGAUGUGAUCAGAAGUCACUAAGUCAAGCCAAGCAAUAACAGGUUUUGGUGUGUUCUAGCAGUCCUAAGUGAACAUGCAGAAAACAGAAAAUCAAAUAGAAACAGUAAAACACUCGACCAACACAGCUCUUUGCAGAGCACUGGGUGAGGUCGAGUAACAGACAGAAAGUAUAACACAGAUACUCGACUGCACAGUCUGUUGCCAGACAACUGGGUGGUCGAGUAUGAGGUCGAGUAACAAGAAAGAAUUGUAGAAAUUAAGCAACAAAUGACAAGAUGCAGUAAACAACAGUAAAGUAAACAAAGAAUUCAAUCAGAUAAAGAAUUCCCGAGGAUGGGGUAAUUGAGUAGUUUCGUUUCCUCAGUUUACAAGUGAUUGUCAUGCUCAAUAAAUUGUCCCUAGACAACAAGUUCAUUAACCAAAUCUAAGUGCCACCGCAACAGAGACCCUCAAGUUAACCUAGUCCCAGACUCAAUCACCAUUGACGAGAGCUAACCUAACAUGCAUUACGAAUCAACAAGUUAAAGCCAAAACGCUCUCUGCAUCCAAUACCUUGGUACAUGGCCACGAAUCUCUGGAAUUAGUGGUUCAGACAUUUCAUCGAACACCUUUUGGGCGCGGAGAUGUCUGGGCUCAAAUUCCAGUUGAUCAGAAAGCAAUAAGCAUUAAGAACAACUAAUCCAGAAGGGAUCUAUCAAUCAAUACUCAACCACCUAGCAUACUAAGAAUUCUACACUUACUCUAACCCAUCCUCAGAAACCUAUUCACUACUCAGACAUCAUAGCAGAAAGCAUAAACGUUGAACAAGUUGAAAACAUGAUAACAACAGUGUAACAACAGGAUGAUAACAGAAUGAACAACAGUAAACUAAAAUCAAGAACAAAUACUGAAUACUUAAUAGAUAAAGAGAAAUCCGGAUUACAAAAGGUCUAGAACACAGUGUCUGCAGAAUAAAACUAGAUAAAAACUUGUUUGCGAAAAUGUGAAGUACAUGCUACUUAUAGCCAAAUAUUCUGAAACCCUAAUACUUAAAACGACGCAGUAUUGGGACGGAUUAAGAACUGUACUCGACCCAUGUGGUCGAGUGGGAGGUCGAGUGAAUAGCUGGAGUCUUCUUUUCUUCCUUGUUCUCGAGUGUUUGGUUGAGUACGGAAUGAAGAAGACUCUGAAGCUUGCCAGCGAGUGUGUAGUCGAAUGGUGGUGAUGGUGAUACUCGACUUCCUGGUAGAGUGAUGUGGUCGAGUGAUGAUCAGGUAAUGGAGGUGAAGACACUCGACCUCGGGGUCGAGUGAUGUGAUCGAGUGGUGGUAAGGUGAUGGAGAUGAAGACACUCGACCUCGUGGUCGAGUGGUGAGGUGAAGUGGUGAUGUCCUCUACUCGACCAGGGGGUCGAGUGGUCUGCUGAGGUUGUGAAUCGUCUACUCGACCUAGGGGUCGAGUGGUUUUGCAUGAUCAGGUCCGCUUCUUCCAAUUAGCUCGUCAACAACUCCGAAUCACCUGAAAACAACACAAAUAUGCAACAUGCAUGCAAAACUAUCCUAAACAUGCAAAGUGAUGACAAAUGAUGAGAAAUGAUAUAAAAUAGUGAUGAUAUGAUGCUAAAGUGAUGACAAAUGGAUGCUCAAAACAUGCAAAAUACACACUUAUCAAACACCUCACAUCAAUUUCUUAAAGUACCAAUUCUACUUAAUCUAGACAUUUGCGCCAAUUCAAAUUACAGAAAUAUAUAAUUCUCAGAUCCCACUAGGCACUAGUUAUGGCCUCAGACAAAUCCAAGUAACAUAAUGUUGUAAAUCUUUGUUUUCAUAUUUCUCAUUGUCUUACACAACAUCACUACCACAUUUAAUUAACAAAAAAAAUUUAUAGAAGAAAAUAAGACAACAACUCUUUAACCACUACACAACCAUUCCCACUAGACUUACUUAACUCUUAAACUUAGUUUAGUCUUUACUUAAAAAAAUAAAAUACAAAUUGAUGCAAAAGAAAACCAAAGAAAACAGAUUGCUUGUCAAACAAGCAAAACAAAUUUUGAUGAAAAUAACUGAAGAGCUUGAGAGGAAGUUUUUUUUUUCUCACUUAAAGAUUUUCAUUAUAUAAUACAUCGGAGAAAUAUAUUUUUGGGAUGCGUUUUUGAAAUACAAAAGCCGGGGCAAAACAAAAAUAUCUCCGAAAGAUAAAGCCCGAUACACCGGAAACAGAAGGAAAUAUACUAAAGUCAAAAAGAAAAGCUCUCGAAAUCAUUAGAAAAGUCGGAGGAGAACAAUAACUGCGGGAUUAAGAGCUUAAAGGUCAAAGUCUAGAAAACCCACAAUCGCGGAAUUUAGAGCUCAAAGGUCUCGAACAUACCUAGCAAUCUCAAAUAUGAGUCUCCUUCUUAGAUUUGAGUAUAGCAUGUUGAUUUCGGAUGAGUAAGAUUCAAAGAAACUAGCUCAAUACACACAAUUGGACAAGCAAAAGCCACAAAUAAUCAUUCAAUUGUAAAUUUAGAAUCUUGACACCAUUGACAAACCCAUAUUCCCACAAAAAUGCCAUCGAAAAACAUUCAUCUCACAUUUCUUCAAACAUAUACUAAUCUCCACACCACCUAUUUCAUCCCUCCUCGCUGACAUAGAAAACUCACCGUUUUGGUAAAGAGACAUCAUUUAAGUGUUAACCGGUCUUCCCCACCCAAAAUCCAAUCCAUAUAACCAAUAUUGGUUUGACCCGGUAACAGUUAAUACUUGUGUACCCAACUUCAUGUGUUUAGUUCCUUCUUCGUACACUUCCCACAAUGACUCAACACGUCGUGAACCCAAACUUUUGAUGGAAUCACUUAGAAUCUCCACGCCAUUCACAAACCCAUCUUCUCCCAAAAUGUAUGUCAAUUGGUAAGACACAAUUCCCAAAGUAUGUCAAAGGAACCGGAGGGUCUAAACGGUUUCUAAAAUCAGCAGCGUACAUAAACCGAAUUGGUCUAUCUACAUUGCCUCCACGCGCCUUAACCACACAAGUCAACACAUAAGCAUACUUGACUACAAACGUUGACAAGUAAAGAUCAGACCGAGUUGACUCAUUCUUGGUUCGUUCUUUAAGUUUCUUGAUAUUUUCUUGAGACAGCUGGAGCGUGACCCGGACAAGGUCGUCGUCAAUCUCUUUAGCGGAAGGAGACUUUAAGGUUCUUGUGUCGUUGUCUACGUCUCCUGAUAGAUACGACAGGAGUUGCAAGAUCUUAAAUUCGAGUCCGACAGAAACAUUGAUCACCGUACGAUCCGAAUGUGUAGGUAAAACAAAACCUUGUGGUAUGGUUCCGUAUUUACAUAUAUGAGCCCAAGAUUUGUGAAAAUUUGUUGAGGUUUUGCCGUCCAUGAUGACAUGAUGGGUUGUGAGCCCAAGAGAGAAGCCUUGGUUUGGGAAGAGAGUGAUUUGUAGAGCAAGAAUAGAUGAAGAGUUAGAGGAAGUUUCUAACGUAGGGAUAAGAGAACGUAACUUGCUCUCGAGACGAGGCUCUUUGCCGGAGAGUCUUGAGAAGUCAGCGUCGGACUCAACCACAGUGAAGAGACAGUGUCUUGUGGGAAGAUGAUGACAUGUGGCUUAGGAUCUUGUGGAUCCCAUUUGAUGUGACCAGAGAGUGGGAGGAAGUUAGUGAGGGCAAGGGAGAGAGAUUGCUCGAGCUUUGGGAGGAUUGUGGAGAAGAAAGAGUCGUGAGAUGAUGACUCAGAGAGUUUGUAAAAGGUGACUCGCUCGAUGGGAUGGUGUUUUAGCCAAAGUAAAUCGAAGAAAGUGAGUGGGAGGAAGAGCGGGGUGACUGAGUUAGUUGCAUGGCUGACUCGGGAGAUCUUGAUCAUGUUAAGAGCCAUCGUUGAUGGAGACAAUUUCACUUGGACUCAAUUUCAGGUAUUUGUUUCAAAACAAAAUUUCACCUUAGCCUUCUAUCUCAGUUUUUCUUUUAGAAAGUGGCAAAGUGGGCUGGGCCAAUCAGGUUUUAGCCAUUUGGGCUUAAGUGGACGAAUAUACCCUCCAAUAAGAAAUGAAACGAGGCGGUUUUCUUUGUUUUUCUGUUUAUGAAAAUAAUAUUUAAACUUUAAAAUAAAUCAAAAACAAGUUAAUAAUUUUAAAACUACCAAAAAAAAAUAAAAGAAAAUCAAAAACUCUUUUCGAAGACGCAGAACAAUUCUGACGAAACUUAAACCCAUAUUGAAAGUGAAAUUUCGAUUGAGGCUCUCUUCGAGUUCAAGUCGUUGCUUAAGUGGAGGAAAUUUUGAUCGAGUUCGUGUUAAAGUGUCUAACAAUAAGAGGAUUUUUGGGUUUCUCAAUUCACUGUUUAUAGAAGAACUCAAAUGGCAGAGAUGAAGAAGAGUAGUCGGCGACGAGGAGUUUCCGAAUUUAGUGUCGAAGACGCAAAAUCAAAAACUGUUUUGAAGACGCAGAACAAUUCCGACGAAACUUAAACCCAGAUCGAAAGUGAAAUUUCGAUUGAGGCUCUGUUCGAAUUCGAGUCGUUGCUUAAGUGGAGGAAAUUUUGAUCGAGUUCGUGUUAAAGUGUCUAACAAUAAGAGGAUUUUCGGGUUUCUCGAUUCACUUUUUAUAGAAGUACUCAAAUGGCGGAGAUGAAGUAGAUUAGUCGGCGGCGAGGAGUUUCCAAAGUUAAUGUCAUCGGCGGCGACGACAAAUAUGGGUAAGUUUGCCCUAACUUCGUUUGGGAAUGUUUUGAUACAAAAUUUAGGUUAAUUUUAGAGAUUUCAAAUCAGAAAAUUUCAAUUGACAAAGGGUUUUUAGUGUUUCCGCUAAAAACAGUAGAUUGAGUAUAAAAUUUACGGUGUACGUGUAUAUGAAUAUCAAGUUUAUGUUUAGUUUGUAUUUGGAUAUAGUGUACGUCUUAAGAACUUCAUCGUAUUUUUCAACUUUCAGGAAGUACUUCUAAGGAUCCUGGUGAAUUACCACAGAGGUUGUUUGCACUCGACCACUACCCAACCAAGGCUAAGAUAAAUGCGUACUCUAAACCGGAGUACCUUAGUCAUCUAGCAUAUGCGCUUAAGGGAAUACCAGAAAUAACGUUCCUUCUAGAGUCUCCAUUUAGGGACCUAUUUAGGAUCCCUGUUAACAAGCCAUCUUUUUCUGGUAAACUUGUUCUUGGGUUAAUAUGCCGUCAGUUAGUUACAAAGAAAUGAUAUGAGAUGUAGAUGGUAUUCGGUGAUCAUCCUAUUAAGUUAGGAUUAAGAUAAUGAGCACUUUUAACUGGUUUGGAAUGUGGAACCUAUCCUAAAAAUAUGACUUUGACUUGGUACAUAGAUGAAACUGCUAGAUCCUUUGUAGCUUGCGAUAUUAUGCUAGUAUCCUUUCCCUCAAUAUCCACAUGAACAAGUUCAAUAUGUUCAAAAUCCUCCAGAAAACUCUUUAAGUGUUUCAACUCUUCAGCAGUUCCGCAAUAAGCAAGAACAUGCAACACCCUCACUUGGUUCAGAGGCAUGGAGAAAUCACCUGUGUAACCAUUCAGAUCCUAAAAAAACAUUAAUCAAGAAGAUUGAUCAACCACACAAUUUGUAUAUAUAUAUUGAUUCAUAGAUUUUUCUUACUGAAUAUAUAUAUAUAUACCUUGAUGGUUAGAUUUUCAAGCUUUGGAGAAUGCUUAAGUACACAUUUGCGAGCAAUUACCAACCAUCUUCAUUCAUAAGACCUAAAGAUAACUUAAUUAGACUGUUGAACACAGUUAGACAAUCUUCAUAGAAGGAACAAAUCAAACAAAUCUUCUGAAAACAAAAACAAACUUUAAGACUGUCCCAAGAUUUCUCAAAACGAAACAAGGAAAAUUGCCGAGACGCAAAGAACUUACAUCGACCGAACCAGGAGACAAAUGAAGGAUCUCAACAUUAAUUUCUUAUCCCCAUAAUGAGUUUCAUUACAUCUGCAUCCGCAAUGCCUGGUGGAUCAAAAUCCAGCGUGUAGCAUGUCAGGAGUCCAUAUUAACUUGUGGAUACUGACACAAGGAGAAACUAGAAUAGUUGAGGUAUACAAGAUUUGGCAGGUCAAAUGAUAGGCUGCUAUUAAUAACACGACUUCGAUAAUAAACUGAUAGUCUCUUGAGAGACGGGCUCAAUAUGGUGUUGUUAGGUAUUGUUGGUUUGCCUCUGAUAAGGAGUGUGUUAAGGAAUAUUGUUAACACCUAAAGCACUCGGCAACCAACAAGAAGCGUGCAAAGCAAAUCAUCAUGUUUAUCGAUAAUCGUAUCUAUGUAGAGAAACUUAAGAGAUGGAAGUGACACAUAUGAAGGAAGGUUUCUAAGAGGGAGCCUUAGUGACAGCUUAACAAGUGUUUUGCUUGCAAAGAGCUGGUGAGGCAAACAUUAUGCAUCUCGAUCUUUUAUCCUUAGUUCAAUUUCCAAAACACCACGUUUUAUGACAUGAGAGAUCCAACUGCCCACAUAAGCCUUUUGCCUUUGAUUCUCCUUUGGAACCUUACAUUUUAGAGAGAAUUUCUUGAUCAGAAAGUCACAUUGCUAAGUCAGAGUUCAAUCCACAAAAUUCUUGAAGCUAUUAUUCAAGAAAGAAUCAUCAAAAUCGAGAGUAUCCACCAAGCUAAACAUAUACCUCCACUUUUUUGAGAGGACAAAUGUUGAAGCAGCUUGUUUUGUCUUUUUUUAUGUAUGAAUGUUAAAUUUAUUCACCAAAAAAGACUGUUUUACAAAAAAUGCAACAUCAAGCUGAACGUUUGAGAAGAAAAAUUAAAGACGAACAACUGAAAUAUAGUUAAUUCGGAUGAGUAUGGAACCAAUAUCGUAGCCCACCUUCGUAGGUAGGGGAGGCCAGCAAAGUACUAAGCUGGUUUCGAACAUUUUUAUCGACCAUUUUUGCUAGCGUGUUGGGUGGAGUUGGUGGUUCCCCGUGUUUCCUCCCAUUCCGUUCCCGCCAUACACUAUGGAUGGAUAACUGAAACACAUAUCGCAAGACAAAAAGAUGGACCUUUGGAAUUGGUAAAGUCGUAAGCAUGGAAAUCAGAGACUCCCAAUGAGUUGUGUAGUGUUGUCCAAGCAAGUGCCGGGUGAAGGCGGACCAAACCUGAGUCGAAUAUGAACAAGAGAAAAAGAGAUGGUCCCUUGUUUCGAUAUCCUCAUGACACAAGACACAAUUACCACUUACGGCAACAUUCCAAUUGAGCAUUCUGUCACCAGUCGCUAAGCGAUUACGAACUGCGAUCCAUGCUAUGAAAGAGUACUUAGGUGUAGAUUUGGGAAACCAUACACCUUUGUACCAUUCACAUAUUGUAUAUGUUGUCGUAUCGCAUGCCAAGUUUCUCUUCAGAUGAAAACAUUCUCGAAAGUGCCAUUGUUUCUUUUUCAAAGAAAAUUGUCCUUCCCAGAAUGAUGAGUAGGGCGUGAGUUUAGGACUCUAAUUCAUCCUCAAUCCGGUUGAGCAAAACAGACCUAUGACGACGACGGUGCGCUGAGAGGCCUUCUGCAACUGAGCAAGUAAAGGAGAUACCUAAAUCAAUGCAUCCACGAGGACCUAAAAGAUCCGUCAACCUACCAAGAGAACACCAAUAAUCAUACCAAAAGGAGGUAUCUGAACCGCUAUUUACCUCCAAUCUUUGUAAAGAUUUUGCCUUGUCUCGAUACUUUAGAAUUUUUCUCCACAUCCAAGAACCAAUACUUGUAGAUCCGUUUACCGGCCAUAAGGAUUUUGAUCGUAACAGAGUUGCUCUGACCCAGAGAGAAUCUUUGGUAGAGACGAGUCGCCAAAUAAGCUUCAGUAAAACAGUGUUCGUUUCAGAUAGCGACCUUAGCCCCAUCCCCCCCCCCUUGAGAGGAGACUUUCAAGUUCCUUUAUGCACUUACUAGGCAACCUGAAGACUGAGAGCCAGAAGCUUGUGAUGCUCGAUAGAACCGAAUUUAGCAGUUGUAAGCGACCCGCAAACGAUAAAAACCGAUCUGUCAAAGAAGCGAUUCUAGAUCGUAUUUUCUCAAGAAGUGGGAGAUAGUCGGAACGUGUCAUACUUUUUGUGAGAAGCGGGAGACCAAGAUACUUGACCGGAAGUGUUCCCGCAACAAAAGGAAAUUGGUGAAGCAGAUUAUCUAUACGCUGAGGUGAGCAACCUGCCAUAAACAACGUCGAUUUCUCUAAGCUGAUUUAUAGACCCGAAAAUCCUGGAAAGUUCCCAAAGACCUGUAGUAAUGCUGCUAUGGAUCGAGCACUACCAUCUGAAAAAACCAAACUGUCGUCCGCAAAACACAAAUGACUGCAUGAGUCCCAUGUUUUUAAACCAAGGAUGGUACCCAAUAUCAUUAUCCCUAGCCGCUUUGUCAAGCAUUUUAGACAGAACAUUCAUACAAAUGACGAUGAAAUAAGGUGAGAGGGAGCAGCCUUGUCUCAACCCUCAUUUGCUUUGGAAGUAACCUGCCAAUUCUUCCAUUGACUUGAACCGAAAAAGAUGCAGUACCAAUACAGAGUUCAAUCCAUCGAACAAAAACCAGCGGGAGAUAAUAACCUUUUAGAACCGUGAGAAGAAAAGGUCAUUGGACCGAGUCAAAAGCCUUUGAUAUAUCAAUCUUUAAUGCACACCUUGCGGAGAUUGAUUCCUUAUAUCAUAAGGAUACACUACAAGAAAACAGGUGAUUGACGACCUACAAGUCAGUCGUUUAGUAGUCGUAACUAAAGCUAAUACGACUAAUUUGCGACUAAUGACUGUAGUCAUUAAUCCAUAGUCGCUAAAAACACUAGUCGUUAAUUAGUCGUUGGUCAACGACAAUAAUACGACAACUGACUAAACAGUGAAAAAUCGUCGUUACGUAGUCGUACUAUGUCGGCGACUAAUUGACGACUAUCCUACGAUUAUUUGUACUGUACAGAGCGUGUGAGAACAUGUAGUCGUUUCGUAGUCGUUAAUUGUGUACGACGACAUUACGACGAUGUUGCGAUGAAAUAUUCUAAACCUUGGGUAUGUUUCCAAUUGUCGUAAAAUAGUCGUAAAUAUGUUUACGACUAUUCGACGACUCUUUGACGAUUAAAAGUACUUUACCAAGGAUUUGAAAGUUUUUGUCAUAACAUAGUCGUAUAAGUAUAUACGACUAUUGGACGUCUGUUUUACGAUUCUUUUAUGACUAAUUUGUUUAGUCUUAUGAUUGUCGUAAAGUUAUGUGACUAAUUGACGACUAUUCAGCGACUAUAGUGCUACUUAUUUACUACUUUUUUGCGACUAAUAGUUUGGUCCGAAUAAAGAUUUGGUCAUCAGGUGAUGGGUUUCUUGUUUGUUCUUGUUUAUUCAUCGAUUGUUCUUGUUUGUUAUUGAUAUGCUAUACAAUAUGAAAACACUGCUUAUAUAUUGAAAAUCAAGUUCAAAACAUAAAAUUAUCUUGUUCAAACAUACAACUUAUUGAAAGAUACAACUAGUGUUUGGAAACCUAAAUUCUAUGGAUCAUUAGAUGGGGGAGUAAUUGGGAUACGCUCUGUGGAUGUGGAAGAGUGUGUGGCAAUGAAGUCCAAGAACUGCGGAUCGGUUUGGCGGAGAUACUUCUCGACUAAGGACAAGUGCUCGAGCUUGUCCUUUUGCUUAGCUGUGACUCGGGCUGUCUCGGCUUCUCGGGCAGCAAUCUCAGCAUCUCGCUUUUCGUUAUAUGCAGCCUGUUCUUCAAUUUGCCGCUGAGCUUCCUGCAGCCGUUCUUCUAAGGCUUUAAAGGUUGAGUCUCCGGGGAGUUGGCGGUUGGCACUGCCUAGAGUUUCUUUAAGACAGCCAAGUUCAUAAGGAUUGCCUCUUGCAUCCUUUUCUGUGGACUGCAAGAAAUAAAGAGGAAGAUAAUUAGUGACAGAUCCUAAAUGUCUCUAAGACUCUGAAAAAGACAAAGAACAUCUUACCUCGAGAAAUAUGGCUGCAUACUCAUCUAGUGUGAGAUCCCGAGGACGUGAAGAGCCAUCAGACACAGAAGAAGCAGCCGCCUCUAGUUCAGACAACUCUCUCACAUUCUGCUCAUACGCCAGAGCAAUCUUCUCUGCCUUCUGAUCAACAUAAGUCCCAUCCGACUUAGUGUGUGUUUGGAUGAACACCUCACCAAGAGGGACAGGUCUUCCCAUUUUUUCUUCCUGCAAACACAGAUCACAAGCUUCAUUACUAUCAACAGACUAAACAUCACACACAGUUAAACGAACAUCACUAAAACACAUGGGAAGAUUGCAGAAACACUUACCAAUUCAUCUUGGAUUUCUUGGAAAGACUUUGGCCCAGAGUAGUGGACGUGAGGACCGAGACCGUUACGGUCAGAGAGACGAGCUUUGGAAUAUGUCUUACUCCUUUUUUGUGCCUCUUCAGUGUCCCAGUAGUCGCACAUGGUUCCCCACAGAGUUUCUCCAAUCCAUGGAGGCUGCUCUCGAGUUCUCCUUGCGGUGCUAACCAUGUCCUUCAAGCGCCUCUUAACGAUCUCAUUGAAGUAGUAUUGGACUGUCCCUGUUAUUAAGAGAUCCCAGUGGUGAGUUUUCUACAAAAAAAGUGUGAAGUUAGUGAACAAAUGACAGAUUAAAUAGUACAGUCUAAUGAAAGUUGGAGAAAUACAAGAAGCUUACCGCAAACUCUAAAAACAAUCUUUCUCUUUUAUCCAAUGGCACACAGGACCAAUUAUAGUAGGGAGCAUUGAACUUUUGAGUAAAAAUCCAUGUGAUCUUUCUAACCAAUUUAGAUCCUCUGUCGCGAGUAAACCUCCAAACACAUGCAACACAGACAGAAAGUAAACAUGUUUAAAAUCCAAAACACUACAACUACAGCAGACUAUAUAAUUGAACAAAGGCAGAUUCUACAAGAUUCUAGACAAGUAUAAGCCGACAAGAUCACACACAGAACACAAUAGUCAACAUAACAAGAUCAUAGACAGUAAAGAACAAGUAUAGACAAGUAUAGAACAAAGACAGAUCCUCAUUGUCAAAGCCGAAAACAUGCUAAGUUCAACAAUCAACAAAUGUUCCACAAUUAUGUUCAUGAUUCACAACAGAACACAAUAAAGAACUUAACAAGAUUAUAGACAAGUAUAGAACAAAGACAGAUCCUCAAUGUCAAAGCCGAAAACAUGCUAAGUUCAAUAAUCAACAAAUGUUCCACAAUUAUGUUCAUGAUUCACAACAGAACACAAUAAAGAACUUAACAAGAUUAUAGACAAGUAUAGAACAAAGACAGAUCCUCAAUGUCAAAGCCGAAAACAUGCUAAGUUCAACAAUCAACAAAUGUUCCACAAUUAUGUUCAUGAUUCACCACAGAACACAAUAAAUAACCUAACAAGAUUAUAGACAAAGUGAAGAACUUAACAAGAUUACACACGAGUUUAGAACAAAGGCAGAUUCUACUAUGUUACACAAACCCUAACAAACAUCCAAUUCCAACAAAGGCAGAUUCUACUAUGUUACACAAACCCUAACAAGCCAUUCUACAGACCAUAACACGAGUUACACUACACAGGCUAAGAACACUAGAAUAAAAUAGAGGAAGAGAACAUACCACUCGGUUUUAGGUUUGGGAAUUGGAGACAAGACACAACACCACUAGAUGGGGUAGAGAGUGUCGAUUGCAGAGCCAACGCCGAGUCUUCUUGUAGCUCCGACAACGUCCCAGGAACUUCCUCUUGGAAGUUGUUCCCUUGAGACGACGGGUGGCUGUUUGCUGGAGCGUCUGAAUCUCGCGACUGAGGAGGAGUUUGCUGAGGUGGCGCUGUUGGCGGCGGAGUGUAGUGGACCUCUUCAGAUAGAGGCGGAGGAGCUUGAUGUUGUGGUUGAGUCGUUGAGUUCUGGAAGAGUUGCAGAGGCGGUGGAUAGUUGCGGACGUGGGGUGCAGACGUUGAAGGUCCAUGUUGUUGAGCCGGCUCCGUCGCAGGAACUUGAACCGCCAGCGCCGGAGUGAAGUUGUAUUGGGGAGGAAGAUUUGCAGGUCUUGAUCCGCCGGCGCCGGCUCUCUGAGUGACGUUCGGCGUCGUCUUACGCUUCCGGGAGCCACCUCGACCGGCGAUAGGCAUGAUAGUGAGCCAAAUGAAGAGAUUGAAGAGAAAAAGAAGAAGACGACGAAGCAGAUCGAAGAGGUUGAAGGUGAGAGAUCGAAGAAGAUCGAUCGAUCUUAGCAGAAGAAGAAGAAGAUCGAUCUAGAAGGAGAAAGGAUUGAUCUUAGAAAGAGUUCUGGGGAUUAGGGUUUUCGAGACGAAGAAGAAGAAGAAGAGGAGGUUGGAUCGAAUAGGUUUAAGGUGAGAAAUCGAAGAAGAUCGAUUGAUCUUAGCAGAAGAAGAAGAAGAUCGAUCUAGAAGGAGAAAGGAUCGAUCUUAGAAAGAGAAUUGGGGAUUAGGGUUUUCGAGACGAAGAAAAAGAAGAAGAAGAAGAAAUGGCUAAGUGUUUGGCUCGAAGAGAAAUGACUCGAUUUAGGGUUUUCAACACAAUAGAAGUCGCAUAAUAGUCGCAUAAUUGUCGCAUAUUCAUUUGGGUUUGGGCCUCGAAAUUUUGAAGCCCAACUAAUCAAAAAAGUAUCGUUGAAUAGUCGUAAUUUUGUCGCCAAUUAUACUGGGUUUGGGUUUCAAAAUUUCAAAGCCCAACAAAUCAAAACUUGUCGGAACAUAGUCGCAUCUUUGUCAUAAAAUAUUACUGGGUUUGGGCUUCAACAUUUAGAAGCCCAAAAUACCAAACAUCUGUCGGCCAAUAGUCGCAAUAUUGUCGCCGAUAAUAAUGGGUUUAGGCCCCGAAAUUAAGAAGCCCACAAAACAAACUUGUCUCGGUAUUUAGUCGCAAUAUAGACGCCUAUACUAAUGGGUUUGGGCCUCGAAAUUUUAAAGCCCAACAUAUCAAACAGGUGUCGCAUAAUAGUCGUCGUUUUGUCGCCGGUUUUAAUGGGUUUGGAUUUCAACGUUUAGAAGCCCAAUAAAACUUAUCUUCGUCGCUCAUUAGUCGCAUAAUAGUCACUUUUAAAUUGAUAUAAUUAUAAAUGUGAAGAAAUAUUUGUAUAUCAUAAAAAAGUUCAAUGAUAUUAUGAAACAAAAUUCAUUCUAAUAUUUAUUCAAAUAAUUAUACAUAUAUUAACACAGUUAUACAUCUUCAUCUUCUACUUCAUCUUCGUCCGAGGACGAUAAAUUACAUCGGAAUUCGUCUUCUGGUUCAGCAUCCCCGACAUCGUAAUUAAGGAUUAUUGGGUUUAAGUUGGCUACCGGAGUUUCAAGAACAGGAUCUUCAAUUAUAGUGAGCAAAACAUCAUCAUCAUUUUCUGUUUGCAAAAGAGUUGGAUCAUUGUUUUCAUAUUCUCCAGAAAUGUUUCCCCUCGGAUUGACUUUUAGAACAUUGAGCCAAAUGUUCUUUGGUUUCUUCAUAUAUGGAUACGGAAUAUAACAAACUUGAUCUGCUUGAGAUCCUGUAUACAUAUAUCAAAGAUAGAUUAUUAAUAAUUAAAAAAAAAACGUAUUUUGGACUUAAGAAUAAUUACGUACCAAGAAUAAAUGGCUCGUAUUUAUUGUAUUUCCUCGUAGAUAGAAUGUCUACAACGCCACUAUGGCUUCGUCGAGUGCCUCUCCCGAUCUUUGGGUCAUACCACUUACACUUAAAAAGUGUGAUCCUCAAAUUGACGAUACCCUCAUACUCGAGUUCUAUAAUAUCAGUUAAGAUACCGUAGAAAUCCGCUUCAUCAGAUGAAUCAGCGUAAUUUUCACCUUUAACACAGACCCCAUAGUUACAUGUCUUUCGUCCAGCGCCGUGAUUUUGCGUAUGAAACAAAUAUCCUCUUGUGAAAUACAUUGGCCAAGUUUUAACCUUGUUCAAAGGUCCUUGCACAAUCUCUUGAACCCAAGUAGGAAAUGGAGAAGUAGUGUUCCAGUAUGUUACCUACAUAAUAGAUAAACAAUAUCAAUUAGUAUAUAUUAAAUGAUCACCUUUCGAAUGAACCAAAAUUGAUAUAGACUUACAUAUUCUUUAACCCAUAAAUGAUAUUCUUCCGCUCUUCUCGCGUAGAGUUCUUUUUUGGGCAAGCAUGGAUAUUUGGCAGAAAGAUAAUCUUCGAACAUACUAUAUUUACAAACGAGGAAAAUUAUCAAAGUGAUCUUAGUAAAAAUUUACAAACAACGAGUGAUUAAAAAUACCUCUCAAAUGGUUUAAAAUAGUCACAAUUUCUUAAAACAUAUGCAUGUGCGCUUUGGUAGUCUUUCUCUGAAAGCCAAUCUACAUGCAUUUCACCACUUGGACGGCCGACGUGCAUAAAUAUAUUAGGUACUCCAGGGACAUGAUAUACAGGAACUUUACCUUCAUUGAAUCUUGUUAACCUGAUCCAUGUAAGUGAAUUAAUAUCGAAGAAUAUCUAAUCGUUAAAUAAUUAAAUAUAUUUACCUUGAUUUUGUUUGAAUAUGAUCGGCAAAGUAGUGCUCUGAAAAAUAAGCAAUCUCGUCAUUGAUAUAUGACUCAACAAUUGAACCUGCAGCAUAUCUUUUGUUCUUUGCUUUUCCUUUCAACUUUUUGAAAAACCUCUCGAAUGGGUACAUCCACCUAUAUUGGACUGGGCCACCCAAUUCAGCUUCGUAUGGGAGAUGGAUAGGUAAGUGUUCCAUAACAUCAAAAAAUGAUGGUGGAAAGAUCCUUUCCAAAUUACAGAUGAUUAAAACUAUGUUCUGUUUGAGAAUUUGAACGCGACUUGUCUGUAAAGUUCUCGAACAUAGAUCUCGGAAAAAUGCUCCAAUUCCUAAAAUAUAUGUGCAAGUUAAAUGAUUAGAUUAAAAAAAUGUUGGAAAAAAAUAUAGUAAGUAUAUAUUGUACCUGAUAGUGCAAGGUGGACAUUCCGGUCAAGCAGUUCAGCAAAGAUAAAUGGAAGUAGUCGCUCCAUAAAUACAUGACAAUCAUGACUUUUCAUGCCUGAAAACUUUUCAUUAUCCAGAUCUAUACAACUAGCCAAAUCUGAAGAAUAACCAUCUGGAAAUCUAAUAUAAUAUUUCACACAUUGUAAUAAACUCUGUUUGGCUUCUUCUGUCAAUGUAUACGCUAGAAAUGGAGCUUUGCCACUACUAUCAAUAUGUAAGCCUGGGCGUGAACAAAAUUUCUCAAUAUCCAAUCUUGACAUGAUAUUAUCUUUUGAUUUACCCUUAACUCUCAUGAGAGUGUUCAUGAUGUUGUCAAGAAAAUUCUUCUCUGUAUGCAUCACAUCAAUAUUAUGUCGAAGAUUGAGGUCUUUCCAGUAAGACAACUCCCACAAGAUGCUUUCCUUGUGCCAAUUAUGUUUCUUCCCAUAGCCUCGCAUCUUCUUUUCAUGACCGUUCCCACCAACAUCCUUCGUUUUUGGUGGAUUUACACUAGCCAACCUCUCGUAAUAAACUUGCUCCCCUGUCAAAGACUCAGGUGGAUAUUCGCUAGAAGCAUCUCUUCCUUUCAGAAAGUCUUUUCUGUUCCUACGGGAUGGAUGACCAUGAGGAAAAAAUCUACGGUGACAAUCAAACCAGCAUGUCUUCCGUCCAUUGGGUAGAUAAAAAGACUUUGUACUUUCCAUGCAAACAGGACAAGACAAUUUACCAUGAGUAGUCCAUCCUGAUAACAUGCUAUACGCCGGAAAGUCGCUAAUCGUCCACAGUAGUACUGCUUUUAGAUUAAAAUUCUGACUCAAUGAAACAUCGUACGCAUCGACUCCAGUAGACCACAACUCUUUUAACUCCUCAAUAAGAGGUUGGAGGAAGACAUCAAGACUAGCUCGAGGAUGAUUUGGACCAGAAUUCAGAAUGGUAAGAAAUAAGUACUCUGUAUUCAUGCACAUACCAGGGGGUAAAUUAUAAAGAGUUAGGAUCACAGGCCACAAUGAAUGAUUACGAGACAUGCCAAAUGGAUUGAACCCAUCAGUACACAACCCGAGAUAAACGUUACGGGGUUCUUCCGCAAACUGGGGAUGUAACCCUAGGAAAUAUCUCCACUCUGCUGCAUCUGAAGGAUGAUUCAUUUCUCCCUCCUUUGAUUGGUGCUCAGCAUGCCAUCGCAUUGCCGCUGCUGUCUUAUGGCUCUGAUACAUUCUCUUCAACCGGUCCCCAAUAGGUAGAUACCACAUACGACUAUAUGGUACUUUGGUUCUUCGACGGUCGUCCUUAGGCUUCCAUCUUUUCGCACAACAAAAUCGACAUUGAUCUUCUUUUUCGUCUUCUUUCCAAAAUAGCAUACAAUUGUUCUGACAAACAUCAAUCGUAUGAUAUGGAAGUCCUAAAUUGCGCAUUAACUUCUCGGUCUGGUAAUGUGAAGUGGUUGUCUGGUUUCCUUCUGGUAAAAAAUCUGUAAACAUUUCGCAAACGGAGUCCACCAACUUUUCACUCAUAUUAUACUCCGCCUUGUUGUGCAUGAGUCGAGAUGCUAAGGAUAAUUGCGACUGCCCUUCACGACAACCAUUGUACAAAGGAUUAUUUGCACCUUCUAACAAGUCGUAGAACUUAUUUGAAUGGUUACGGACCGGUUCUUCCACAUUCUGAUAACUAUCAUCAUGACGAUAGUUAUCAUCAUACCCCACAUUAAAAUUAAAUGCAUCGUUCACCAUAUCCACAUAUGGAUCUUCUACAAUAUUACCCACUUCUUCAUGAUUCUCACUAAAAUAAGUCCUAUUCGUGUAACUCGUUCCUAUAUCCAUAUUCAUUUCUUCUCCAUGCUUAUACCAAACAUAAUAAUCAGGCAUAAAUCCAUGACUAAACAAAUGACUACUAACUCUUCUACCCGAGAUGAUGUGUUUUUCAUUCUUGCAUACACUACAAGGACAAUGAAAUUUACCUCGACUACUCUGUACUAUUGGCUGACUAUUAGCGAAUGUCAUGAAUUGCUCAACUCCUGCGACGUAUUCGGCUGACAAAUUCCCCGUCACUUCAUCAAAUCUCUUGUACAUCCAAUCUCGAUAGAAACCGCCAGUACCGCCAUAAUUGUAGUUUCCCGCCAUUAUACAAUAAAGUAACUAAUAUUUUUUUUUCUCUUUGAUGUUGUUGUUGUUUUGAUUUGUUGGUGAAAGAAGAGUUGCGUGAACGUUUAUUAUAUAGGCCAAUUUUUGUGACUAAUUUACGACUACAACUAAAUAAUUAGGUGUACCUACUUACCAAUGUGAAACACGUUUUCCAUCUACUUUAUACGACUAUGGUGCGACGUUUCUACGACUACAGGCUGACUAAGACGUCUAAUCGUCCUGUAGUCGCCAAAUUAGCGACUAAAUAAAAUAGACGGUAGAAUAGUCGUUAAUUAGCGACUAAGCAACGACAAAAUUAUCCCUUCAAUAAUAUAAUCGUCAAAUAGUCGUUACUUGCCGACUCUUUGCCGACUGCAUACGAUAGUCGUAAAACAACGACUAUGUAACUACAAUUUUUCGUGUUGUCGCAUGCGAGUCGUAAAUCCGUCGUCAAAUAGUCGUAUAAUGUUACGACUACGUUUGUUGUCGCUGAUUGUAGUCGUCGUUUACCUGUUUUCUUGUAGUGAUAAUCCUUAACUAGUUCCGAGGCUAACAACAAAUUCUCCAUUAUAAGCCGAUCUUUGAUGAAUACAGACUGGUUAUUCACUACAGGAAAAUGGGUUUUUAAUAGCACAGAAAUAUAGCGUUUUAUGUCAAUAUGCUAUCAUUGAUAGAAGGAUAAAAUAAAGAUAACGUCUCCAAAAAUGAAAUGCUAUGAUAGCUUUACUCACUAAAAAUUAUUUUCACGUGUUAAGUAAAAAAAAGGUUAAGUCCACAUUCAGUCUUCUCUCUCACUGUUCAACUCGACAAUUCCUCUCUCUCACUGUUCUUCAAAAAAAUUUCUUUCAAUCGUCGAAUUGUUCUGUCUGUUUUUCAAAACGAUUAUUGUUCUGUCUCUUUUCCAAAAUGGUUAUUGUUCUUCGGUAGCUCAUAGCUCGAUUGGUCUUCGAUAAUUCACUCUCUCACAAAGCCCAGAAAUAUCUGAUAAAGGUAUUUUAAUCUGUUCAAUUCAAUAUCUGAUAGAGGUUUGAUUUCAAUUUUGAUUUCAUUUCAAUUUGGGGAUUUUGAUUUGGGGAUUUUAGGGGUUUUAGGGUUUCGUUUCGAUUUGGGGAUUUUAGGGUUUUGUUUUGAUUUUAGGGAUUUCGAUUUAGGGAUUUCGAUUAAGUGAUUAAUUGUUUUUCGUUUUGGUUUAUUUUAAUUUUAGGUCCUCGUUUCAAUUUGGGGAUUUCGAUUUUAGGGUUCUUUAGUUAGAUUUAGAUUUGGUUUUCAAUUUGGGGAUUUCGUGUUUUGGCUUUUAGUUUGAUGAAAACUAAUAGUCAUUUUCUUUAUGCAGAUUAUUGUUUCAGAAUCUACAAGAGCUUAAGAGGUAGCAGAUUCUUAUCUAUUUCUAUAUUUUUUGGUUUAUUUGUUGUGAGAUGAGUGUUUGAUAAAUGAAAUUAUUGUCACGCAUGUCUGAGUAAUCCGUGGUUGAGCUCUGGUGUUAUAACAUGGAAAAGGCUUGGGUAUGGCUUCCAAGGUAUGAAUUUUCUGGUUAUCAAUUAGCUAGUGUUUUAUUUCAACUUUGUUUCUUCUUAUUGAUAUUUUGCCUUGUUUAUUUACAUGAAGGGCUAGCAUUGAAUAUGAGAAAGGUGCUACCGUUUUUGUGAAUGAAUCAGCACAAAAAUUGGGUAAUCCUGAAGAAUUAUUGUGUCCAUGCAUUGACUGUCGGAAUGUUUGCCAUCAUCUAUUAGAAAUCGUGUUAGAGCAUCUGGUGAUUAGAGGGAUGGAUGAGAAAUAUAAGAUUAAGGCAUGUUGGAAUAACCAUGGAGAGAGAAGGGAACAUAACAUGGCUAGUGUUGAAUCUUCAGAGAAUGAUGCUUAUGACUUGAUUAGGACUGCAUUUUUCAGUGGUGGAGAAAAGCAGCAAAUUCAGAAUGACAAUGAUGCUUAUGAUGAAGAACUAAGCAAAGAAGAAGCUGAGUUUAGAGAGAAGUUAUUGGAAGCUGAAACUCCUCUAUACUUGACAAGUUCUAAGUAUACCAAGGUGGUUGCAAUAAUGGCUCUCUAUCGCAUCAAGGUGAAAAGUGGUAUGUCUGAAAACUAUUUUGAUCAGUUGCUUACAGUUGUUCACGAUAUGCUUCCUGUGGAGAAUGUUCUUCCCAAGUCAACUGCUGAGAUAAAGAAGUUCUUGAAGGUUUUCGGUUUUGGUUACGAUAUGAUUCAUGCCUGUAAGAAUGACUACAUUCUUUAUCGUAAGCAGUAUGAGGAGUUAGUUAGCUGCCCGCGAUGUAGUGCUUCACGAUGGGAGAAGGAUAACCACACAGGAGAAGAAAAUAAAGGGGUUCCAGCAGAAGUCUUAAGAUAUUUCCCUAUCAAGGACAGAUUCAAGAGACUUUUCAGAUCGAAAAGGAUUACUGAAGAGUUGCGGUGGCAUUCCAGCAAUGGUAGUGUAGAUGGGACAAUGAGACACCCAGUUGACUCGCUCACUUGGGAAAAAGUGAAGGAGAAAUGGCCUGAGUUUGAUGGUGAUCCUAGGAACCUUCGUUUAUGCCUUUCUACAGAUGGGAUGAACCCAUUCUCAAUGCAGAAUACUAAGUACAGUGUAUGGCCAGUUAUGUUAGUUAACUAUAACAAGGCUCCUACCAAGUGUAUGAAGUCAGAGAACAUCAUGUUGACCAUGCUCAUCCCUGGACCAACAGCCCCCAGUAACAACAUCGACGUCUACUUACAACCUUUGGUAGAUGAUUUACUUGAUCUGUGGAAUGAUGGUAUUCAAGUUUAUGACUCCUUUAUGUAAGAGACUUUUACACUUAGAGCAAUGUUACUUUGGACUAUCAGUGACUAUCCGGCUUUAGGGACUCUCGCUGGUUGUAAGGUCAAAGGGAAACAAGCAUGUAAUGUCUGUGGUAAAGAUACACCACAUAGGUGGUUGAAGUUUAGUCGGAAACAUGUUUACUUAGGCAAUAGAAAGCGUCUCCGACCUGGGCAUCCUUAUAGACGUCGAAAAGCUUGGUUUAAUAACACGGUUGAGAAUGGAACUACAAAUAGAAUUCAUAGUGGAGUUGAUAUUCUAGAGACAUUAAAGGACUUUCGCAAUGAUUUUGGGAGACCGCUGGAUAAGAGAAGUAAGAGAAGCAGAACUGAUUUGGAUGAAGAGGGUGUUAAUUCAGAUGAAGAAGCAGAAGAAGAUAGUGAUAAGUGGCGUUGGAAGAAACGUUCUAUCUUGUUUGACUUACCAUAUUGGAAGGUUAGUGUGUCUUCUAAACUGUAUUACAAGUAUAUGUAGUAUGGAUUUGUCUAACUUUGAUUUUUUCAUUGCUCAGGAUAUGCCUGUGAGACACAAUAUAGAUGUGAUGCAUGUGGAAAAGAACAUAUCUGAUGCAAUGUUGUCAACUUUGAUGCAAAGUGUUAAAUCAAAAGACGGUUUGAAAUCACGAAAGGAUUUAGAAGACAUAGGGAUUAGAAAACACUUAUAUGCAAUCACACGUGGAAAGAGAACUUACCUGCCUCCUGCCGCUUAUUGGCUAUCAAAGUUAGAGAAGAAGUUGUUCUGCAAUAGGUUAGCAAAAUUUAGGGGUCCUGACGGAUAUUGUGCUAAUAUCUCAAACUGUGUAUCAGUUGAGCCUCUUGGAAUUGGUGGGUUAAAAUCACAUGAUCAUCACGUCCUUAUGCAGAAUCUACUUUCAGUUGCUUUGAGAGGCUUGUUGCUCAGAGGACCUCGAGUUGUUGUCGCUCGUUUAUGCUUUUACUUCAAUAGAUUAUGUCAGCGUGUGAUUGAUCCAGAGAAAAUACUAGCCUUAGAGUCUGAAGUUGUGGAUACAAUGUGUCAACUAGAACGGUUCUUUCCUCCUUCCAUGUUUGACAUAAUGUUUCACCUGCCCAUACAUCUAGGGAGGGAAGCACGAAUGGGUGGGCCAGUACAUUUUCGCUCGAUGUACCCAUUUGAGAGGUACUUCUACUUCUAACUCUCUAAUUAUGUGAUAUGUUGUUAGUUAGCUUUAUUGAAAUCUUCAGACUCUAAGGCUAGUAUUUUCUCUUAUGAUGUAGGUACAUGAAAAAAUUGAAAUCUUAUGUUAAGAACUAUGCAAGACCAGAAGCGUGUAUUGCAGAGGGCUAUUUGGCUGGAGAAUGUGUUGCAUUUUGCACAGAGUUCCUACGCAACUCGUUACCAUAUGAAGAAUCAGUUAAUCGCAAUGAAGAUAUUGAGACAAAUGAGAAUGUGCUUGGAGGUCGUCCAUUAUAUAAGGGUACAAAUGUUACACUAAUAGAGAAAGAAAGAGAGAUAACACAUCGAUAUGUUCUAAUGAACAUGGCUGUGACUGAACCUUAUAUUGAGUAAGAGCACUGAAUCUCCUGUAUAUAUCUUUAUUCAUCGAGUAUGAUCUUUACAUUAAGUUUUGUCUUUUUUCAGUAUGCAUUUGGAAGAAUUACAAGAAUUUGAUGAUAGUUGUGCAAGAAACGAAACUCUAGUGUUCAAGUUACACAACAAAAGAUUUGCAAAGUGGAUUAAAAAUAAGGUAUGAGUUCAUCACUUACAAAUAUGAUAUUGUUUCUCUGUAAUGAUGUAUUGAGUAUUGUCUGUUUUUAUUAGAUCCCUUCAAACUCAAAGGAUCAUUCAAUGAAGCUAAGGCGGAUAGCACUUGGACCAAGACUAAUUGCUCAGACUUACAAGGGGUUUAUCGUAAAUGGGCAUAGGUUCCACACCGAUGAUGUAAAGCGAAAGACUCAGAAUAGUGGAGUCACAUAUGAAGCCUUUAGUAUGCGUAGAUCAAGUGCACGUGAUAGUAGGCACCAAGCUGACAUAGUUACAUAUUAUGGAGUCAUAAAGGAGAUUUUAUUGCUUGACUACCAUAUGUUCCAAAUACCUAUUUUCAAGUGCAAUUGGGCCCAUAAAGGUCAUGGUGUGAGAGAAGAAGAAGGAUUCACGCUUGUGAACCUCCACUUGAGCCAAGCAGCAUUUGUAAAAGAUCCUUACAUUAUGCCAUCCCAAGCGAGACAAGUGUUUUACUCUAGAGAGGAUGAUUUGAGUCAGUGGUAUGUGGUAAUGAGAGCGCCACCAAGAGGUUAUCAUGAGUUAGAGACUGAAGAGGAGUUUAAUAGUGCACCAUUUUCAGUCCAACCAAUUGAUGAUUCAGGAAAUCAAUCUGAUGAUGACAGUUUUUGUGCUAGGGCAGAUUGUGAAGGGGUUACAGUAGUGGAUUAAUGUAUGAUUUAUUGUUAAGAAUACAUGUUUAACUUUGGAGAUUUGAUGGUUUUUCAGGUUAUCUGAAAUGGCUAAGAAAGGUGAACUGAACCCACGCCGUAGUAAGCGUCAAAAGGGACUAGAUGCGAGUCCUGUCAUAUCAUCCUUGAAGAAGAAAAAGAAGCAACAAAAGGAAGUGCUUAUUCCUGUGAUAGAAGAAAGCAGCAAGGAGACGACUUUUAAUGAUGAAGAUGGAGUUCAAGUAGAGUUUGAGGAAGUAACCCAAGCUUCUCGUGGUGCUGAUUCAUUGGAUAAAAAUGAAGAAGCUGAUGACCAAGAAGUUGAGAGAACAGACCCUAUUGAAGAAGAUUUGGAGCCUCCUGCUCAAGAAGAAGAUUUUGGCCAGCCUUCCACUGAAAGGCUUACAACUGCGACUGCUGAAACAUCAACACAAGUGUCAGUGACCAAGAAAAACAGACUAAGAGGACCCACAAAGCUGCGAAGAGUGGCCAAAAGUGCACAAGACAAAGUUGAUGUCGAAUUUACAGAAUUGGGAGAAUUUGUGGGAUCUGGUUCAGUUAAACUUUCAUCAUUUCUUGGAGCACUUGUGAGAGAGUACGUCCCUAUUAUUCUGGAUGAUUGGAGGCAGCUAGAUGAUAUAAUAAGGGACACACUAUGCGAGGAAAUUCAGGUAAGUGUAUUGAUCAUCUUAUUACAUUUACUUGAAAAACUAAUUAAGUAAAGAAUAGUGAUUUUCUAUACAUUUGUAUACUAAUGUAGGGGAGGUUCAAUGUGGACCAAGAAUUGCAAAGAAGAGAAAUUUUCAAACAUAUGGGUUGUUUGUUUAGGGCUUCUAAAUCCAACCUUCUGGCGAAAGUGAGAGUUGCUAAAUGGUUUUAAUCAUAGGAAGUAAGAGAUAAAGUCUCAGAUACACCACAUUCAAUUCUUUUACUUGUAGAAAAAAGAGAGUUCAGACCCCUCGCAGGUGACAAGGAGUAAAGUUUGGGUUGCAGGACACACGCAUUCUGAUGGAAGACCAGUCAAGGCCGAAUUUGUCGAGACCAUUGUAAGUAAUAUCUAAUUUCUUGUGGUUUACUCUGAUAUUAUCUAAAGCUAGCUACUUAUACCUGUUUGAUUACAUAUUUGAAUGCAGGAAAAAAUAAAAUCUUUUUUUUGAAAGAAUGUAAAAUUGUAUUCAGUCAAAAACCUUUUUACAAAAGAUGUAACAGUGUGUGUAAAAGUUUAGAAUAUAAGCUGAAGAUACAAUAGCUGAAAGAAAAGACUAGAGAGGUUGUAGAGGAUGAAGGGGUCGAGUGGAGAACCAAAGCUGCAGGCAAGUGUUGUAGCUGUGAUCUCCUGUAUCUCGGAUUGAGCUGAUUCGAUUACGAACUGUUUUGUCAAUGAGCUUGAUGAGCCUAUUCGGUGGUGAGCUAAGUUCACCAUGACGUCUAGCAUUCCUUUCUCGCCAAAUGUGGUAGAUUGUGGCUUGAAAGGAUUGUAGAUUGUGGAAAAAAUAAAAUCAAUAGAGAGUGAAAUGGAUUUCACAUCCACUAGUGUUAAAGAAGAUGUUGUGACUCAAGUACUAGGAAAAGACAAACCUGGGAGAGUUAGAGGGUUGGGCAGAGGGGCUACAUUAACCUAGCUGGCAUUUUUGCAAGUUAGAGACUCACAUGUGCAUAAAUUUGAAGCUACUCAAGAACUAUUAUUGAGCAAGGUUGAAGACUUACAGAAUGUUGUUAAAAAAAUGGCUAGUAAUAAGGUAUGUACUCAGACGCCCUUGUUUACUGUUAUGAUCUAUGUUAGUUAACUUCUAUGUGAUAUUUUAGUCUUCUAACAAUUUUAUUUCUCAGCCACCUUGUGAUACUCAAUCCAGAUCUGAAGCAACCAAUUUUACAGUAGGCGUCAAAUGUCAAAUUCUUGAUUUGGAAUCUGAAGAUGAUAUUGUUAUUGCUGAAGGAGAGUUGUGUUCUACUGAACCAGCAUAUAAGAUUCGUCGUGUACCACUAGGACCUAACGCAGCUGCUAUUGUAGUCAAAACGGUAUUUGAUAAACAAGCUUCUGUUUGGAGGCCUAUACCAAACAUCGUCUUCAUUGGACAAGCGUUGGGAGCCAAAAUUGCAUGGCCAGAGAAUAAGUUGAUUUUGGACAAUGAUGACUUCACAAGUUGGAGCACAACUGCAAACAAGAACAUUGAUGAUGCAUAUACGGUAAUUGUUUAGAGGCUUGUUAUCAACUUAUCCAAAUUAUAGAAACUUACUCUUUAGCUAGGUUGGUAAUACAUUUGCCUGAAAUGUAGGAACAAGAGAGGGUUCGUAUUAUUGAUUGGACUGUGGAUGAGGUUUAUGCUGAAGGUAAACUGUGUUCAAUUGAUCCAAAUGAACUCUUGAACGAAGUACCUAUUGGUCGCAAUUAAUGCAAUUGUGGAGAUUGAUUUGGUGGUUAAAGAAAGUGCCUUUUUGUGGAGACCAAUUGCUGAGAUGUCAGUCAUGGGUGAUGCACUUAAUAAGAAAAUCGUUUGGGCUUAGCCAAAGAUACAGUUUGUUAAUAACGCAAUGCCGCCUUCUUAAAAAGUAACAAGAUCAACACGUUCGGUAAGAUUCAAGAACCUUUAUUUUGUAGUAUGAUUUGAUUUGUUGUUCAUAUACUGGAAUUCUGAUGGAUAUACUUUUGAAUUUUCAAUUGUUAGAAUGGUAGUAUCAACACUAGUAGCAGUAAAGGUGAAAAGAAGAAAUGUUUAUUGUUAGAUAUCGAUAAAACUGAGAAGGUAGUUGCAACUGGUCGAGUUUCUUCAACAAAUCCAGAAGAUUUAGUACAUUUCGAACGCCUAGGAUUGAAUGCUAGCAUCGUGUGGGUAGAAUCUGAGAAGAUUGGAGAUGCUAAAUUCUGGAGACCAAAUUCUGAGAUUAUGUGCAUUGGCGAUGCAGUAGGCCUUACUGUACCUUGGCCUAAUGAUAGACUCAUUUUGAUAUGAUCUAUGUUAUGCAUGUGUUUGUUUGAUACUGCUGUGAACUUGGGUUAUUGACAGAUUUGAUAUUGUGUAAUAUUGUGUAAUAUUGAUGUGAACUUGUUGUAUGAUUGACAAUAUUAAUUAAAAGUUGAUUUAUGGUUUUCUUACAUUAUAUUGAUAUUGAUUAUAUAUGUAAACAACAACAUAAAUGAAAGCAGACAAUGAUUUUGUGACAUGCUUAAAUUAAAUUUAUAAAUAGCAUAUAAUAAACGCUGUUAUAAUUUAAACAAUAACACAACAUACCCGCUAUUAUAUUAAAAACAAUAGCAGAUGAUAUGCGCUAUUGUACACAAAACAAUAACAUAAAACACCCGCUAUUAUAAUGUACACUAUAACAAAUGAUAUCCGCUAUUGUAUUAACACUUUUAAUAGCGUCGCUAAAAACCGCUAUGAAAACUUGGCAAGCUAUCGUAGCGGGCGAUAACAUAUCGUUUUUAUUUUCGCUAUAGUAACGAUAAAUAGCGUUUUUCGUCUUCUAUUAAAAACCUAUUUUCCUGUAGUGAUUGCAACUUAUUGCAUCUCUGUUUUGUCGAAAGUGAGGACAAUAUUUUUCCAAGAAUUUCAUCUGUAAGACAACUUAUAGCUUGUGUCAAAUCUUUUGGCAUCCAUUGCCUGAAACAUGAAGUGAUGGGUCCUGUGAUUCAACUACUAGAUUAACCAACCGAAAGCGAUUGCUCUAGAAAGUUGAAUACUUCUAUAAAUACCCUAUAGAAGAAACUCAAAACUGCUUGAAUAGUAAAGAACGUGGGCAAUUAUAAUAACUAGAGAAGGAACAAAUAUGAAAGUUCUAUUGAUAUAGAGAGACUGAGAGAGAGACGAACUGUUCCUGUGGAGGACGUCGAAGAGAGAGAGAGACGGAGAGAACGAUGAUUACCAUAAUUUAGGUUUAGGGUUUCCAAAAAAAAAAUUAAACACUAAUUCCAAAAUGACAAGAGAAAAAUCGUUUAAAAGAACUUGCUAAUUAUCAAUAUCCCAUAUGAAAAAUUAAUUGAACCUAAUCAAACUAAAUUAACCAUACCAUACGAAUUGAACCAAAACGGUUCGAACAUACCUGAAAUAAUUUUGGUUAAAGUUCAAUUUACUAGAAUCGUAUAACUCUAAGGGCACAAUUAUCAGAAUCCCAGUCUCUACAUAUUCUCUUACAAGUAUCUUCAUAUUAGUCACCUUGACUACUCUACAGAUUCGUGCAUUAAUGUCUCUUUCACGUUAAAAAAAUCUUGGGAAAAGAAAGCAAAAGAGUAAUUUUGACCGUCUAGCUCUCUAGUCUCUAUAUAACCCCAAUCGUUAACAGAAUGAAGAUAAACUUAAAAACAUGGCAUCACAAACCAACAAAGAGCUUUUCGUGGGUGGACUUGCAAGGAUUUUGAAAGAACAGCGACAAGUCGAUGUCCGGCUGAAGGCAGGGGACAGCGAUCAGAAGGGUGUAUCUAUAUCUGCUCAUAAGCUUGUUCUGGUCUCUUCCUCUUUCCUUAUUAUUUUUUCAUCAUCAUAUGAUUCUUAAAAAAACAUUUACGAAACGUUCUUUACUCGUACUGAAUUUCAUUGUGAAUGUUAUGGAAUGUUUUAUAGUCUGCAAGAUCUGAGGUGUUUAAGAUGAUAUUGGAAACAGAAGAGAUCAAGGCUACAACUACGCUAGACACAAUCACUCUCUCAGAGCUAAAACACACAGAGUUAGUGGCUUUGGUUGAGUGAUAAGUACCAAAAUGGCUUAUCAAGAUAUGUAACAGAAAGAGAUGAGAUAAUAGAAGAAAUAGGUUGAGAUGCAGAAGAAUUUCAGAGAAGGAGAAGGAAGAUGAAGAAGAUAAACAUUCUUAAGAUUAUAAUCAAUAAGUGUUUUUCAAUGACUAAAGAAGAGUUUAAAUAAAAGACAUUACUAAAGUAAACAUGCCAAACACUAAGCCUUAUAAAAACCCAUAAGGCCCAACUCCUGAACCUAUCAAUACUCCCUCCUUUGAGAGUCACCUUGUCCUCAAGGUGGAAGAAAGUGAAUUCCUUGGACGAGUGUCCUAACUUCGGUUGAGCCUACAGCUGCAACCUUCUUUUUGACACUUGAUUCCCACUUAUCAACCAUCUCCUCAACAUGCAUUUGUGUAACCUCUUUACCGAAUUCAAUCAUUAGCCUUGAAACCACAGUUUUAAAAGGAUGAUACAAUCCCACAACUUCAAACGGUUCUGCAGUCCUUACCUCCUUUGAUAUGACCGCCUCUUUAGUCUGUUAUGUGUGCACCUUUAACACACACGGAGCGGGUUUGGUCUUUCUCACUCUUGGUUGACAUGUUCCGCGUACUUCCAGCUACAACUUCACUGUGUUUCACCCCGGGUUGCCCAAAAAAUGAUUUCUCAUCGUCAUUCUCUUUAGUAUCCUUCUAAGGUUCCAACCAUGAAACUUCUUCCAAGUGUUCUGGACUUAGCUUCAACUCUUGACUUUCAACGCUCUUAACAUGUCCACCUUGUAUUUCCUUAGCGAUUCCUCCACAUGUAACCUUACUCUCUCCUUUUAAAGUUACCUUGUCCUCAAGGUAGGAAACAACAAGCAUUUCCCCAUCGUUAUUUCUCUGUUCUUCAAUAUCCUCUUGCUCAUUUUCACUCUUCAUCUUUACUUUUGUAGUAACUUGCUCAAGUUCUUCGUGCUCAGCACAAAGAGUGAUCCAUUGUUGGUUGUGGCUGAAAGAGAAAUCUUGAUUCUGCCAAUUAACCAUUGUCUCUCCCAGUUUUGAGAGCCACUCAUAACCAAGAAUCACAUCCACAUCAGUCUUGGCCAAGUCUAGCAGAAGGAAAUUCUCAGUGAUUUCAACUUCUUGAACCCAUAAUCUAAUUCCGAGACAAGUUCCUACGCUUUGUAUGCACUGCCUUUGUCCCAAUAAAACUGAAGCUUGGUUUGUAAUACUCGUGGGUAGUUUGAGACUGAAGGCUAACUCAACUAAGAUAAAAUUGUCGGUUGCUCCAGAAUCUAUAGCUACAACGACCUUAUGAUCUAAUAUGAAGCCAUAGAAUCUCAUACCUUUGUUCCUGGUUAAAUCUAUCACUAGUUGCUCCAUUCCCUGUCUCAAGGUAUAACUAUCCUGCUCUAAUUCUUCCAGCUCAUUUAUAACUCCUUUUUUCUUCUUUACCACAUCCAGCUUAGCUUGUACCAGGGUAAGGCUCAUCAGCUCCGCCUGUCUUGAUUGGUAGCUGUUCUCAAUGACGACACAAUUCCAGAAUUUAUGAGAUUAUUACUUUCUUCUAACCAUUGUGUUGUAUCCAUCAUUUGUACAAUCCCAUUCGGUUUCAAUUCUCGAACUGCAGUUUGCAAACUAGGUUGCAACCCUUGUAAGAACAUCUCCUCGAAGCCUUGUCCUGGUAAGGUAACUGAGCGAAGACAAAGAGCUUCAAACCUUUCUCUGUAAUCACGCACUGAUCCUUCUUGUUGUAUUCCCGAAUAAUGAGGUUGAUGAUUUAACUUCAUUGUCGUCUUUGUCUCUCGGCCCAUCAUACACUUAAAUUCCUUCCAGCUUGUAGGUGAAUUCUUUUUCCAGAGAUGCUUUAUCCAUUGCCUAGUCUCUCCUUCCAAGUUAGCAUAAACAAUUUGUAACCUCUCAUGCUCCGAAAUUUUAUUCUCACCAAAAUAAUUCUCAAAGUUAUUUAGACAGCUUCUUAGGUUUUUUCCGUGAAAAGCAACGAGGCUCUGUACUAGCUGAAAGUCCUCAGUCCACGGCUCAGUUCCAGACCAACGUCACCACGGACAGCUGCAUCACACCUCAAGCUCCGUUAAAGGCAAAAGGGGAUGGGAUUCUACCCUUACCGCUGCUGGCAGUACCGAUCCAAACAAUGGAUCCGUCUCAGACAUCAUACGGGUUUAGCCAGAACACCGGUCAGCUAGGAUCUCCGGGUAACAACACUGGGUCACCUGGAAGAAGGUCAGAUCUAUCACAGUAUGAAGGACAGAGCCCAGAUGACUGGUUAUUCAGAAUGGAGAAGAGUUUUCUGCAGAACCAGACCUUGGAACAUCAAAAGUUGGAGGUAGCUAUAACGUGUUUAGUUUCGGUAACAGCUUUAAAUUGGUUGAGAGGUGUGCUAAUGAGAGGAUUGUUCAAAGAUUGUAAUGAUUUUAAGAAAAAAGUUCGAAAAUGAUUUGGACACAGUCGUUGCGGGUCUGUUGUGUGGCAGUUGUUGAACAUCAGACAGAAAGGCUCAGUGGAGGAAUUUAGAGAACGGUUUGAAGAAUUAAUAGUUGAGGUGCCACACAUUACUAACGAUCUUUUGGAAGGAAUUUUCUUAAAGGGAAUGAGGAAAAAUAUAAGAGACCAAGUGAUGCGUACACGUCCCUCUAGCAUAUAUGAGAUUGUGGAGACAGCAUGCCUCAUAGAAGAGCAAGAGCAGGAGAAGACGUCUUUCCACUCAAAUUACAACUCGAAAUCCGUUAGUAGAACAAAUUCAGCUCCGGUGCUUCAUCGAAGCAACAACAAUAGCCCUAUCAAGACACAGGAUAUCAUUCAAGCUAGGAGGUCAUUUGAUGGGGUAAGAGAUAACAGGAAACCGGAUCAGAGGAACAACGCAUGCUACACGUGUGGAGACCGCUAUUUUCCAGGACACCGCUGUAAAAAUCAGAAGCUCAAAUGUUUGGAGUUGGUCGCAACAAGCGAGGCGGGACAGUUACUGGAGGAGGAAGACGAAUCUGAGAGUGAAGAAGAACCGGAACCUAAGGUGGAAGGACAGACAAUGAUGCAUCUUUCGUUGAGUUCAAUGGCUGGCCUUACUAAUGAAAAGUCUAUGAGGAUGAAAGGAUGGAUAGCAGGUCAGGAAGUGAUCGUGUUGAUUGAUUCAGGAGCAACUAGUAACUUCAUUUCUGAAGAAGUUGCUCAGCGGUGCUCACUAACAGUCACACCAACAAGUGAUUUUGGAGUAGCAGUUGGUAAUGGUCAGAUUAUUUCAGGACAAGGCAAAGUUAAGGAUGUGCAGCUACACAUUCAAGGGGUGGAUAUUAAGGAGGAGUUUUUUCUGUUUGCUUUGGGAACCACAGAUAUAGUGCUGGGGUACUCGUGGUUAGCUACCUUGGGAGAUACAAGGAUCAAUUGGGGGCGCCACACUCUGAAAUUCAAGGUCAACGAAGAAUGGGUGACACUAGUGGGAGACCCAGCCCUCUUGAGACAACAGAUAUCUCUUCAUGCAUUGGAAAAAACAGUGAGAAAAGGUGACACAUGAGGCGGAAGGAAACAACAGUUUGGGGGUUCAGAAACUUAUCAAGGAUUACAAGAAGGUUUUCCAGUUACCACAAAGGUUACCUCCAUCAAGGAAUAGAGAGCAUUCCAUCACCUUACAACUAGGAAGCUCACCGAUCAAGGCUAGACCAUAUCGGUAUUCAUUCGCACAAAAGAAUGAAAUGGAGAAGUUGAUCAGAGAGAUGCUAGCAGCUGAGAUAAUCAGACCUAGUAUCAGCCCAUUCUCAAGUCCUGUACUAUUGGUCAAGAAGAAAGACGGAGGCUGGAGAUUUUGCGUGGACUACAGGGCAUUGAGCAAGGCUACCGUUCCGGACUGAUAUCCAAUCCCAGUGAUCGAGGAACUGCUGGAUGAGCUACACAGAGCCACGAUGUUCUCCAAAUUGGACCUUAAAUCGGGGUACCAUCAGAUACGAAUGAAGGCUGCAGAUGUGGAGAAGACAGCUUUCUGUACUCAUGAGGGUCAUUACGAGUUCUUGGUCAUGCCGUUUGAUUUGACCAAUGCACCGGCCACCUUUCAGUCAGUAAUGAAUGAGUUGUUUCGAACCUACCUGCGUCAAUUUGUUCUAGUGUUCUUUGACGACAUUCUGGUUUAUAGCUCAGACGAAGAGACCCACCUUAAACAUCUAGAAGCGGUUCUCCAAAUUCUACUUCAGAAUAAGUUAUAUGCCAAUGAAAAGAAAUGUCACUUUGGAAGCACCAGAAUCUCUUACUUGGGUCACAUGGUAACAGGGAAAGGUGUGUCUGCGGAUCCAGCUAAAAUUGAAGCUAUGGUGAACUGGCCUCAACCAAAGAACAUAACUGAGCUGAGGGGGUUCCUGGGACACACUGACUACUACAGAAGGUUUGUAGCAGGUUAUGGGAAGAUAGCCAAACCCUUAACAGAAUUGCUUAAAAAGGGUAAGUUUGAAUGGUCUGAAGCAGCUAAUAAAGCUUAUGAGACACUUAAAGGAGCAGUUAUCCAGUUGCCAACCUUAGCAUUGCUAGACUUUGCAAAGCCUUUUGUGAUUGAAACGGAUGCUUCAGGGACGGGAAUCGGGGUUGUGCUAUCACAAGAUAAACGUCCCAUAGCGUUUAUUAGCCAGGGGUUCUCUAGUAAGGGCAGAAUUAAGUCAGUUUACGAGAGAGAGCUGUUGGCCAUUGUCUUUGUAGUGGACAAGUGGAAACACUAUCUAGCAAGCAAGAAGGUGAUUAUAAGGACAGAUCAGAGGAGUCUCAAACAUCUGCUUAACCAGAAAGCUGUGUCAGCUAUACAGCAGAGAUGGGCAUCCAAACUUGUCAGUUUGGAUUAUGAAAUUGAGUACAAACCAGGCGCAGAAAAUCGUGUAGCAGACGCUUUGUCCCGACGUCCAGUCACAGAGCAGGUGAUGAACAUGUUGUUGCUGGCUCCAGCUACUCUGCACAAGAUUGAAUUACAAGAUCAAGUACAAGGCGACCCUAGCCUCAACCUCAUCAGAGAAAAGCUUUUAAGUGGACAAGAGUCUGAAAAAGGAUACAGUUUGGUGGUUGGCACCUUACAUAAAGAUGGUAGGAUAAUGAUUCCAACAAAUUCUCCUUUUAUUCCAAAGUUGUUGGAAAGGUUCCACACUAGUCCCAUUGGGGGUCAUGAAGGGGUGCUCAAGACACUCAAGAGAUUGGCGAGUGAAGUUUAUUGGAAGGGAAUGAGGAGAGACGUGGUAGAGUUCCUCAGAGGCUGUCAAGUGUGUCAACAAAAUAAGUACUCAACCUUGUCACCAGCGGGUCUUCUCACACCGCUACCCAUUCCUACUAAGGUAUGGUCGAACAUUAGCCUUGAUUUUAUUGAUGGGUUACCAAAGUCUGAAGGCUAUGAUGUGGUGUUAGUAGUGGUAGAUAGGCUUAGUAAUUAUGAUCACUUUGUACCGCUGAAGCAUCCUUACACAGCCAAGUCUAUAGCAGAUAUUUUCCUUCAUGAAAUAGUCAGACUUCAUGGGUUUCCUGAGAGUAUGGUCUCAGAUAGGGAUAAAAUCUUUAUCAUCAAUUUCUGGUCUUCUCUGUUCAAAUCACACGGAACAUCCCUGGAUAAGAGUACAUCAUAUCACCCUCAGACAGAUGGCCAUACAAAAGUUCUGAAUCGUUGCUUAGAGACGUAUAUUCGUUGCUUUGUUAAUGGGAAACCAAAGACUUGGGCUAAGUGGCUAAUGUAGGCUGAAUACUGGUAUAACACAUCGUUCCACUCUGCGAUUAAGAUGACUCCAUUUCAGGCUCUGUAUGGGAGAGAACCUCCCAAACUCUUGCGAUUCGGUGAUGUACCCACUGCUAACGCCGGCGUUGAAGAGUUGCUGCAAGAAAGAGACUGACUGGUCACUAUGCUGAGAGAGAAUCUACAAGCAGCCCAAGCUCGAAUGCAGAAGUCAGCUAACAAGCAUAGAAGAGAAUUGGAAUUCUCAGUGGGAACUUGGGUCUAUUUAAAACUCAGGCCGUAUAGACAGCUUUCUGUAGCUCAACGACGUAAUGAGAAGCUAUCGCCAAGGUUCUUUGGUCCGUAUAAGAUUCUGGAACGCAUAGGAGCAAUGGCAUAUAAGCUGCAGCUACCAACUGAAAGUUCUAUUCAUCAUGUGUUCCACAUAUCCCAACUGAGACAGGCGCUUCCAGGUUCAGCACAAGCUCAACCCCUUCGCGAUUAUGACUUCUAACUUGGAGUGGGCAACAGAACCAGAAGAGGUAAUGGAGAUCAGAGAGGGCAACACAACAGAAGAUACUAAGCUCUUGAUUAAGUGGAAGGGUAUGCCAGAGUGUGAGAAUACAUGGGAACCAAUGACGGGCAUCACGCAACAAUUUCCAGAUUCUCACCUUGAGGACAAAGUGGCUUUGUUACGGGGGAGUAUUGGUAAGGCAGCAACUCAAGCAAUGGAGUCAGCAAGAGAAGUCAGAAUUCCAAGGAAGAGAGUACCAAAGAAGGUUUAUGAUCCUAGUGGCUGAAAUGAAGCUAAAGGAAGUCAAGGAAAUACUCUGUACCAUCCAGAGGCUUUGACAAUGUCUUUGACAAUGUCAAAGAAUAAGAAUGCCUAUAGUUUUCUUAUUUAACUUUGUGUCAUUUAAGUGUUGUUGUGAGUGAGUGGUUGUAGUUUCUGUAGGGGAACUACUACUUAAGCGGAACUCUAUUUUAGGGUUAUAUUCAUCAAUGAAUUAAUCAACUUUCCUUAUUACUCUUCUCUCUUAUCUUACUCGACUUCUAUCCUAUACUUCUUCUUCCUUUUCUACUUCUAUUCUCUGUUUUCCUUCUUGAUAAGUUCACGCUUAUCAAUUGGCUUAGUGUUUGGCCUGUUUACUUUAGUAAUGUCUUUUAUUUAAACUCUUCUUUAGUCAUUGAAAAACACUUAUCGAUUAAGAACAAGAAAUGUUUAUCUUCUUCAUCUUCUCUCUUCUUCUUCCUGCCUUUCUCUGAACUCUUCUGAAUCUCAUCUCUAUUUCUUCUGUAUCUCACCUCAUUUCUGUUACUUCACUUGAUAAGCCAUUUUGGUACUUGAUAAUCCAGAAUCGAAAUUCUUCUGCUGGUGAAACACACGCCAAGUGUUCGACAAAACGCCCAGGCGAGAUUUCUGCAUUUUUCCUUGGUGUGGGUUCAGAUUUGGUCGUGAGACCUUGAGGCAGCUCGUGAUGUUCUUGUUUCCUCUUCUCAGGUGGUUCUUCAGUUGCAUUCACCGGAAAAAGCGUAGCAAAAAUUUCACGAAUCCCUUUUCGAUACUCCUCUUGUUGAGCUUCAAGCCUUUGGACGAUGGAAUCUAGCUUUUCCUCCACCUUUUCAACAAAUCGAUCGAGUGUUGCUUCUAGAUCAGAGAUUGUGGCGGCUUGAUUGGUUUGAGCAGCUUGAGUAGUCUUGAGUUCAACUCUCAAUGAAAGCACCAAUUGAUAAGUACCAAAAUGGCUUAUCAAGAUAUGUAACAGAAAGAGAUGAGAUAAUAGAAGAAAUAGGUUGAGAUGCAGAAGAAUUUCAGAAAAGGAAAGGAAGGAGAAAGAAGAUGAAGAAGAUAAACAUUCUUAAGAUUAUAAUCGAUAAGUGUUUUUCAAUGACUAAAGAAGAGUUUAAAUAAAAGACAUUACUAAAGUAAACAGGCCAAACACUAAGCCUUAUAAAAACCCAUAUAUAAGGCCCAACUUCUGAACCUAUCAUUGAGUUCAUCUACAGUUCCGGAUCUAGGCUUUCUACGAAAGGGAGGCAACACGUUAGGUCACUCUAUCUUGCAGCCGAUAAAUAUGAGAUUCCGCAUCUACGUGACCUAUGCAGAAUCCAACUUAUAAAAUCUCGUAUUCCUUCUAAUGCUCUUAACGUCCUUAAGCUUGCUCAAAUCCCUUUUGACAAAGACCUCAAUGAUGCCACCUUGGAUUAUAUCAAAACCAAUAUAAGUACAAUUUCUAGCUCUGAUGAGUUCAAGGUUUUCGUUGUCAAUCACUCAAAUCUUACCGUGGAGAUAGUGAAAGGUUCUUUGGGACAGGGGUAGAUCGUGUACUAUAUGUGGGAACUAUUGCCAGUUGUGCACUAGAUCGUGUAAUAAUCUAUUUCACAUCGAUGAAACUGAAAAAAAAAAAAGAUACAAAUAUAAACAGAUUGCUUGUCAUACAAAUGUUGGCGAAAAUAGUAGAAGAACUCGUGAAAAAGCUUUUUAUAGAUAUUUGUAAAUUUUUUAUUUUGCAAGCUUAAAGGGGUGCUCAUAUUUACAAGUGUUACAUAUGUAAAGAGAAGAGGGUAACUAAAAGAUGGGAUUUAAUUGGGACUUUAGUACGGUCUAUAUUACCAUUAGUGUCUCACCUUUUUCUUAAGUCUUGGAAAAUGAAGUAAAUCAAAAGUCAUUUUGACUGCCGUCAAUGGGGUUUACUUUCCUCUCUAUAUAUCUGACCAUCGUUUUCUAAAUCAAACUCAAGUUAUCUUAUAAUGGCAAUGGUGUUUAAUGAACAAUGGCAAGUCGAUAUACGGCUCAAGGAAGGUUGCAACAAAAAGGGUGCGCAAUGUUAAACCCUGUUCAUUUCUCAAUUUGACAGAUCCAUCCAACUGAUCCAUUCAACAUGUCUAUCUGGAUGAUUCAUUCGACUCUUGUUCGUUUUAUUUUUAGUCGGUUCAUUUGACUGGACCAUCCGAAUGAGAUGUUGUUCGUUUGCUUAUCUCUAUCUUCAUCCAAAUGAUUUGUAAUAAUACAAAUACCUAAAAUACCCAUGUUUUCAUCUAAUUAUAUUUUUAUUAUUACUUGUAAACAUAUUAAUUUUAUUUCUUAAUCCAAAAUAUAUUUAAAAGUAAAUAAAUUUCAAAUAAUAGUUUUUUUAUAUUUAUAAAUUUAUUUUACGUUUUUGACGGGAAAACGUGAUUUUACGGUUUUGACGAGACAACUCAAUUUUAUGGUUUUGGCGGAAAACAAAAGUUAACGUUUUUGGCGGAAAAACGUGAUUUUACGUUUUUCGCGAGAAAACAUGAUUUUACGGUUUUGGCGAGAAAACGUGAUUUUUGCGGUUUUGGCGGGAAAACGUGAUUUUGUGGUUUUGACGAAAAAACGUGAUUUUGCGGUUUUGACGGAAAAACAUGAUUUUGCGGUUUUGGCGGAAAAACAGAAUUUUACGGUUUUGGCGGGAAAACAUGAUUUUACGGUUUUCGAGGAAAACGGAAUUUUACGUUUUAACGGAAAAAUUCGACAUUGCGGUUUUAGCAAAAAAAAUUUUAUAAAAAAAUAAUAAUUUUAAAAUAAGAUUUAAGUUUAUUUGUUUUUUUUUAUCUAAAAAUACAUCUAAAUAAUCAAUUGAAAUAAUUAUGGUAUUUUUGUCAUUUGUUGUUUUUGACUGAAUCAUCUCCAUCCAAAUGAUCCAAUUUAGUUCAGCCAAUUGAGUUUCAAAAUUAAGCCUAAAUUUUCAAACUCCUCCAAAUGAAUCAUUUGGAUGGAUUAUCUGAAUGAACCGUUUUUGGCACCAAACGAACAUCAAAACUCAUACCAGAUGAUCCAUCUGACUGAUGAAACGAACAUGGCCUUAAUUGUUUUUGCAACCUCAACAACAUAAUUCGUAUCAUUUAUAGUUUAUGAAGCCUAAACUAAACCAGAAUUGAUCCUUCUGUUUAAACUAGUCACAAUGAAAAUCAAAUGCAUCAUCUUUUUUUUAGUUAAUAAUCAGUAAAAUAUUUGCUAAUAUAUGUCUUCUCCAAAUGUUUAAAAAGUCUCUAUCCAAUAUAAACCAUAAGAAAAUUUAGAUGUCUAAAGUUACAAUUGAAAUAAAUUCCAUUGUUUAAAAAGUAAAAACUAACACCAACAACCAGAAUAAAGAUAUGAAAUACAAGUUUUAAUAAUAAACUAGAUUUUAUCCCGCGGUACACCGCGGUGACAAUUUAUCUUUUUAAAGUUAGUAUAAUUUUUCUUUUGCAAAUUGUAUCUAUCUAUAAUAUAUUUUUAUUUUAUAGUUUACAAUUGUUAUUAAGUAACGUCCUGCCAAACCCAUCCCGCCAAACCCGUCCCGUAAAAAAACUAUUUAUUUAUAUUAAUGUUGAUCUUAUUUAUGAUAUGUUUAUAAAUCAUUGUCUAAAUAUUUUUGUCGAUGCGGAACGUUGAACCCACACAUUUUUUGCUAAUAGGAUAAUAUAUGUUCAUUUUUAAAAUUUUGAAUCAUAUAUUAUAUAAUGAUGUUAAAAAAUUGUAAUAUAUCAAACUUUUUAUAAGUUUAAAUAUUAAUAAUGUUUUAUAAAUUUUAAAUAUAUAAAUAAUAAUAUUUAAAAAAUUAAUAUUUUUGCUUAUAAGGUAAUGACAUAAUAACUCUAAAAGCAAGGAUUUAGAAUAUUUAAAUCUUUAAUUAAAUAUUUUCAUUAAUAAAUAAUUAAUGUCAGUGACAUGACAUUGUAAAUAAGUUCAAAUACAAAAUUUAUUUAUUUAAACAAAAAACGUUUAGUAAGAAUAAUAUUUAUUUAACAAAAAACUUUGUUUUAAAAUAUUGUUAACAAAUAUUGUUUUUGCAACCUCAACAACAUAAUUCGUAUCAUUUAUAGUUUAUGAAGCCUAAACUAAACGAAUUGAUCCUUCUGUUUAAACUAGUCACAAUGAAAAUCAAAUGCAUCAUCUUUUUUUUAGUUAAUAAUCAGUAAAAUAUUUGCUAAUAUAUGUCUUCUCCAAAUGUUUAAAAAGUCUAUAUCCAAUAUAAACCAUAAGAAAAUUUAGAUGUCUAAAGUUACAAUUGAAAUAAAUUCCAUUGUUUAAAAAGUAAAAACUAACACCAACAACCAGAAUAAAGAUAUGAAAUACAAGUUUUAAUAAUAAAUAAUCAACUACACAAGAAAAAAAUGCAACUACUUGUGGUUAUACAACUUAUAAAAUAAAACACCAACACAUUUGUAACAACAACAUCAGAACAUCACGUUGUUUUAGUUAAUCUUUCUAUAUCUUCCUUUACGUUUGUUAUCCCCCAAACUCUACAAAAAAUCUUGCAGCUUCCUCAGUUUUCUACCGUAUGAUGUUCCUUAAUCUGUACGUUUGAGAAGAUAUACGUAGCAUACGAAUGAUCUCUCUGUAAAACUCCCACGAUUCGCUUACUUCCGUAAUAGCUUCUUGCCCGAAAGGGUUUUUCUUGAUGAAAU
rnacentral:lncRNA from 1 species